rnacentral:lncRNA from 1 species
UUCCAAAAGUUCGAUUCCUAAUGGCAUUGGAACAUGCCGAGGAAUCAAUAUUUUAUCGGCAUAUUGUUCCGGAAAGCUUGUGGAAGCUACAAAGAUGGCUUGGGAUUGGAGAAGAAAAGAAACUGAAAAAAGCUAAGGAAACGUUAGAUAGUGUCAUAUUCGAACUCAUACAAAGGAAAAGAAGAGAGAUUAACGAAGAAAUUUUAUCGAAAGAUAUAGAUGGGGUGGAUUUGUUAGCAUCAUACAUGCACGAAAACAAAACCAUUAUGGGAGAAUUGAAAUGUGCUGACGACAAUUUCUUGAGAGAUACAGUCUUGAAUUUCAUGAUUGCGGGGAGAGACACAACUAGUUCAGCUCUCACUUGGUUCUUUUGGCUUAUUUCAAAGAACCCAAAAGCAGAAACCAAGAUUAGAGAAGAGCUUAGUUCAAUAGUACCAGCUGAGAAACUCGGAAAAUGGUGGGAUUUUGACACGCAAAAGCUAAAUCAAUUGGUUUAUUUACAUGGCGCUUUGUGUGAAGCAUUAAGGCUUUACCCACCAGUUCCUUUUCAGCAUAAAGCUCCUUUAGUGCCAGACACUCUUCCAAGCGGACACCGCGCCGUUCCGAGAACAAAGAUCUUGUUUUCUCUGUAUGCAAUGGGGAGAAUGAAGUCAAUAUGGGGAGAAGAUUGCUUGGAAUUCAGGCCUGAAAGAUGGAUUUCUGAAAGUGGAGGGAUCAAAUGGGAGCCGUCGUACAAGUUCUUCUCAUUCAAUGCAGGACCAAGGACUUGUUUAGGCAAAGAGGUCGCUUUCACUCAAAUGAAAGCUGUGGCUGCCGGCCUAAUUCAUAACUAUGAUAUUCAAGUUGUGGAAGGACAGCGUCCUGGCCCCAAUGUGUCUAUUAUUCUCUAUAUGAAGCAUGGAUUAAAGGUUAGGGUUCAUGAUAGAUGGGCUAAAUAAUUGCACAAGCUUGGGAAAUGUCGUAAUCCUCUUGUUUAAUAUGAAUCAUUGGGUGAGUUUGCGUGUAUCAUUUGAAUAACUAUAGUUUAUGCAAGUAUGAAUAUCAUUAAUAAUUGUUCAUAUUAUCUGGAUAUUUUAAUUUGUUGUUUUGGUGUUUUAUUAUGUGAUUUCUUCUAGAUUUAAAGAUUCUUAAAUGAUAGAUAAAGAAAGAUUUCAAUCCGUGAAAGAAUUGAAUUUGGUGUUAGAGUGUUAUUGAAAGAGUUAAUUGACGUAGGACGUUAAUUUAAAUUAAUUUAGGAUUUUAAAAUUUUUAUUAUUUUAGGGAUUUCUAUUUUAAUUGGAGUCUCUUAUAGUAUGUGAUUUAGUAUUUUAUUUCGAUUAUAAUUGUGAUAUAGUUUCUUUUUUUAAAUUAACUUAGGAAGUAGAUUUACCUUAUAAAGUGAGUUUACCUUAGAAAGUGAGUUUCUUCUAUUAUAAAUAGAAAAGCCUCGUUAUCGUAACUCAAAUUCAAUUAUUCAAUAAAAACUCCUCUUUUAUAAUACCCUCUAGGAUUAUUUAUCAAAAUCUCUCUUGUAGAGUCAUUUGGGAUAGGCGUCAUUUAAUUUCGCUUAACACGCUAUUAAAAAUCUCAUUGAGUCAUUUGGGUUAGAACGAUAUCUAAUCACACUUCGAUUAUCGCUAAUCGCGUUGGCUUGAUUCAGUACUAGAACGAUAUCUAGUGUUUCUUACCCUAUCAAUUUUGCUUCCGCUACUCGUGCCUUAUCAAUUGGUAUCAGAGCGGUUCUGCGCUAUUCACUCAACUUUCCUAGAUACCCAUAUCCAUCCAUACCAAAUCCACAACUGAAAAAAAACCAACAAAAAAAAAAAUAGAAAUUCUCAAAAUUGAAAACCCUAACUGCCACCAUGCAACCAUCGCUGCCACCUCUCCAUCAGUCAUUCACCGUCGGCCAAGACAAUCACUAAAGUCUCCAGCCACCACGAACCAAACCUUAGCCAUCACUGCCCUCAAUGCCGCUUGCAAAAAUCAUCUAAACCUGCGAGCUUCACCAUUCAAUUCACCACCAUUUAAUCGUGAUUGCCGCCAGUCAACUCCUCCGCCAAACUCGCCUACCUUUGGUGACCAAAACCAACCAACUUCCACUCUGGAUCGCUGCCUACAGCCACCGUAUGAAACACCAACCCGCGAGUUCCCCACACACGGGCUACUGCCAAACCAUCUCCCUUUUCUGUCAAUUAAUGCCACCACCAUAAUCCCCAGUAACCGGCGACCAUAAACCCAGCCAUCAGCCGCCGUAAAACUACCUUAAAUUGAAAGUCAUAUCUCCAUAAGCUGCCGCCAAUUCAACCAAACCGCCGCGAAUUUGGCCAAUCCACAGCCACCAUCAUACUCAUCGACCUUAAUCGACCCAUCCUUACCUGAUUUUCAACUACCGUCACCAGAAACCUAAACUUUUGUUUAAUUACCAUUUCACCUGGUAAUUUUAUUCAAUUUUUAGUUUAGCCCCCAACUCUUUUAAAACCACCAUCUCUUACCAUCUUCACUCCGAAUCACGACCACACCCAACCUAAGAGUUGAGUAUUAUUUACAUUUUUGCCAUUGUGUGGAAACUUGACAAUAAAUGGUAAAGUGCCAUCUUUACCCUUCUAUUUAUCAUGUGUCGGAAUUAUUUGUAUAUACUUGUCCAAACAAAUUUCUUGAUUGGCUAGAUAAGAUUGAGCACUGGUUUCUAUUUUGGCACACUCUUAAAGAAGAGCAAGUACCAUUUGCUGCUAGUAGAUUAAGCAUAAGUGUUUCAGAAUGGUGGGAUGAAUUACAAAUUUCUCAACUUGAGCAAAGCAAAUGCAAAAUAUGGAACUGUAUGAAGCAUAUUAUGUGAUAUGAGUUUAUCCCUCUUAAUUAUUGUUUAGUAUAACAAGGUAAGAUAUCAAUUUUUGAUUAUGCUACUGAGUUCGAAAUUUUAUGGAUGUAAAUAUUAUUAUGAACUUGAAGAGGAUACAAUUACAAGAUUUGUCAAGGGACUCAGUUUUAUAUUAAAGAAAAGAUGCCUACAUACAUUAUAUACACGUUGCAGUAUGUAAUUCUGGUAGCGAAGCAAAUUGAUCACAAAAUUUAUCACAAAUCAGAAGAGAAAGAAGCCAAGCAUUGAAGCAAUUAAGACAACCUCAUCCUCGACACCAAUUUGAGAUCUGUAAUCUUAUCACAAGUCAGUAGCCUAAAGUGAAAGGCAUAUAGAUAAAAUAAGUUUGUGCCUCUCUACAUGUCGAAGAUGUGCCUAAUAUUGUAGAAGAAAAUGUACAAUUUAUUAUUGAUUUAAAGUUUCAAUCUGAAAAAUUGUUUGAGAAUGUGCAUGAUGUUUACUUGGAAGAGAAGACAAGUGUUGAAGAUGAUGAGGUUAUUGAUCUAUCUGAUUUUUUUAAAGAAGACGAAAAACCUCAUCUUGAUUUGAGUAUUGAGCCUAAUAAUACAACUAAAGUUGUGCAGCAAAAUCAAGUUGAAGAAACUAAAAUGAUUGAAAUGAUUCUAUCUAUUCUCAUUGAAGACAAGAAAAUUAUGCUUGAAGAAGCUUUAAUUGCAAAGGUGAAUCUUGUGGGAGAUGCAUUGAGCCACAAUUAGGGAAGGGGAAAAAUUAUUUGAUCCUUGUUCAUUCUUGGAAGACAUCAUCGCCUUGAAGAAUGUACGAACGAAAGAAGUUGAUGAAGUAUGGAUUUUUUAAAGUUUCAUGAACAAUUGAUGAGAAAGACAAUAAGUUCGAAUUACAAGAUGAUUUGGUCUUACACUACAAGUUUCAUCCUCUAGAUUGUAUUCAAACUCAUGGAUGUAUUUCUUUUAAGAGGAGAAGAAUGAUGUAGGACGUUAAUUUUGGUUAAUUGAGUAUUCUAGAAUUUUUAUUAAUCUAAGGCUUUCUAUUUUAAUUAUUCUAAGGCUUUCUAUUUUAAUUGGAGUCUAUUAUGAUAUGUAAUUUAAUAUUUUAUUUUCAUUAUAAUUCUGAUUUAGUUUCACUUUUUAAAUUAACUUAGGGAAGUAGGUUUACAUUAGGGAAGCAGGUUUCUGCUAUUAUAAAUAGAGAAGUCUCAUUAUUAUAACUCAGAUUCAAUUAAUCAAUAAAACCCCUCCUUUAUACUUCCCUCUUGAAUUAUCUAUCAAAAUCUCUCUUGUAUUAGAGCGUCAUCUAAUCUCGCUUAACGCAUUAUUAAAAAUCUCAUUGAGUCGUUUAAGUUAGAAUGAUAUUUAAUUACGCUUUGAUUAAAGCGUAAAGUCUAGUAUUAGAAUGAUAAUUAGUGUUUCUUACCUUACCAAUUCUGCUUCCGCUAUGCUCGCCCCAUCAUUAGUGUAGCUUGAAUUUGUUUUGCAUGUACAUCUAUGUAUUAUUCUUUAAGUAAAUGAAGUCCUCAUGUAUUUUUUAGCUCCUCACCCCUAAAUUUAAUUACCUUUCCCGUCAAAUGACAAAAAAAAACCAAAAUUUCUGCUUAUUUGGUAAAAUUAAUUUUUUUUCUCAUGUUUUAAUUUUACUAGAAGUUCUCUAACAUUAUAAUGAUAAAUAUAUCAAUUUUUUUUUUUAAUAGAAAACUUGUAACUGAAAAAUUUGAGAGUUGAAAAAUAAAUGAUCUCGAACACUAAUAUUAAACAGAAGGAAAAUUUUGAUUGUUUUUUCAAGAUUUAAUCCCGUAGGAAAAUCCCCCAAACACGUAAGAUUGUCAAGAGAGAGAAAAGUAUGAAUGGAUACAAGAGUGCACACUGCACAACAUAAAUGACCAUGGGAAAUUAAAGUGAGAAAGUCCCAGUAGGAUGGCAAAUUGCUGGUCUAGAACAAGAUUUUUUAAGCCCAGGCCAAAAUUUAUGUUGUUGGUAAUAGACCGAACCCCUGUACUAGCCCAUCCAAGUUCUUGGGCUUCCAUUAAUUUUUAAAUAAAUUUUUAAUAUAGCCAAAAAAAACUUAAAUUAAAAUAAUUAUUUAAUACAUAAUAGACCAAAAAUUCAAUACAUAAAAUAAGAACAUCACCAAAAGGCUCUUCAAAUAAAAUUUUAUUACUUAUUUGAAGAGCCACAUCAAUAUUUAAAGCUAAAAAAAACACUCCAAUUAAGAUUCUUCAAAUAAUAAUUGAUUCUCUCUCUUCAAAUUUGGAGAGUUAAUUUCUCACUCUUCAAUUUAUAUUUUAUUACAUUUCAUUGAAGAAAGAGAGAAAAGUGCUUUAAUUGCUAUUGACUUUUUCUUUUAAAAAAUAAUUAUUUGAUUAAAAUAAUAUUAACUUAUUUCUAUUUGAAAAGUUUUUUAGAGAAUAUCAUAUUUUUUCACCCUUCUAUUUAUCACAUAGGUAAGCAAAUAUGUAUUUGAAGAGUAAAAUUUAUAGAAGCUUUUGGAGAUAUUCUUACAACACAAUAUAAUAAAUUAUAAAUAAUAAUUAUAUAAAUAAUAAAUUAAUUUUUAAUUUAUAAAUUAUAAAUUAUAAAGCCUGAAAUUCCAUAAGCCUGUAACUGUACCCUUUCGCAGUAAACUUUAAAAUUUUUAUUCAUGUCUAUGCCCUCACGUGACUUUUUGGUCCACCCCAGUCCUAAGGGCUCGCUAUUGGUUGUUAUUGUUAUAAGUCAACUGAAGCCGGUGAAUGGAAAUAAUUAGGGACAAUUUCAGACUUAACAUGAUAUUAUGAUGCUGGGUGACAAUAAAUAAGAAUCAGUUUUAAGAGGCACAUUAAUUGGCGUAUCGUCCUUUUCAUUAUUAACAGAUUGACGACCUACAUAGUACGUGGUAUUGGGACCAUUUAAAAUAUGAAUAAUGAUAUAUGAAUAAAUUUUUAUAUAAAUUUAUUUUGUAUAAAUUGGUGUGGUAUGAUAAAAUUAAUUGAAUUAAAUUUUAUUUAACCUACAUGAUUUAUUUAUAAUAUUUUAUAGUUUUAUUCAAUCAAUGAAUUAAUGUUACAUCAAUUUGUACAAGAUAAAUUUAUACAAGAGUUUGUAACUGUAUCAUCACUCAUAAAAUAUCAAUUACGUGAUGUGAGAUGAGGUUUGAAUCAUUUGAUUGUUCUGAAUUUAUCAAUAAAAAAAUUUUAAGCCACUUCUUUAUUUUUUUUCCAAUUUUUUUAACUCGCUUAUUUAUUCUUUUGAGUUCUAAAAAUGUUCUCAUUCAUAAACAUGAGAUCUACAUUAUAUUGAAAAAAAUUUGUGUGGGAGAAAUAAAUUACCUCAGCAUCAAUUGUCAUUUGACAUAAUAUUCAAUUGAUUUCAUAAUAAAACUCAUAAAUUUUUUAUUAUUUAAUUUAUGAGUCCCACUAAUAAGAUCCUUUAAACCUACUGACUAAUAGGUCGUUUUAAGAGGCACAAUUAAUCUGCAUAUUGUAAUUUUCACACAUAAUAGAUUGACUAACUAGAUAUCAUGAUGUUGAGACCAUUUAUAAUAUUAAUUACUUGAUGUGAAGAAUAUGUUUGAUUGCUCUAAAGUUAUCAAUGAAAAAUAUUUGUUUAAGGCACUUUCUUUCUUCUUUUCCAAUUUUUUUUUUCUAGUCCCUAUUUUUCAUUUUUUUAAAAAAUAUAUCCAUUCAUAAAUUUGAGAUAUACAAUAUAUCAAGAAACAUUUAUGUAGAACAAGUAUACUUCCUCAACAUUAAAAACCUAUCAUUUAGCUUAAUGUUGAUGAAUUCAUGAUAAGACUCAUAAUUUUUUAUUAUUUAAUUUAUGGAUUUCUCUAUCAGGAUCAAUCCAACCUACCUAAUAAUAGGUUAUUUUAGUGCAUAUUUUUCACCUAAUGUGAUAUGAUAUGUCUCUAGCUCAAUCUACUAACUUCAAAUUCAAGUUAACUCAAAUAGUAAGUAGUUUUAUUCAACUAGGUAGUCUCUUAAAGAGAGAUUUUGAUAAAACUAAUUUCCUUUUGAUACUUCAGACUCAUAACGUCAUAUCAUAACCAAACUUAAUAAAAGAUAAACAAUAUAAUCAAACAUUUGUAAUUGAUUUUUCACUUUUACAAAUAUAAGGUUAAGAUUUUUUUUAAUAGUGUAUGACGCAAUCGUUCUAGUUCUUGCUAUAUGCAUAGCUGCCAUAUAUAUACAUCACAUAUAAUCUUGAUUCUUGAAAUUUUUAUAUUGUUCUUGAUGGUCUUGAUUUUUGUCAUAUACGUGCAUCACAUAAUAGUCUUGAUCCUUACCAUAUCUUUGUUAGAUAAAUUUUUAGUUUAGAGAAACAAAAUAAACUAGACUCUCAAUCAGACAAUGUGGCUCAAAGGUCCAUUUAUACAAGAGAAAAGUUUUUUUUUUAACCUAUAUGACAGAAUUAAUUAAAGUAAAUAAUCAAAUAAAAUAUUUUGAUUUUGAUUUUUCAUAUUUACAUGCACAUAAUUAUCUUGAUUAUUGUCAUAUUUUUACAUAAUUACGGUCUUAAUUCUUAACAUUUGUGCAUGCCGUAAUAGUCUUGUUCUUUCCACAUUUACAUCCCAUAAUAUUCUCGAUUCUUGUUACUUGCAUAAGUCGUGAUGGUUUUGAGCUUUGUAAUAUAUGCAUCCCUUACUGUUAUUGAUCAUUUUCAUAUGUGUGUCGAUCAUAUAAUGGACUUAUUAUAUACAUCACGUAAUUAUUAUAUACAUCAAAAUAAUGAUCUUAAUUCUUUUAAUAUAUAAUGGUGUUCAUUCCCAUCAAACGCUUAUUUAGUACCUCUUAUUUGAUUGAAGUGUCUAUUUACACUUUAUAAUUUAAAGAAUACCUUAAAACAUCCCUGUUGUUAAAUAAUUGACAUUUAUACCCUUAUUUUUCUUUACUUUUAUAAUAUUAUUGUUACUACAAUUUUAAAGUAAUAGUUAAUACCUUUGCAAUGAUCUUGCUAAUAAUUAUUUAAAUAACAAGAUGCUUAAAAUAUUAUCUGAGAAGCUAAUUAAUAAUCUGAACAUGAACACAUAAAUGAUCAAACCAGAAUUCACCAAAACAACAUACAAAUCAGCUAGGAAUCACAAGACACAAUCAAUUACGUGGUUAAGGUAAUUUUCAUUUACUAACAUCCACGAGAGGAACAAACCGAUUAACUUUAUUAAUUGAUUCAAGUUUCUUUACAAAGAGAUUUUCAAAGCAAGAUUCAAGGAAUAAGAAAACUCUCUUCUCUCAAGCUAUCUCCCUCUCUUGAAUUCUCUAGGUCUCUCUAUUUGUUGCACCAUAAUCAGUUGUGUUAACAGCUUAUAACAAACCCAGAAGCUUGAUAGUAUUGCACAUGAGAAGCAUGUGUAAUGAAGACCUCUUAACAACCUUUAUAUGUCACUGGUCGAGUUUCAUUAAGCCCAAAAUGGCAAAGCUUAUUGUCUUUUAAUUAAGCAAAAUUAAAUCUCAAUGAAACACAGAUUAGCUGGUUGUUUUGUUUAAGUCAUUAACCACCCAAACACAUGCCAUUCUUGUCGUUUUGUCAACACUUGAUUUGUUUCACUUGUACUUAACAAAUCUCUACCUUAAAAAAAAUCAAAACCUGUUUAGAUUUUCUGCUCGUCCCUCUGCAACUUCAAAUAUUGCACAAACCAGCCUUGUUCAUGCAAACCUUGAACUUAGAUAUGAUUUACCUUCGUAAGCAUGUCUGCAGGGUUGCCGUCAGUAUGAACCUUCUCCAUUUUUAUCACUGCUUUGGACACUUCAUUCCUUAUAAAGUGUAAUUUGACAUCACCACGCUUGGUUCUCUCAUGAUGAACUGGAUUUUUACUCAAGUAAUUUCACUUGAUCUGUCACAGUGGAUAUCAAUAUUCUUUUGAAGCAUCCCAACUUAGCCAACAUUCCUUUGAGCCAUAAAGUUUCCUUGACUGCAUCUGUAGCUUUAGUGUAUUCAGCCUCUAUUGUUGACAUAACAAUAACAUGUUGGAGACCUGUUUUCCAGUUUAUAAUGCAGGCAUUCAACAUGAAUCUAUACCCUGUUAAGGACCUUCUCCUAUCAUAAUUACCAACAAAAUCUGAGUCCAUAUGACCCCAUAAUCCACCAUUUAUUCAAUUUGAUCUGCCAUAUAGUAGUCCAUUUUUUAUAGUACUACUUAAGUACAUCAAUAUCUAUUUGAUUGCUUUCCAAUGCUCCUUACUAGAUGCUGAACAUAUAUCUGCUUGCAAUGCUUAGAGCACCUGAAAUAUCAAGUCUUGUUAGGACCAUAGCAUACAUCAUGCACCCUACAGCAUUGGCAUAAGGAAUAUUUACCAUUUCAGCCCCUUUCUUUAUCUGUUUUAGGGUAUUGCUGAUUUGAUAGUAUGAAGUGAGAUGCCAAUGGUUUUAUGACAGAUUUACAGUGUUGCAUCCCAAAGGUGCUAAGCACUUAUUGUAAAUAUUUCUCUUGUGAGAGAAAAAUUGUUCCCUCUCUUCUGUUUCUCAUUAUCUUCGUACCUAAGAUCUUCUUUGCAUGUCCUAAGUUUUUCAUAUCAAACUCUGAAUUGAGCAGCAGCCUUAAGGCUUCAAUUUCACUUCUCUGUUUACAAGCUAUCAAUAUAUCAUCCACAUACAGCAGCAAGUAUAUAUAAAGAUUAGUUUUCGAUGACUUGUAGUAAACAUAACAAUUAAAACAGCAUCUAACGAAUCUAUGAGAAAUCAUGAACUCAUCAUACCUGAGAUACUACUGCAUAGGGAAUUGUUUUGACCCAUACAAUGAUUUGUUCAACAAACAUGCAUAAUUAGUCCUCUUUAGAUCCACAUACCCCCCUGGUUGAAUCAUCAAAAUCUCUUUUUAUAGCCUUCCAUGCAAGAAAGCAGUUUUAAUAUCAAGUUGAUCAAGCUCCAUGUCAUGAAUUGUUGUCAAAGCUAACAACACCCUUACUGAAGCAUGUCUGACUACAAAUGGGAAACCUUUCUUAAAAUUAACCAUUUCCUUUUGAGCAUAUCCUUUAGCUAAUAGCUAGCCUUAAAUCUUCUAGGUUCAAUAGUGGUUAGACCAUCAAUUAGAAGUUUACUAAACUUCAUUAUUCAUCACAGCUAAUGGAGAAAGGAACAUAAAGCUCACAACAAAUAAAUAUACAUAGUGACAGCACCAAUUGAACGGCACCAUAAACCAAUCAUAGAGACAUUUCCAUCAACCCACAAGUAAUCAAUCACAGCCUUCAGAUAAUCUUUCUGAAAAACAAGCAAUCAACUUCAAAUGGACCUUAAUUACAAGAAUAAAGGUCAACAAGAUAGAUAAUUGAUCUCAUAAAUGAUUUUUUCCCUUUAAAAAUUAAAAUUUUAAAAAAAAUUCCUAGAUGUGUAAUUUUUUCCCACUAGUUAACCAACCACUUACUUUAUUCCAUCCUAGAGUAACAUACUCUCCUGCACAGAGCCCAGAUCCUGAAAAAAUCAAAAGUGAAAAUGGUAAUAUUUUAAGGCGGUAAUAUUAUUGGAGCUUCACUAGCAUCAGCCUUGUAGAUACUGCCAAAGAUCAAGAUAUACUGCUAAUUACUAUUCUGUAACUAGUGCUCAAGUGCAUCAUUUGUAGAUAAAAAGCAAUGAAGCCUGUUGAAUUCUUGAAAUUACAAUAAAGUUUACAAUUCAUCUUCAAAGCACAAAGUUCCAAAUUGUAUCUUGGAAGAAAUAUGUGUAAGCCGUUACAUAAUUUUACUCCAUCUAUCUUUUAAAAUCACAAAAGUAAAUUUCAUUAUUCAUUGAUUAUUCAAUUGGAAUAUAAUUUCAAUAAGCCAAAUUCAUAUAAAAUAUAAAAUAUAGAUUUAGAUUCUCACAAUCCUUGAAUCUCCUGUAAGUUUACACAACCCAGUCCUUCAAAAAGCAAAGCAACAUUAUGUCAACAUAAAUUGAACAAUAUGUGACAGAUGAAUUGUACACCUAGACUAAGCAUAAGCAAGAUUAAAUACAACACCUCAUUAAGCUUUAACAUAAAACAAAUGGGAGUAAUGUGCUCAUAAUUUAUCUAUUAUUUUAAUGCUUCCAUAACUUAAUUUUAUGUUAAAGUAUAUUUUAUUAUAUUAAUUUUUAUAUUUUGUCAUUGUAGGAAUAUUGGGAAUAUUCAUGAGAAAAGAAGCUUAAAGAGGAAACAAAUUGGAGUAUAAUAGAAAUAAUGUGGAAGUAAAAGGGAAAGAAAUACAAAGCCAAAUAAAGGAAGAUUGAAUUUAAGCAUCAUGCAAGCAAUCACGUGAAGAAUCAAGGAAGAGAAGAAAAGGUCAAUUGGCUUUUAAUUUCAAGCUAGUUACGUGGAGCCCAUUUGACAAUUUAAAUGGCAAGCUUACAAUAUAAUAAAGGAAGCAAAUAUUUUGGCAUUGUUUGAAAAGGGUAUUCACGUGGAUGGGCUUAAAAGGUGGCUAGAAUUGUUUUGUUUUAAAAAUCCUUUUUAUUUAAGGAUUCGUGGGCUGGAUUUGUUUUGUUUUGAAAUCCUUUUCCUUUAAGGAUUUGGAAGAAACCACAACAUUAUAAAAGGGAAGAAAGGCAGCCGCACAAGAAGAAUCGAAGCCAAGAGAAAGGAGAUAGAGCAGCAGCGGCAAGUUUUGAGCAAAACCGAGAGCAGCAGGAAUAAUCCGGAGCAGGAGGAAGACGCAUUAAUUCUUGAGUUUUUCUUUUCCUCUUCUCUAUUAUCUUGCUUGAAUGUUUCCAAUAAAAUUAAUGGAUUCUCUUUAUAUUUCCAUGAACUAAUUUAUUUUACUAGGGCUACGAUGUAGCCUAACUAUGAAGAUUUAAUUCCAUAAAUCUAUGUUAUUUUUAAUUAAUUAUUCCAUGAUUGAGUGUUCAUUAUUGUGCUUAAUGCUUUUAAAUAUCUGGCCAAUAUUUGAAUGAUUUGAGGAUACAUAAUGAGACCGAGAGGAGAUUUAUGUAUUUUUGCUCUGUGUAAUGGAUGCCAUGAAUUGAACGAAAGACAGAGAUGUGCCAACAUGAUUCGUGCAGUUUUUCUAAGAAUUUUCAUGGAACUUAAUGAAUCUUUGCAUAUUUAAAUUCACAUUGAGAUAUAGUGGGUUAAUGUGUGAAGGUAUUUUUUAUAUUACUCGAGAGAGGAUAUUGAAUAAAUUAGAAAAAUUCACUGUCAACAUGGGUAGUAAAUUUUAAUAGCAUAGAUGGAGGAUUAAAUUGGAUUGGUUAUGGUGAAAUCGGAUGUCCUAGUGUCUUAAUCUCUUGGUGAUUUCUAUUACUGCCUGCGUCUUUAUUUAAUUUUUAAUAAUUUUAUUUUAAUCUAAAUUCGCUUAUUUGAUUGUUUAAAUAAAUUAGGGUUAGAAUAAUUUCGGUAACUAAUAGGAUAUACAAUCUCUGUGGGACGAUACUCUACUCUUCAUUAUAUUACUUGUGCCGACUAGUACACUUGCUAAUUUACGCAUCAGGGAGCAAGAGAAACUCCGUCUUCAUUUGGAAGCAAAUAUCUGCAAACGGACGCUAAACCAUAUACUCCGCAAACAUUUCCAUCUUUAUUUGUGACAAGAUUAUAUGUUAGGAAAGAGUAACUAGCAAGGAGUCGUAACAUUCGAUCAAGUACUGUUGAGGCUUCUUGGUUAUUUGUGGGCAGCUGAGAUGCAAUCUCAGAAGAAGAAAGCUGAGAUGGACUAGCUUUAGCUAAAAUCUCUAACACACCAAGCUCGAUGAUAGCUUUCAUGGUCAUCGGAAGUAAUGAGCUGUGGGCAAGCUCCAUGAUGAGCAUGAAAUCUUCCUCAUCGUUUGGUGGUUUCAUGAGUUGGUCAUGGAAUGAACUCAUCUUAUUUCUCGGAGUAGGAUAUGCUGAAAUUAACAAAAUGGCAAUGGAUGACGUUGAUGAGCGCUCAGUAUAUAACUAUAUAUAUACACGUAUAGAUAUAUUAGUUAUAAAUGUAGGUUUUGGUAGCUUUGCCGCUUUUAUAUAUGUAAAUAGCCCCACUCAUCACAAUCAUAGUUAUGUCAUCAACCAAUUUAAAACAAACGCAUCAGUGUUAACAAGGGAAUCAUUCACCACUUGUCUUCUAAGUCUUCAAUUUAAAUGUUUCAUCCGACUUUUCAAUUCUGCAAUGACAUUUUCUGUCCCACUCUCGACAGUGAUCACAAAGAUGGGAAACCUGGGUACCUACUUUUUUUGACUCUUAAAUAUUAUUGCAAUUUGCACCAGCUUUGGCCCAUGGGGGGCAUUGGCUGCGUGUCAGUUUCCAAAGUACCUCACGAUUCUUUCAUAUCUGCUUCGAAAAAAGAAAGAAGAGCUUUCAACAUCAGUAUUUAAAAUAGGAUCCCUCUAAGUUACAUGCAUGUACCUUACAACCCUCUCACAUGAAUAGUAUCCAUACACUAUUCAUGUGAGAGGGAUGUAAGGUACAUGCAUGUAACUUAGCAUUACCCAAAUCGUUUUUCUAUACUUAUCAACAGCUGUAGCCCAUAUCCGCGGGCAGUAGAUUUCAAACAAAUUCAUCAACUAACCAUCGAUUGUUUUCGCAUUGAAUGAGUAUUUAUUUCCAUUUGAAAAUAUAACCUAUUUUCAAAGUAAUUGAUUAUGGUCGUGAUUCGUUUAAUUUUUCUUUCUUACUUACCGAUAGCUUUGGCCCUUGUUGAGGACGCAUUAGGUUCCAAAUAAUCCAUCAACCAUGUUCUGAUAGCUACAGGGAAAACAAAGUAUUUGUUACCUUAUUAAAAUAUAUCAUAUUUCAUAAUAAUUGAAUGUGAUCGUCAUUUGAAAAUAACUUGUUACCAUUAUAAGAUUAUUUGAUUUCAUAAAAAUCAAGCAGAAGCAUAGGAACUUACCUCCAACUAUAGUUAUUAGUUUGUCAUGUGAUAAAGACAAAGCACAAAUAUAAACCUCAAUAGGGUGAUAAGGGAAUAUUCUCACAUCCAUUAAGAAUGAUCUUAGACUAAUAAUAUAAAAUUAAGACAACCGCCAACUCUUGAGUUAGUUUUUGAGUAUAAGUUAGAUACAACUUACUAGUUUAAAGUCAAUUUUUAACUGAUGUGAGAUUUUUAUAUUUGUUUUUAGUGGGCUUGUAUGUACUUUAGGAUUUGGUUAUAUUAUACAUAAUAUUCGAAAAAAAAAACAUUAUGAUUAAUGAUGUAUCAAUUGCACAACUGAAGACUUUGCUUGAUUGCUUGGACUAUAAAGUCUAUAUGUAACUGCCUGCUAAAUCAAGUGGAAAAGAAAUUUGUAUAGAUAGUCGAGUCCAAAAAAAAACUCACAGGACCAAGCCUCCAACUAUGACCAACCCUUCAACUAAGUUUGAUUUAUGAAUGAAUUGCAAAGUUCUUUUAAUACGGUUAAAAUUUUGAAUCGAUCGAGCAGUUAAAUAUGACAUCAGAAUUCAGAUGUAACUUUGCUACAAUGUCUCGUUUCAUAUUUACUAUCUGACAAAAUCGAUUAAGGGUUGUAUUUAAUAAUAAUAAUAUUAUUAUUAUUAUUAUAUUUUAAAUAAUUUCAAUGGCGUACGUUUCAGGUUUGUUUAAGCUUUUGGUCAACACAAACGCUUUGCCUAUUGGCACCAAAUUUUGAUUAAUUGCUCCCAAGCGAUCCAAUACCUGCCCGCAGCUGACCGUUGAAAAGUUGAUCUCGUCUAUUAAAUUAUAUAGUUCUGUAGUUAAUUGAACACCUCUUUUAUAUUUUUGUCCCCUCACAAACGCUUUGUAUCAAUCCUAAACUUUUUUUCCUAUCAUUUUCUUGCUUAUGGUUUUUUAUUUAAAAAAUUACAAAAUAAUUAUUUGAGUCUCCUUUUAAUUCUACUUAAUAUAUAUAAAUAUAUAAUUUUUGGAGUUAAAUAUAUGAUUUAAUCAUUCAUAAAUUUUUUAAAAAUUAAAGUUAAGUGGAACGAAUCGAUUUUUUUUAUAAUCAGAAAGAAAUUAAAAAAUUUAAAAAAUAUUUUAAGAAUUACAAGUAGAUUUAGGGAUGGCAAUGGGGAGGGGAGGGGACCAAUCUCUCCGUACCCAUCCCCGAUAUUUUGCGUAUGUCCCCGUCCCCUCCCCAUCCCCGUCAAAAUUAUUUAAGAGAAUCCUCAUCCCCUCCCCGAAUAAUAACAGGGGAUCUCCGAGGGUCCCCGAUCCCGAAUAACUAAUAUAUUUUUUCUAUUUUCGAUUUUGAGUUAAUCAUAUUAAAAUAAAAAAUUCAAAUAAAAGUAAAGUUUGAAAUAUAUCUUACAUUAAAAUCCAUUACAAAAGUCACAUACACUAAAUUAGUAAGUAACGCAGCAUGCAAGGGAUACAAACUAUCAUGAACAAAUUAAUAGGCUAAUAUAAAAUUGUUACAAAUAAAAUCAAAUUUAGAUUCAAAAUUAACUUUUCAAUGGUGGCGUGGGCACUUUAUAAAUGUGGACUAUUCCUUUUACAGCACAAUAGUUAAGUCGAAGCAAAUUAAGAGUAAAUAUUAGAUUAGAUUAGAUAUUAAAAUUGUGAUUUGCUAUGGCAAUUAUAACAUCUAAAAAUAAAAAUAAAAAUAGAUUUAAGUUUAAAAUAUUUAAUGAAUAUUAAAAUUAAAAUAAAAGUUUUGGGCUAAUAGAAUCUGUCCGGUCUUUUUAAUGUCCUAAAUAAAAAUUUAGGACUUUAAUUAGUUAAUUAAGCCUAAAAGUUUAAUAAUAUAAAUAUUUUGAUAUUUUUUUAUUUUUACCAAUACUUAUAAUUUUAUAAUUCAAUUUUUAUUAUUUAUUUGCUAGUAAUUUUAAAAAAUAAAAAUUAGAUUAAAAAUUAAAAUGGGGAAAUGGGUAGGGGAUGUGGAUUCCACCUCAUCCCCGUCCCCUCCCCGAAUAAGAAAUUGGGUAAAAAAAUUUCUCAAUCCUUUUCCCGAAUAAGAAAUUGGGUAUGAAAUUAUCCUCAUACCUUCUCCGAAUAGGAAAAAUGCCCGAGGGUACCCGUCCCCGUAGAGAUUUUUGCCAUCCCUAAGUAGAUUGUGAUAGAAAAAGAGUGUUAAUUUUAUCAAUUCUAGGCUUCUAGCUAUGGUCCACGAAAAAUAUAAAGAAUGCAAGGUAAAAUUAUACAAGAAGACUUUUACUUCUCUUCAAAAGGAGGACCAAAAAAUUCGAGAAGACUGACAUUGCAAGAAGAAAAAUUAUAUAACAACACGCAACUCGAAAAGGCAUAAAAUAAUAAUAUGAGGAGUAGACGCGGAUUGUACAAGCAAGCAGCCGCAGGAGAAAUUUGGUCAUUUUAUAUUGAGUAAUGAUAUAUAGUCACUUAUAAAUUUAUUUUGUACAAACUUAUAUGGUAUGAUAAGAUUGAUUGAAUUAAAUAUUACUUGUUUCACAUGAUUUGUUUGUAUUAUUUUAUAUUUUCAUUCAACCAAUGAAUUAAUGUCACGUCAGUUUAUCCAAGAUAAAUUUGUACAAGAGUUUGUGACUGUAUCAUCACUCUUUUAUAUUAACGUUAUAAUUUGACGAAAUAAUUAAUAAUUACUUAUUAUGAUAAACAAAAUCAAUAUAUAAAAUAGUAAUAAAACAAUCAAAUGUUACAAAAAACAUUAGAAAGCAAAAUGAUUCAUCGUUUUUAAAUGUUCUUAGACCAUGUAUCGAGGAAAUUUAAUGAUGGAAUUAGUAAACAAAAUGAUGCAUCGCUAAUUUAGGAUAAUUAAAAAAAGUCAAUAUCCAUCCAUAAACAAUAUUAAAUUUUGUAGGCAAUGUUCAAUAUUAAGGAAAAGCUACUAACCGAAAGUUGAUUUAGAUGGAUAAUUAUUUUAAUGAAAUUUAUUGAAUGUGAGCCUUAAAUAAAAUAUAUUUUAAAAUAGGAAAUGUAAUUUUGUAAAUAUUGAUUUUUUUUUUUUAACUACAAAAGUGUUAAUAAAUAAUCUUGAGGGGUUUUAUUCUAAAGUGACGGCCUUAGGCAAUUGCCUAACUUGCCUAUCUCUGGAGCCGGCCCGAUAAAAAAUUAAUAUCUUUUUAGUCGUAUCCUUCGCUAAGUUCGCUUUGGAUUUUUCGUUUUUGGUUCUUUCAUAAUUAGUUGUACUUUAUUUACAAUAGGAGUACAUAAUAAAUUCCUUGUUCACUCGGUCUCUUUGUUCUUUUACAUAUUAUGUAUGAAAAACCAGAGUUUCAUAUUUAUUUGUUUAAAGACGGAAGUAGCCUUUUCUUUGCACUUAAAUUGUAAGUGAGUUGCCACUUGGGCUUGUAGCCCACUGGUGAACCAUUGCCCUUAAAGUUAAGCAUGACUAUGAGGGUAAUGGUUCGAGUUUCUACGGACUCAAUGUCGCUCAAUUAAACAUAAUUGUGUGGAGACUACUUAUAACGUCUUUCUUCCUUGCGAAACACGAGUGUAGUAGAGACACCCCUCCUCCGUGUGGGAUAUUUGGCUGGUCAUGUACUUUAUAGAAUAAAAAUGUAAUAAUAUAAGUCUCAUGUAUAUAUCUGAUUGUAAAUAUUAGUGUAAUGACCUACUGUUAUAGCAGUUGUAUAUAUCUCUGUGUAAUACAGUAACUUGAUGCUUAAUCAGUUAAAAAAAAAAAUUGUAAGUGAGUUAUCAUUUGUAAUGUAUCAAUUACAAAACUUGAGACUUGCAUGCCUCCUUUGACUGAACUCCUCAAGAAUACAAAUUUGGUCGUAAAAUCUUCUGGCAAAGUGCAGUUAAGUCAAUAGACAACUUCUGAAGCCUAAAUCAAGUACGCAAGCAACUCAAUAUGUCAAUGUGGAAUUCCAAGUUGCGUCGAAUUAAAUGAAAAUUUCUAAUAGGAAGAAAGUCUUCAACUACAUUUGAAUUAUGAUUUUUUUUUUUGAAAUCGUGGAGAUUUAUUACCAAAGCCUUUAACUAUCUUUGAUUUAUGACUAAGUUUUUUUUUUUUUAAAUAGCGGAGAUUUAUUUUUAAUAUUAUUGUUAGACUUUCACUAAUCUGUUUAAAUUUUUCGAUCGUGUAGCUUUUUUUUUUUUUUUCUCUCUAAGUAAUAUUAGGCACUCUCGUAUUUAAUUAUUUUCACAUACAAAGUCUAUUUUCAAUUAUUUUAAUUUUUUAGUUCGUAUUUUGGAAUUUAUUUAGAUUUAUUUUUAAUAUUGUUUGAAAUUAAUUUGACGUGAGAUGGAUGUUGAGAUAUUUUUGGGCACUUGUAAAGCGUUUGGUCACGCCAACACAAAUGAUGGCCAAUUGGGCAUCAAAUUUUCAUUAAUUGCUCCAGCGCCAUUGAAUCAAUUGCGGCAGCUGACAGCCUAAUGCUUGCUGUGGUCAACUCUUCACUUCGUGUUGACUUUUGAACAUAUAACUUGUAAGACAAAAUGCGAAAUUCUUGUAUUCAUGAAGGUCAUAAAUUUGACGUUUAAGGUUAGAUUUUAUGCUAACUUUAUGCGCUCGGUAAAAGGAAGUCACAAAUACCUCUCAACAUCUCGUUGUAUCAUAUGAAUUUCUUUUAAAAUUAAAUUUGUCAAUAUGGAAAUGAUUAUUAAUUAAUUCAAUAAAUUGAAAAGCAAGUUGAGUAUACUACCCAAAUUAUUGGUACCAAUUUGUAAGCAUUUAUUUUGGCUUUGUGCUUAGCUAUCAUCACUUUAGCAAAUGAAACUAUAAAUACGCACCCAAGCUACCUAGCUACAAAUUAUUGGUACCAAUUUGUAAGCAUUUAUUUUGGCUUUGUGCUUAGCUAUCAUCACUUUAGCAAAUGAAACUAUAAAUACGCACCCAAGCUACCUAGCUACAAAAAUCAAGCAACAUAGCAAGCAAACAAUUGAAACCUUUUACAAUUUGUUUUCAACUUUUAUAGCCAUGUUUGAUUCAUUAGCCUUUCCUCAAUACUUUAUUUUCCCAGUAAUUUUCUUUCUCUUUCUCCAUCAUUUCAGAAAGAUCAACUCAACCCCAUGGAAUUUGCCUCUUCUUGGCAUGUUAGCCUCUGUGAUUCUCAACAUCAACCAGCUUCAUGACAAAGUUGCCCAAAUUCUUGAAAAAACAAAGGGCUCAUUCAUGAUCAAAGGCUCAUGGGUAGCUCAAUAUGAUAUGUUUCUCACAAGUGAUCCAGCAAAUGUUCAGCACAUAAUGAGUACAAAUUUUUCAAAAUAUCACAAAGGGUCCGAGGGGAGGAAGAGGUUUGAUAUUUUCGGAGAGACGGGGCUUUUCAAUUCUGAUUUUGAUGAAUGGAAACACCAAAGAAAGCUUGCUCGUGCGUUUAUUAAUCACCAGAAGUUUCAGCAACUGAUGGCCAAGAUCGUUCCGGAGAUGAUCGAAAGAGGGCUAAUCCCAGUUCUUGAUCAUGUGAGUGAAGAAAAAAUGUUGGUGGACUUUCAAGAUUUGUUGAAAAGGACCACGUUUGAUUUUGCAUGCUUGAUUGCCACUGGGCAUAACCCUAAUUCCCUUUCGGUGGGGUUUCCGGAAAUGGGGUUUCCGGAUGCUGUUGAUGAUGCUUGUGAGGCUAUACUUAUCCGGCAUCUCGUGCCGGAAAGUUUAUGGAAGUUGCAAAGCUGGUUAGGGUUUGGGAAGGAGAAAAAAUUGGCUAAUGCUUGGAGAACCAUUGACCAAUUUUGGGAGAAGCAAAAGUAAAUGAAGCAAGAAGAAAUAGAGAAAGGAAUGGAAGCUAAAGAAGAUGAAGGUAUAUAUAGUCUUUUGAAUUGUUACUUGAGUGGACAUGAAGUAACAGGACCAACACCAGCUGAAAAAGUUAUGAGAGACAACAUCACGGGCUUAAUUUUUGCAACUGAAGGCACCACAAGUAUAGCUCUCACUUGGUUCUUUUGGCUGGUCUCCAAGAACCCAUUUGCUGAAACCAAAAUCAGAGAAGAAUUGAAGAGAAAUUUUUCACAAGAAGGAUUCAAUAAGCCGCCGUUGGUUCGACUAAACGAGCUGAAUAAGCUUGUUUAUCUCCAUGCAGCUUUGUGUGAAACUUAAGGCUGUAUCCUCCUGUGCCUUUUGAAAUAAGGAUUCCUCUUCAGCCUGAUGUUCUUCCAAGUGGGCACCAAGUGAAUCAAAACACACACGUUUUGAUUUCAGCGUAUUCGAUGGCGAGAAUGACUUCAGUCUGGGGAGAGGAUUGUCGAGAAUUCAAGCCGGAGAGAUGGAUCACUGAAGAUGGGAGGAUCAGGCAUGAGCCACCACACAAGUUCUUUUCAUUCAAUGCAGGUCCAAGGAUCUGUAUUGGUAAGGAUAUUGCAUUUACUCUGAUGAAGGCCACAGCAGCAAGCAUUAUUCAUAAUUAUGAUGUUCAAGUAGUGAAAAAUCAUCCGGUGACCUACAAUCUUAGUAUUGGUUUUCGUAUGAAGCAUGGAUUACUGGCUAGGGUUUCUAAAAGAUCAGCUCAACCGCGGCAUAUUAAUUGAUUCAAUUGAUAAGCUAAGGUCUCUUCAAUAUGCAAGAAAUGUUUGGUUAAUUUAGAUUGGAGGAAGUCGCUGAUUUCGAAACAGCAAGAAAACAUAACGACAUGGUGUGGAUUUGUCUCCAUCCUUAGGAACAUUAUUCAGCUUCAGAAAACGAUUUGGUUACGACUACAAUGCAUUUGAUGCAUUGAUGGAUCGGUCUAAAUAAAUGUGAAUUUUUUAUAAUUAGUUGUGGAAGGAAAAGUAGUAGUAGUAGAUUAUUACGUUUAAUGGUGGUAUGAAGAAUGUAAGAUUAUUGUGUUUAAUGGUGGUAUGAAGAAUGUAAAAUAAUAUAAACGAAACUAGUGAAUAAUAGUAUUUUCUUAUAUCCACAAAGUCGCAACUAGAGUUGGCAAAAUGAGUCACUGAGUCGUGUUCGUGUCAUCUCAGUUUCGUAUUGUUUUAAAUUUAGAUCGACCCAAACACGGCCUAUUUAAUAAUCGUGUUAAAUUAUUGAAACUCGUACCUAACAUGAAAAAUAAACAGAUUAUCUAAUAACCCGUUUAAUAUCUAUAUAUUUAACAAAUGUUACACAUCCAAACUAUUACACAUUUACACUAUUUAAAGUUUAAAUUAUACAUAUGUAAAUGAUAGUAUCUAUCGAUAUCAUAAAAUAUAUAUAUGUAUCAAUAUUUUACACCCUUACGCUAUUAAAGUUCUAAAUUUGUUUUAAAUUUUAUAAAUAAAACACUGUGUAUAUGUCUGUCUUCUAAAAAAAAAUCAAAAAUAGAGAAUCAUGUCCAAUAUUUGAAUUUUAAUGAUAAGAAUUUAAAAGUUAAUUUAAAGUAAAAAAAUAUAAUCGUGUUGUUAUUCGGGUAGAUGGGUCAAGAAUUUUAACCCUAACUCGAUAUGAAAAAAAAUGUGUCAACCCAAACUCAACCCAUUUAAUAAUCAUGUCAAAUUUGAUGACUCAUCCCCAUUUAUUAGUGUUGUGUGUUGAAAAUCUGAUUAAAAAAAAGGUCAGAGUGAUGGGUGGUUGAGCCACCAUCUUUGAAUUCAAAGACGGUGGGUGGUUGAUGACUCAUACCCAUUUAAUAUUUUUGUCAAAUUUGAUGACUCAUAUCCAUUUAUUAGUGUCGUGUGUUGAAAAUGUAAUUAAAAAAAGGUCAAAGUGAUGGGUGGUUGAGCCACCAUCAUUGAACAAGGAAAAAUGGGUGGGUGUUGCCCAUGCAAAGAAGAAAAAGAGGAAGAAAAUGGAAGCCAAAAUUUGGCUAUAAAUAGAGGAAUUCUCCUCCUCAUUUUGUAUCCAAGAGAAGCAAUCUAAAUUGAGAGCAGAGAAAUAUUUUUUAAGCAUGUAAUUAUAUUGUAGGAGCAUUUGACUCCUCAAUAUGGGUAUUACGGGUUUGCUUUGUUAAGGAAUAUUUCUCGAGAUUAUAUAUUUGGACCUUGGGUGUGAGAAAAUUAUUUCUGAGAGUGUAAUUGUAAUAAUUUUUCACAUAGUGAAUAUUUUUCUCUAGUUGUUUUGUGACAACGGCAGUGAUUUUUCUCCGGAUUUGGAGUUUUCCACGUAAAUCUUAUGUUGUGUGAUUGGUGUAUUCUCCAUUUAAUUUUUCUGUUAAUUUGUUGUUUGACAAAUUGCUUGCAGUGAUCUUGGGAGGAAGUUCAAUUUCCUAACAUUGUGUUCGUGUCAGGUAGUCAGAUCGUGUUAAAUUUUGCCAGCUGUAGUCGCAAUUAAUGUAUUACAUGAUAAAAUUAACAAUUUACCGAUGGAUCUGAUCUGUUAUAUGGUCUACCCAAAGAUUUUAGUCAUAUUAUCAACAAAGUCUAGCUCUAUAUAUGUAAAUUCUGAAAAAGUUACACCAUAAGAGGUAUUUUAAAAAGAUUUUGAAGUCCAACUCUUUUUUAUUUGUAAUUUUAACUUACAAAAUAGAUUUUUGUUUUAUAAUUUGGCUCUUGGAUUUUAACUAUCAUAAGCUUACCCUUGAUUUAUAAGCUUACCAUAUGUGAUUUUCAGCCCCUAAAUUUCUAAUUUCGGCUCAACCCCUGCCCCUACUUCUUGUCAAAUGGCGAUGUGGAAUAUUAUUGCAAUCGAUAAAUAUCCGACCUCAUAAAUAUUUGAGACUUCAAAUACGACCAAGAGAGGACUGUUAUGUCAUUCAAAUGGAAAACCCACACGCAACAAAUAUGUAAUAGAUGGGCUGAUGGGGCGAAUCUGAUAGUGUAAAUUGAACAUUGAGAAAAUAAAUAUGUAAAACAACAUGAUUUAUAAAACCUUCAGUGACCAUCGAGCAAACCUCUUUUCCGAAAAUCUGAUGUUUUGCAACUUUUUAAUAAUAUUUCUUAGUAUUCAAAAAAUUUUCUGUAAAGGUUCUUUGUUCUUGAAGAUUGCAUAAGAGAAAAAAAAUAAUAAUAAAAUUAGGAGCAUAUUAACUCUCCAUUAAAUGUGGGAGCUCGCGAUGCAAGACUUUAUUUUACUUUCCUGACAGUUGACAGACAAUUGGCUCAUGACAGCCAGAGUUUUCUCUUUCUACAUGGCAGCCUUUCCAUAAUUUUUUUAAAAUUCGAGAUCGAGAGGUCACCCAACAAAUUAAGAGAAGAGUAGUGCGGAGAGAAGCACGAGAGAAAUAUGAGAUUUUUUUUUUUUUCUCUCAACUCACUUAUUUUCUCUCUAUUUUUUUUUAUAUUGUUUUUCUCGUUUUUUUUUUUUUUUAUGUUUCUCGACACCAAGUAUUUUCCCUCACGUAAUCAGAUUUUUCUUUGAAAAAGGAUUUGGAAUAAUUCCUAUCAAGUAAUGCUUCCAAUUUGUACGGCUCACUUGCUUGCAAUCCACUGAGAUAUAUGGCAGAUUCAAUCCAGCUCAUUUCUUUGCAAUCUUCUUUUGUCAAACCAAGAUCAGGGAACCUUUCCUGCAUUAAUGGAAGAACCCUAUCAACCCCACCAAGAAACAAGGAUGAGAAUGAGCACGUGAUCGUUCCCUUUUUCUUCGUAGUACUUAAACUCACUGCCCUAAAGGUAGCACUGAUGACUAAGUCUUCAGGAAGCUUAUCAGCAACGUACUGAUAUUUGUCAAGGAUCUUUGUCGCAUUAUUUUCCAAGGUUCUUGUGACUGUGAAUGCAGUCACAGUUGAUGGAACUGUGACUAAAUUUACUUUCCAAGCAACAAUGAUUCCAAAGCUAGCUGCUCCACCUCCCAAAAUAAAUCCUCUCCCAUUGAUUUUCUAUCAAGAAUUCUACCCCUAACAUCAAUCAAGUGAGCGUCAACUACUUGAUCAGCAGAAAGACCAAAUUUACGCAUAACGUAACCAUAGCCUCCCCCACUAAAAUGUCCACCAACACCAACAGUCGGGCAAACUCCAGCUGGAAAGCCAAGAAUUUUACUUUUCUUGGCAAUUCUAUAAUAAAGUUGGCCAAGGGUAGCACCAGCUUGAACCCAAGCUGUUUUCUUUUCUGCAUAAACGUUGAUUGAGCUAAGAUUUAUUAAAUCUAUCAUCACAAAUGGAACUUCAGAGGUAUAAGAAAGACCCUCAGAAUCAUGACCUCCACUUCGAACUCUAAUUUGGAGGCCAUGUUUUUGGGAACAUUUUAGGACUGUUUGAAUUUGGGAUACAUGAAAUGGCUUGAUAAUGACUUGAGGUUUCGGGUAUUUUGGUGCUCUAAAGAGAAGAUUUUGUUUUGAAAAAUCCAAUAUUGAUGAAUAUAAAGGGUUAUCUUGAGUGUAAAUUACUUCAGAAAUGGAGGUGUCCUCAGAGUGUACAGAAAGGCAUUGAAGAAAAUUUUCAUUGGUAAGUAAAACUAUCCCAUGAAAGGAUAGCAAAAGAGCUAAAGUAAUUGAAAGAAUAAUUGUAGUGCUUUUCAUUUUGCUGAUGUGCAAAAGAGAUUAAACCCUUAUGUAUCAGUAUACAAUCAUAUCAACUACUCUCAUAAAUUAAUUUUAAAUGUGUGGUGUGCGGCAUAAUAAAAAAGUACUGCAUUAUUGAUAAGAAUGACAUCGUUUGACAUUGAAAUUUUAACUCAGAUAGAUUCGUAUCAAACAAAAAGCGUUUAUCAUACAAUAAACAAGCUACAUUAUUUGAUGAAAAAUAUGGUUUUGUUUAAAAAAUUAAAUUUUUAUUCUAUUUAUAUUUUAUUUUCCUAUUUUACUCAUGAAAAGUGUUGGAUUCACUUCAUUUAGGUGGCCCAAGCCCAAAGCUUCCAAUAGUUUGGAUGUUUAAGUAAUUAAAGAAAAUAAGUUGGGGUUAAAACAAAAUUGCCAUAUAACUUAAGUUAAAAAAUCACGUGGAUAUAAAAGCAAGUGAAGCGGCAGUGCGGCACCUUAGGAUGGGGUAAGGAUAUUUGAACUAUCCGGAAUACUUUACAAACCCAUACUUUUAUAAAAAUAUUUAUUACUGUUAUGUCCACGAAUGAAUUUACUAUUAAGAAUAAAAUUAUGUAAUUAAAUGAAAUAAUUUAUUCUCUACACCUAUUCAAAUCUCUUUUUUUCUUUGUCCAUCCCUUAAACCUUAGUAUUCAAUGGGCUUCUCUAAUAUUUUUUUUACACAUGUCUCUCCAAAUUGCAAAUAAAGCUAGGAGUGUGCAUCGGUUUGAUACAUUAUAUAAUUAGAAUCCAUUCUGUCGCUCCUUUGGUUUUUAGGGCUUCUAAAUCCGUUCAUGAUGUCGAUGUCGGUGUUCGAUUUCUUGUUAAUCUUGAAAUGAUCAAAAUAUCUCCAAAAUAUAUAAAAUACUCAAAUUAUAACAAAACACGCACGAUCAAAGUUUAAAGGACUUAAUUACAUAAAAAGUAGAGAUGUUAGUGAGACUUGAAAUGUAAAAUGAUGAUUUUUUUCCUUUAUAAACAUACACUCUCCAGUACUUAACAAUAAAUAAAAGUCUUUUGUAUCUUUUUACAAGCAAACCUUGAUUAUUAGUUGAUGAUUAUUCUUGGAAAAGGUAAGACCCUUCAUUUAUGCAAUAAGUAUAAAAUGAUAUUUUAAAAUUUUUCAUUUUUCUUUAGAUAUAAGAAACGAGUUGUUUCACUUAGUUGUAGACUUUUGAGUAGCUCGAUCUGGGGAAAAUGCAUUUGUUAAUGAAUUUCACUUGAAUUAAAAAAAAUUAUUGUUUACUUAGAUUUUAAAAGUGCCACCCCAUACAUAAAUUUUAGUUAUCAUCCAAUAACUAUUGCUUUAAGAAAAAAAUUUGGGUGGUCCUAAAAUAUACUCUUUUUCCAUUCAUUCAUUAUCAUAUGUAUAUUUCAACUAAUUAUAUUAAUAUGCAUACAAAUAUAAGCAUCCAAGACCUUCUCUUUAAAGGACAGUUUAAAAAAUAAAAUUUGAAUAUUCAGAGGAUUCUUUGACGAUAUCAAUAUCUAGUUCUUCAAAGAGAGUCAUAACGCCUAGUAAUAGCCCCCAAUUCCAUUCAUGAUUGGUUGAGCUUAAUUUACUACUAUAAUUAUUGACUAAUAAUAUUUUUAAAACUGAAAUGAUGAAUAAAUUUUAAUUGUUUAUUUUAUUUAAUUUUACUAAUAAAGUACUUGACUUCAAACAUAAAAGUUCUCUAUUGAAUUUUUAAUUGAUUGUAAUUAUAUGUAUUAAUCUUGUUAUAGCUUACAAUUCACAACUUAUUUAUUAAUUCUUGCGAUUCUCAGUUGAUUUAUGAAUUCCUAGAGAAUUACAUGUUUUAUAAGUUAUAAUGUAAAAUUUCAUCUUAUAAAAAAAAGUGUAAAAUUUCAUAAUGAACGAGUUCUACUGUUUCAAGUUGUGAAAAGUACAAUUUCAGAAUUUUUUUUUAUUUGACUUGCACUUUUAUUUUCUUCUUUUUUUAUAUAUAAUUAUUUUGUUAGAGUUGAUAUUUAUAAGGGCAAGCUCUUGAUACCAAUAGAGAAGCUGCAAAUUGUCAGAAAACUUUUUGUUUAAAUUUGAACUAAAUAUUUUAUUUGUCCCCAAUAAAAAAACAAUACCAAACAAUUGUUAGUUUAAACUUGAUUUCAAUCAUAUGAGCAACAUCUUUUUUUUUUUGGUUAGUUAUUAGGUACUGAUUUAGAAAUAGAGAGAUUAAAUGAUUAAUUGGCUAAGGCAACACUUAUAUAUAUAGGACAGUGAUCCAAUCCGAGGUAACAAAUUGGAUCACUUUUCGGGAAUCCACCAGGAGCCAUUGGAUUGAAAUCCAAUUGCCCCGAUCGUUUGUUUUUUUUAUUUGUUGGCUGCACAUGGUGGGUGGCCUUUGGAUUUAUAUUCAAAGGCCACCGACCUUUGUCUCGAAAACUGUUCCAAUUCGAGAGUUCAUAUAUAUAUAUAUAUAGCUAAUGUUAAGUUACAUUCAUGUAACUUACACCCACUCACAUGAAUAAUGAGUUGGUUUCACACCACUCACUAUUCAUGUGAAAGUGUUGUAAGUUAAAUGAAUGUAACAUAGAGGGAUCUUAUAUAUAUAUACCUCAAGUAGAAGCCUGUCAAGUCUAAGUUAAUUUUUUAGUCAUUCAUCUCAAGACUUGAAUGCAAAUAACUAUUUAAAAGAAAUAUAAUUAAAACUAGCACACCCUUGUGACAAAUACAUUUCUAUGGAUGAAUUCAUUCUUUCCAAGGAAUUUGUUGUUGGCACACCAUUUCAAAAUUUCAAUCUUUGAAAUUAUUUUGGUUCUCAGUCAACAAGUACUUAAGAGGUCAUCUGAUUAAGCAAUCUCGAAUUUUGAUAUUGUUAGUUGUGGUCGGUCCGAAUUUCUCAAAUUACAUAUAAACUAUUAAUAAAUAGUAAACUUAAUAAAGUUGCAAUAGCAUUAGUCUGCAAAUUUAAGUCAUUAGUAGUGUUUGUUAACACGUUUAUUUUUAAUUGUACCUCAAUUAUUUUCUUGCACGUUUAUAUUUUGAAUUGUUUAUGAUGUUCUACAUCUAUAUGAAUAUAUUUGUAAUAUAAUUCAAAUGUCUAUUGAGACUAUGUCAAAAAUUUUCUCCCACUAUUAAACAGAUAUCCACGUUUAGAUACCCAUAUUUGUGGGAAGAUAAAUAUUUUUUUUUAAUAGAAAAGCUUAGCUUUCAUUAAAACGAACUUGAGAAUAAAUACAAAAGUUGAGUUGGACACUUCUUAGUCCACACUUUUGAUUAUGCAUUGUUUAGAGCCAGCUUGGCCAUUGAGUAGGCAGUAUCAUUACAAAGUCUUGAAAUGUGCUGAAUUGUGGUGUCGUUAAUCCUUUUAAGUCUUUCUUGAAUAUCUAAAAUAGUCCAAUUGACUUAAGCUUUACUGCAUUUUCUCCCUAACACUAGGUCUACAGCUUCUUGGCAAUCAAAUUCAAUUAUCAAAGGCCUGCAUCCAACAGCUUCUGCAACUUCAAAACCCAACUGAAUUGCUUUUGCUUAUGCUGCAAGAACAUCUCCAAAGAACCCUUCCUGUUUUUGAGCUACUGCUACAAAUUUUCCUCUAGAGUCUCUAUUCGCAACUCCUAAACAUGCCACCUUCUUCUGUUUAUUUGUUGCUGCAUACAUGUUUAUCUUUAAGCACCCUGCUAGUGUGGGUUUCCAAGUUUACUCUGCUAAAGCGGUUUGGCUUUGAGGGGAAGGCAGUGAUGGUGGCUUAAUUUUCCUAUAAGCUUCUACAAUGGCUUCUGCUUUAGCCAAUGAUACUUAGGAAUCUUUCUUCUUUCCUUCAAAGAUAAAGAGAUUCCUUGAAUGCCAAUUGGCCCAACAAAUUGCAAUAAAUAACUCCAUCUUUGUCCUACUCAUUUUUGCAGUCAAAGCUUGGAACACACCCAAGAGAUCUUGAUUUGCAAAGAGGUUCAUUUUAUCUGUAAAAUCAAUUAUCUUCUAUGUCUUCUUGGAUGCUUUGCAGUUUAGAAGGGUAUGGGUGGUAUUCUGUCCUGCUUACCACAUCUUAAAUAUCAAGGUUGCUGCAAAAUCUUUUUUUUUUCAAAGAGAUUCUCGGUUGUUGGAGGGAGAUUUUGGCUGCCCUCCACAUGAAAAUCUUUAUCUUCUCUGAAAGAUCCAGUUUCCAUAUUGUAUGUCACUCGAAUGAUUUUCUUUUUAAAGUACUUGGCCAGUCUGGGAAUUUCAACUUUAAAGCCACCUAGUAUCCUCUCUUCACAUCAUAGUUACCAUGCUUAUCAACGCCCCAUAUGAGCUUAUCUAGCCUCAAGCUUUUUGGUAGCAUUAUCUUCAAAAUGUGCUCUAUGCCUUCAGGUGUGAAGUAUUGUUUUAUUAGAGUUUCAUUCUACUUAUACUCUCCAUCUAUCAAUAUAGAGAUUGAGGUAUCUAAAGGCAGGGUUGGUGUUGACAAAAUCUUAAAAGUUAAAGGUCUAGGAACUCAAUUGCUGUUGUAAAUUCUGACUUGAUCUCUACAUCAUAUCCUCCAUGUCAAUCAUUGUUGCAGCACUUGUCUACCCCAGAGGAUACUCCACCAUAUGAAAGAUGGCUUACAUCAAAAGUUUACAUUAAACAAAUCUAAUUUUUUUUAAAUAUUAAGCCUGGAGAACUCUUGCCAUUAAGGAGUUAGAGAACUGAAUUACUCUCCAGCCUUUCUUAGCCAAUAAAGCUUGGUUAAAGCUAGAUAACUCUCUAAAUCCCAUCCAUAAUUUCUCUUUUGACUUGCACAUUCCCUCUCACCUAGACUAGUGAAUGCCUCUGUGAUUUCUUUUUGUUUCCCACAAAAAACGAGCUAUUUCCUUUUGGAUGUUAGCACAUAGACCCAUUGGAAUUCUGAACACAUUCAUUGCAUAAGCAAAGGUUGCUUGGGCUAUUGCUUUGAUUAACACUUCUUUUCCUCCACUUGAAAUUUUUUUUUUUUUGACAGUUGGAUAUCUUAUUCAACAGUCAUAACUUGAUGUAAUUGAAGAAACUUACUUUUUUCCUUCCCACCAUAGAUGGCAGCCCUAAAUUCUUCUGAUGUCUAGAUACCACAUUAAGCUGGAAUAUGCUUUUGAUCUCCUUUAUUUGCUUGGCUUAGGUGUUUGCACUGAAGAAUAUAAAUGAUUUUUUGUAGUUAAAGAUUUGUCCCGAUGCAGUUGUAUAGUUGUCAAAGAUUUUUUUCAGCCUUUUACAUUCUUCCAAAUCAGCCCUUGUGAAGAUAAGGCUAUCAUAUGCAAAAAAGAGGUGGGCGAUUAACAAGCUGCUGCUGAAAUUUAGGCCUUGAAUUAGCUUCUUUGAUUCUACCUAUUGCAACAAGUUUAAGAAGCCUUUUGCGCAGAGAAUAAAAAGAUAAGGAGACAGAGGGUAGCCUUGCCUCAAACCCCCCUAUGAGUGAAUCAUUCCUUUUGCAGCACCAUUAAUAAGAAUGGAGAAAGAUGCUGUCGAGAUACACCUCAUUAUCAACUCAAUCCAUUUAAGGGAAAAGCCUAAUUUUUCCAUAACAUUCUCCAAGAAACCUCAUUCAAUCCUAUCAUAGGUCUUGCUUAUAUCAAACUUUAAAGCUACCAGCCCUUUUUUUUUUUUUUUACCUUUAUUGAGCCUUAUUUUAUGCAAACACUUAUAGCUAAUAACCACAAUAUCCAUAAUGAGCCUACCAGGGAUAAAUGCACUUUGUGUUUGAGAGAUAAUGUUAUGUAACAUGUGUUUACACCUAUUUGCUAUGGUUUUUGUUAUAAUUCUAUAAAUUACAUUAUAAAGACUAAUAGGCCUAAACUUUGUCACUUGUCUUGGCUUCUUAACCUUAGGUAUCAAUGCAAUGUAUGUGUGAUACGGAGGGGCAAUAUUAUCUCCUUCAUUAAGGAUGUUAAGGCAGGUUGUCAACACUCCUUUGCUCACUGAUUUAUAGUGUUUUUGAAAGAAUGCUACUGGAAAUCCAUAUGGUCUGGCGGCUUUUAUUGGACAUAUUUGCAAUAGGGUUGUUAUUAUCUCUUCAGCCCUGAAAGGUUUAUCCAACUCUUCGUUCAUUUCUGUUGUUAUUUUCCUUGGUAUUUUUUUCCAGCACCUCUUCCAUUUGAGUUUAAGAGGGGUUUGUUGUAGUGAAGAGAUUUGCAAAGUAGUUACAAAAUAUUCUUUCCACAUCUUCUUCUUCCUCUGUCCAAUUCCCAUUUUCAUCUAAGAUUCCCUAAAUUUUGUUUUUCCUCUUUCUGGAUGAUGCUUUUGCAUAGAAAAAUUUUGUAUUUUUGUCCCCUUUGCGCAACCAAUCUGUUCUAGAUCUCUGCUUCCAGUAUAUUUCUUGUUCUAAAAAGAGGCUAUCGAUAUGUUUUUCUUCUUUUAACCAGCUCACCAUCCUCAUAAUGUUGAUUUCGUUGCUUUAAUUCUUUUAGCUCCUGUAUCAGCUUCUCCAUUUUGUGCCUUUUAUCUCCCAGCUCUUCUCUACUCCACAUUUGAAGUUGGACCAUUGAUUCUUUUGUUGUUUUCAUGAAACAUUCAACUGCAUUUCCAUGACUCUAUCUUCCUUGUUCAAGCCACUUCAACUUCACAAUCUCUCUACAUUUGUCAUAUGAGCUCCAUAAGUCCUCAUAAUGCACCCGGGGGAAGGUCAUUCUCUUGUAUCUUAGCCCUCUUUAUUUUUCCACUACUGUCAUCAUAAUAGGGUUGUGAUCGAAUGUCCAUGUCUCCAGAGUUACAGGGGUUGAUUCUAGGAGCAUGUUUCCCCAUUCUUUGUUUCACAGAAAAUGAUCUAAUCUUUCCUCGAUCAAGCAAUGUCCAUACCUUUUGUUCGACCAUGUCACUGGGCGCCCACUACUCCCUAAAUCCAUCAGGUUGCAUUCCUUAACAGGCUCCCUGAAAUUUUACAUUAAAUUAACAUCUCUAUCAUUUCCUCCUAUCUUCUCGCAAGGUUAUAAAAUUUCGUUGAAGUCUUCAAAGCACAACCAAGAUAGAGAAAAUAAGUUGGCUAACCUUUUAAGGAGUGUCCUUGUAUAGUGCUUUUGACUAAUUUUCGGGUGUGCAUAGAUUCCUAUACAUCUCCAGUAGCUUCUGUUUCAACACAUACAGCUGCAUCAAUGUGAUGUCUACUCCAAGACUUUACAUCCACCCUCAAGUCUGAAUCCCACAUUAGGGCUAAGCCCCCCCUCUCCUUUCAUGUUCUGUCAACUUGAAAAUAAUUUUCGAAAUUUAAUUUAUGACUCUUUUCUUACAUUUGACUCGGUGUUAACUUGGUCUCGCAAAGAAAAACAAGCUUAGGCCAAUGCAUUUGGAGCAGUUUUUGAGUUUCGCGGAACGUCGAGUUACUCCCCAGUCCUCAAACGUUCCAGUUGAUAAUAUUCAUGGCUGUCGGCCGGGCUGUUAUCCAACCUCCGCCGAUUUUAAUACUGAAAAUUCCAUUGCCAUCUCCCUUGUUUCAUUGGUUUGCUUUUCCAUGCUCUCCAUGUAUAGCUUUUGUUUUGCUUUCGGUGAACCAAAGAUCACUAUCUCUAUAGGGCCACUCAUUUUUUCCUUUUUGUUUCUGGGCUUUCCAAAUUUAUUCCCAUUACUUCAGCUGCUGGCCUUUUUGCUAUAUUUGGCCCAUUUUGCAGCUCUGCCCCUUUUUCUCUAAUUUUGUCAUCUUGUCUAGCUUGCAUUUUCCACUUUCUCCUUUUGGGCUUUGUCGUAGGUGUCUUUGGCCCAUUUGCCACUUUUCCAUUUUCCCCUUCAACCUCGACUUUCAGUUUCCCGCCACAAAUUUUCUUCAUUGCCAAAUUCAAUUUCCCUUGUAACUUUUUUGGCUCAGUCUCUUUUUCUUUCCCUUCUGCAUUAGCCGUCUGCUCCCCUAUUGAUGUUGACUUCAUUGACAAUCCCACUUAGCCUCUGACAGCUUUCACUCCUUGCUCCCUUAUCAUUGCCCUCUUUCAUGAAAAGCUCCUCUGGAAUUAUUAUCUUCUGACUCCGGGUUGCUCCAACAUCCAAACCGGAUGUUUCAUUCCGGGUUGAGGCUUGCACUUCUGUAACUUUGGACUUGGAAUUGCUAGGUGGGCUUUGUGAAUUCCUUCUUUGAUUUUGUACGUCUGCAUUCCUUCGGGAAGAUAAAAUAUUUUUAAGUUGGUAGAAACUCAAAACUUACGAAGCCCACUAUUAGGCCUAAAGCCUCAGUGGCUAUACACGUUUAUUAAGGUGGCAGACAUGAUGAUCAUACACACAGAGGAUUCUAUCUAUAAAGAGUGUUUGCAUUCUUAAAUAGUUUAGCGUUCUAUUUUUUCACUUGAGUCCUAUUAUUUGUAGAAGUUAAUUAGUUAAGCCAUAAGUUUUAAAAGUGGAUGACUUAAGUCUUCCCGAAUUUAAUUAAGCCGUCUCCUUGUUACUCUAUUACGUACGUGAAGAAUGUUGAAAAAGGGGCUACUUGUGUUGAUUUAGUUUACCUUUAUGUUGUUGACGGUAUUUGAUGUGUUUGAAUUCAAUUUAAUUACCUUGUUUUAUAUUUUUAAUAUUACAAUUAUUGGAUAAUCAUCAAACUGAAUGGAUGUUGUUUCCGUCUUUUUAAUAUUUUAUGAUCUACAUUAUCAUUGGACAAUCAAACUGAGUGUUCUUGUUCGCAGUAUUUUAAUGGAUGUUGCUUAUUAACUCAUAAUAAAAAAAUACCCCAACUUAUUACUCUCGAUUUUUUUUCUUUAUUUAAUUUUAAAUAUUAUUUUUUAGGCCUAAUUAAACCCAAUUAGACUAAAAAGGGAAGUAAUAAAAAGAUAAAAAAUAAAAGUAAGAAGAAGAAGAAUGGAGAGAAAGAAAGCUACGGAAAUGAAAGGUGGGGGAGAAAGUUGUUGGCCGAAACAUUUCGUGGAAACCCCUUCAGUUUUCUGAAAUUGGAGGUAGGCUUCUCAAUUUUUGAGUUUCUUACACUAUUAAUUUUUUUUUUUUUAAAAAAAUUGAUUUGGUAUUCGGAGGAUUGCAAAAGAAUAACAAGAUAUUGGAUAAGAUGAGUUCUACUUUACAUAAAUAUUGUAUUGUGAGUUUAUAUAUUUUCUAAUAUUAGUUCAUUUAUAUUUAUAUUAUGAUUAAUUGUGAUUUUGAUUAAAUUUUGGGGUUUGCUUAUUAAAUAAAUUUGAGGAUUCGGAUGUUUUGAUAAUUGAUUUAUGAAUUUUAGUGCAGAAAUUUCCUGAAAUAAUGAAUUGAGCUCUUAGAGGCAAAAGAAAUUAAAGUACUUAUGGUGGGAUAUGUAAGAAUCAUGAAAAUUGGUGGAUUAGAAUUAAUUCUAUAAAUUUUAGAUUUAAAGACAUAUAUGAGCAUUGUCAACAUUAUAUGUUAAUUUACAGCAGUGAGAUUUCUAGAAGGAGAUGUCAUUAGAUAAUGAAUACAGAGAAUAAAUUACAAACUAGUUUUAUUUCAUAAUGGAUGUUGAGUAUAAGUAUGUUUUCUUGGUUCAACAAAGAGCCACGUUCGUAAAUUAGCAUAGGACGUCGAGAUGAGUCAAGUUUGAGCGUCAUCGUUCUGAGUGGAAUAUGCCAAAUUUAUAUUUUAUAUUUUUCUUAUGAUUUUAAAUUUAGUUUUGCUGCUUUCAUUAAGUUUGUAGAAAGUAGAAUUUAUUUGCACACUAAUGUGUUCCUUUAAGGAUAUGAAAAAUGACUUUUUUAAUUCAUUUGAUUUUAAAUGCAUAAUAGUAUUUUAGUGAAAUAAAAUAUAGAUUUAAAUUUUGUUUAAAGUGCUUAUGUAUGUGUGUAAAAAGUUUGUUUCCAAAAUCCUCAGGCAAUACAUUUCACAUCCAGAGACAAAGAUAAGUACAUAAAAUGACUGUGAUGAUGUUAGGAGUCGUAGAUCAUAUUAAUAAAGCAUUUUUAUCACCUCUUUUUUGGAUUGUGUAAGUUAUGGUUGUUUAAUGUAUUAGCGACAACAUAUUCUUUUGAAACUAUUGGAAAUGUUUGGAUGAGAUUAUUUAAGCAUAUUAUUUACAAUGAUGUAGUAUAUUAUAUGUUUGGAAGGUUGACCAAUGAAGUUGGUUGAGUGCUAGAUUAUUUUGGGAGUACUUGUCUCACAUAUUUGCAUAUUAGAAAUGUAAAAAUAUACAAUGGAUAUUUUAUCAAAUUUUAGGCAAAUCUAUAUUGUUAAAUUUAUCACAUUAUAUAAAAUUAGAUAGACUUGCCCUUAAAGUUUGGGGCGGAUGUUUUAAUUUAAGAAUUGAGUCUUAGCUCUAAGUUAUAUUCUUAAUUUAGAAACUAUACUAAAUCAAUAUAGAAUACUCUUUUCAACACUUCCAUCACAUGCAUGAUAAUCUUUUUAGCUUGUCCUUGUCAUAUGGUAAAAUAGUGUGGGCCCAUCCAAAUUUUUCUAUUAUAAUAAUAUACAAAUGUCUAUAGGUCUAACCAUACUCAAAAGCUAGCUAAAGGGUUGAGGCCCAAGUUUUUUACACUUAUCAAAGUCUUUCAUUCCUAGUCCAUGUAGGAUAAUGUCCAUAACAUGCCCAUCACAUGCAAGCCGAUCUUUUUGUCUAAUCUUUUUAAUUUGGUAAGAUAAUGUGAGCUCACUUAUAUGUGAGUUUAGUUUUGAUAUAUUAAAUCCCGUGAGCUUAAUUAGACCUUAUUACGGAUUGUGGUUGAAAUACUAUAAACAAUUUAUUUCACAAGUUUUGAUAAAAGUGGUGUUUAAUGAACUUUUUUAAAAGUUGUUUAUUUUAUAAAUUUCUCUAUUUUGACAAUAGUAAAGACAAUAGAUAGUUGCAUUUUUUUUAUAAGAAGUUUAUUAAAUAAGCCAGCACUUUUUUUUUUAAUUCUUAUUAUAACUUUAAUAUUUUAGCAAAAUAACAAUCAUGUUUUACUUUCCAUAAUAAUAUACGAAGAAAAGAUAAUUUAAACUUGUGUCUAGUCAUUAUAAAAUAAUUAAGAGAGUAUUUUCGUAAUAAAAUUUAUAAAAUAUAUAUAUUCUAUUUCUGAAAUUGAGUGAUGAUACAGUCACAAACUCUUAUACAAACUUAUUUUGUACUAAUUGAUUUAGUAUUAACUUAUUGAUUGAAUAAAAAUAUAAAAUAAUAAAAAUAAAUGAUGUGGAUCAAGAGACAUUUAAUCCAACUAAUUAAAUCAUACCACAAUAGUUUGUACAAAAAAUAUAUAUAUACAAGAAUUUAUAAUUGUAUUAUUACUCUUUGAAAUUCACAAACAUUAAGCUACAUUUUGAAUUAAUAGUUUAUUUUAUCCGUAUACGAAAAGCAACACACUUUAGCAACUUAUUUCUUUACACUUCAAAGAAUUAGGAAAAAGACCCGAUACGUCAUGGAAAUGUUGGUCACAAUAUCCAACAUUUGCCGCCAUUCCGCUCUUUAAUUUUAACUCUUUUUUAUUCUAAUCUUUAAUAUUUCUUUUUCAGGCUUCCUGUGGGAGCAAAAUUUUGGUGCACGGCGAAUCAUUUUCAGGCAAUAAUAAAUCUCUUUAGUUUGGAAUCUUGUUUCAUUCAUGGCUUGGAACUACGAUAGCAAGAAAAUUUAAUGUCGGCAUUUCACAGGGAAUUGAUAGUAGUUUGUGAUCAAUCAAAUUGCAAGAAAAGGACCGAUAUAAUGCUGCCAAUUUUCAAUCAAUCGCAGUGACUAUAAGACAAAGAAAGCACAGCUAGCAUUAUCAAUAAUUCAGAUAAAUCUAAACCAAUCAGUGGAAAAGCUGAAUAGACAGAUAAUGAACCUAAUCUCUUAAAUAUGAGACAGAAUAGCUAUGUCUUCGUGGCUCCUUUUCACGUGGAAAGCUAGACCCUAAUUCAAACAUAAAAAUCACCAUCAAUAAUAUAUCUUCCUUGGCAUCUUGCUCCAUUCGACCAUUAAAUUUAGAUAAUAAGUUAGCUAGUGACAAUGCCAAAAAAGGCUUAUCACCAUCAACAAGAGUGACGGCAAUACGAAGAAAUGCUAGGUGUAAAUAAGUGGAUUAAUGUCUACAUCUCACUUAUAAUAAAAAAUAAAUUUAAUUUUUCCGGUCAAUAAUUUUUGUUACUUUGAGUUUCAGACUUUCAGUCCACGAAAUCUGAAAAAUGAAACCCCCAAAUAACUAAUUCGGAAGCUCAAGAUUGAAAUCAAUAACUUAAAAAUAAUAAUUAUAUGCAUGCUUAUACCACGUAAUACAUAAUGUUUCUAAUUCAUUUAUUGAUAUUUUAAAUAAUCUCUUGGGUAAAUUUUCGAUUAUUCCGAAUUUAUUAUCUUUAAAUUAUUCCAUUACUAUUAAAAACUUUAAGUUAUUUUAAUUUUUAUUUAAAAAAUGAGAGGAGAGAGCUAAUUUAUAUUUGUUAAAUUAUUUUAACUAUUAACAAUAUUUUAAUAUGAUUAUUCUACUAAACAAAUUAAACUAUUUAUAUUACAUUUGUAUUUAUUAAAAUUUUUGAUGUUCAAUUGUUUUUUUGAACUCUUUAGAUAAGAAACCCUCCCUAAAUUCUCUCUCUCCGUCACCAAUCAAUCUCCCAAAGUCUGUUAUUGAUCGGCUUUAUAAAGUUAAGGUUUGUAAUGCAAAACUGAAAAUCGUUUUUUCGUCCAUUCGUUGCCCUCUCUUGCUCUUUCUAAGCGUUUUAACCAGCCAUCAACUUGGUCAAAUUAGUUGACUCAAGUGCCCACGCGAGGACUUAAAUGAUGAAACUAAUGAAUUGGGCACUUGAAAACUCUGCGUUUUGCUUUGGCUUUGAUUAAUGGCCAACAUGUUCCUGGCCUCAAUCUCAUCAACACUCCUAGUUCUCAAGAUUAUAACAAAUAUAAAGAUUAUCUCUUGUGCACUCACAUCGCUUGGAAGUCAAUCUUUUUUUCUGAUUUUUAUCAUGCGGAAAGGAAUUAACUCUCCACGUGUGUGUGAAUCAUAUCAAGUACCACUCAAAAGCCCAUAAAUCUAUCUCAUACUAAAAAUUAUAAAAUUUAUUUAACACAAAAAUUAUUUCAAUUUUUCAUAAUAAAUAUAAAUAUACUAUUAAAAUAAAUAUAAUAAUUUACAUUUUAAAAAUUAUUUCGUAUAUUAAAAAUAUUCUAAUAUCAUUAGUCUACUAAAUAAAUUAAAUUAUUUAAAUGAUAUUUAUACUUAUAAGAAAUAAAAAUAAUUACUAUCUUUUGAGGUUGUUACAAUCAACAGAAAAUUUUAGUAUUUUAUAUUAAAAAUUUAUAGGUCUACAUAAUUAUUUUUCUAAAUUUUUAGAGUGUAAAUGUCUUUUUUUUUUAUCAUGAAUUUAUCUGAAACCCUUUUUUAUUUUUUAUUUUAUCUAAUCCCAUUUAGUUUUUAGUCUUUAUCUUCUUUUUUUUUUCCUCCCUCCCUAAUAGUAGAAGCAAACUUCCGUGGUGGCAUAGCAACUGAAAGAUCAGAGUGACCAUCUUACUUCCAUCAUACCGAUGAAAGUAAGACAAAAAGUCAGUGGAUUGAUAACCCCGAAAAUGGCUCAUCAUCACCGUCAAUAAAUUUGUUAUUACAUCAUAUGGCGUUAUAAUUAACUGAACAGAAAUAUUAAUGGUGAAUUCACGUGAAAUCUGUAUUUAGAUAUCUGCACUCUGAAAAGUUCUAUACACACACUUUCUCUACCAAGGAUAUUGUCAUUUUGUUAAAGUGAGGAUGAUUAUUAAAAUAUAAAAAAAAUACAAAUAUCAAUAGAUUGAAAAUUGUAGUUUUUGUUUGUUAAUGUAUUGAAAUUUGUAUUUUUUAUUAGUUGGUAGCAUCUUUAUUUUAUCAAAGUGAGGAUAUUCUUAAUAGAGAAUGAAUAUAUAUGUGUGUGUGUGUGAAGUUUGAAACGGCUUAUAGAAUGAGACUUACCCUUCCAAACAUCUCACAUGGCUUUAAUUGGGCUUUUGGAUAUCUUCUUGGCAAUCAUUUGCUUCUUGAUUCUUCGAUAUUGUUUCAGCAAUAACAAUGGAAUCCCAAAGAACUUCCCAGUCGGAGGUAUGCUGCCACACCUUCUUCUUAACGUUCAUCGUAUCCAUGAUUAUAGCACAGAAGUUCUAGAGAAAACGCAAUGCACAUUUUUAUUCAAAGGUCCUUGGUUCGCAAACAUGGACAUAUUGGCCACAGUUGAUCCAGCCAACGUACAUCACAUAAUGAGCUCAAACUUCUCAAAUUUCCCGAAAGGGCCAGAGUUCAAGCGAAUCUUUGAUAUUUUAGGAGAUGGGAUUUUCAACUCCGACUCAGAUUUGUGGAAAAACCAAAGAAGGUUUGCUCAAGCUUUGAUGAAUCGUCAUAGCUUCUACAAGUUUUUGGUGAAAUCCAAUCAAGCUAAACUGGAGAAAGGGCUGAUUCCAAUUCUUGAUCACAUGUCCAAACAAGGCACAACAGUUGAUCUGCAGGAUUUGUUCCAGAGGUUUACGUUUGAUUCUACGAGCUUAUUUGUUACAGGCUAUGAUCCUGGUUGUUUGUCAAUUGAAUUUCCAAAAGUUCGAUUCCUAAUGGCAUUGGAAGAUGUCGAGGAAUCAAUAUUUUAUCGGCAUGUUGUUCCGGAAAGCUUGUGGAAGCUACAAAGAUGGCUUGGAAUUGGAGAAGAAAAGAAACUGAAAAAAGCUAAGGAAACGUUAGAUAGUGUCAUAUUCGAACUCAUACAAAGGAAAAGAAGAGAGAUUAACGAAGAAAUUUUAUCGAAAGAAAUAGAUGGGGUGGAUUUGUUAGCAUCAUACAUGCACGAAAACAAAACCAUUAUGGGAGAAUUGAAAUGUGCUGACGACAAUUUCUUGAGAGAUACAGUCUUGAAUUUCAUGAUUGCGGGGAGAGACACAACUAGUUCAGCUCUCACUUGGUUCUUUUGGCUUAUUUCAAAGAACCCAAAAGCAGAAACCAAGAUUAGAGAAGAGCUUACUUCGAUAGUACCAGCUGAGAAACUCGGAAAAUGGUGGGAUUUUGACACGCAAAAGCUAAAUCAAUUGGUUUAUUUACAUGGCGCUUUGUGUGAAGCAUUAAGGCUUUAUCCACCAGUUCCUUUUCAGCAUAAAGUUCCUUUAGUGCCACACACUCUUCCAAGCGGACACCGCGCCGUUCCGAGAACAAAGAUCUUGUUUUCUCUGUAUGCAAUGGGGAGAAUGAAGUCAAUAUGGGGAGAAGAUUGCUUGGAAUUCAGGCCUGAAAGAUGGAUUUCUGAAAGUGGAGGGAUCAAAUGGGAGCCGUCGUACAAGUUCUUCUCAUUCAAUGCAGGACCAAGGACUUGUUUAGGCAAAGAGGUCGCUUUCACUCAAAUGAAAGCUGUGGCUGCCGGCGUAAUUCAUAACUAUGAUAUUCAAGUUGUGGAAGGACAGCGUCCUGGCCCCAAUGUGUCUAUUAUUCUCUAUAUGAAGCAUGGAUUAAAGGUUAGGGUUCAUGAUAGAUGGGCUAAAUAAUUGAACAAGUUUGGGAAAGGUCUUAAUCCUCUUGUUUAAUAUGAAUAAUUGAGCGAGUUUGCGUGUAUCAUUUGAAUAACUAUAGUUUAUGUAAGUAUGAAUAUCAUUAAUAAUUGUUCAUAUUAUCUGGAUAUUUUAAUUUGUUGUUUUGGUGUUUUAUUAUGUGGUUUCUUUUAGAUUUAAAGAUGCUUAAAUGAUAGAUAAAGAAAUAUUUCAAUCUGUGAAAGAAUUGAAUUUGGUGUUAGAGUGUUAUUGAAAGAGUUAAUUGACGUAGGACGUUAAUUUAGAUUAAUUUAGGAUUUUAAAUUUUUUAUUAUUUUAGAGAUUUCUAUUUUAAUUGGAGUCUAUUAUGGUAAGUGAUUUAUUAUUUUAUUUCGAUUAUAAUUGUGAUUUAGUUUCUUUUUAAAAAAAAUUAACUUAAGAAGUAGGUUUACCUUAGGAAGUGAGUUUCCUCUAUUAUAAAUAUAAAAGUCUCAUUAUCGUAACUCAAAUUCAAUUAUUCAAUAAAAAUCCCUCUUUUAUAAUACCCUCUAGGAUUAUUUAUCAAAAUCUCUCUUGUAGAGUCGUUUGGGAUAUGCGUCAUUUAAUCUCGCUUAACGCGCUAUUAAAAAUCUCAUUGAGUUAUUUGGGUUAGAACGAUAUCUAAUCACACUUCGAUUAUCGCUAAUCGCAUUGGCUUGAUCCAGUACUAGAACGAUAUCUAGUGUUUCUUACCCUAUCAAUUUUGCUUCCGCUGCGCCCGCCUCAUCAAUUAGUAUUAGAGCGGUUCUGCGCUAUUCACAUAACUUUCCUUGAUACCCAUAUCCAUCCAUAGCAAAUCCACCACUCAAAAAAACCAACAAAAAAAAAAAAGAAAUUCUCAAAAUUGAAAACCUUAACUGCCACCAUGCAACCACUGCUGCCACCUCUCCAUCAGCCGUUCACCGUCAGUCAACACAAUCACUAAAGUCUCUAGCCACCGCGAACCAAACCUUAGCCAUCACUGCCCUUAAUGCCGCCUGCAAAAAUCAUCUAAACCUAUGAGCUUUACCAUUCAAUCCACCACCAUUUAAUCGUGACUGCCGCCAGCUAACUCCUCCACCAAACUCGCCUGCCUUUGGUUACCAAAACCAACCAACUUCCACUCUGGAUCGCCGCCCGCAGCCACCGUAUGAAACACCAACCCGCUAGUUGUUGAGAAUAAAAUAAAACGGCAUUGAAUAAAGCUUUCAAAGACAGAAUCCGCACUUGUCAAAUGGAUAAUCUGCACUUCUCAAAGACAAGAUCCGCGCCGAACGAAUUGACAUAUUUCCUUCCGUAUUCACAUAUGUAAUCUUUGAAAAAAUGUAGCCUCUGCAUCUAUAAAUAACUCUCAGUGUAUAAUGUUUUAUUUAAGAAAUGAAAAACACGUUUCUUCAUGGUAUCAGAGCCAUGAAUAUGCUCAAGUUUCUUCAAGUUCCGCUGCUCUGUUUGUAACAAAAACAGAGGAAACCAAAUUCCUCCCACAACCAUUUUUCCCACCAUUUUCUUUCUAAAACUCAUUCCUACCAUUACAGAUAUCCAUGCCGAUCAAGAAACAAGCCACCCAUACGUAAAAAACUUGAGUUUACAAAUUUAUCAACAAUCCCAUCAAUUUUCCAAGAGUGUGUUCCUCAAAAACCAAGAAUACCAUCAAAUUUCUCAGUUUCCAGUGAGGAAACUGUAAAAAUUUCACAUUUAAACACAUUUCCACACGCUCACACGCGCCACCCGAAGCCACGUCCAGUCAACCAUGCGCCUCUGUCAUCAUUUACGCGCUCUCACGCGCUCCAGAGGUUGAAGAAGACGUCAACCGAUAUGUCGUUUUUUAUCUCCGGUGUGCAGCAGUAAACAACGACAUGUCGUUUUUAAAUUAGAGAUAAAACGACAUGACGUUUAGUCUCCAGAAGUGCAGCAGGAUUAAAACGACACGUCGUUUAUAUUCCACCAUAACCGACAUGUCGGUUUUUUCAAGCAGUGGCCAAACGACUUGUCGUUUUGUUAUCUAAAAAGGUUUUUUUUCUUCUUUCAAUCUAGACGAAAAAAAACAAAAAAAAAAAAAAGAAAAAAAGAAAAAAAAAACAAAAAACAAAAAAAACAAAAAAAAAUGGAGAAAACUCAAACUGAAUCUAGUCCUGUUGUCAUUCAAUCUGUUCAAUCCGAUGGAGUAUUUAAUGCUGGAAUUAUCCUCACUGAGACAAACUACGAUGUUUGGUCUCAAAUAAUGGAGAUGCAUCUUGUAGAAAGAGAAAAACUCUCAUAUAUUCGUAGCAGCACAAAGCUAUCUGAGGAAUCUUCAAAGGAAUAUGAGAAAUGGUAUAGUGAGAACCAAAAAGUAAAAAGAUGGUUACUCAUAUCCAUGUCUCCGGAGAUCAUGAAGUGAUUUUUACGAAUUCCUACAGCCUACGAAAUCUGGGAUGCAUUAUCUAAAGCCUUCUAUGAUGGAAGCGAUGAAUUACAAGUUUUCACUCUAAACCAGAAGGCAUUCUCUACCAAGCAAAAUGGACAACCACUCUCUAAAUUCUAUGGAGAAUUGAUCGAAAUAUUUCGAGAACUUGAUCACCGAGAUAAAGUGGUCAUGAAGGAUCCAGAAGAUGUUGUAAUAUACAGAAGGUCUGUUGAAAGAUUGAGAGUGCACAUUUUUCUUGCUGGGCUAGAUGAAGAAUUUAACCAAGUUCGUGGAGAAAUUCUACGAAAAGAAAUUAUCUCAGACUUAGAAGAAUGUUAUUCUCUGAUCCGAAGAGAAGAUGCACGGCAAAGCAAACUAAACAAGAAGGUCGACUCAGAAACGUCUGCUAUGAUAGCACGACAGCAGCCUCAAAGGAAGUUUGUUGACAAGUCAUCACUCCAUUGCACUCAUUGUAAAAAGAAUGGUCAUACGAAAGAACAUUGUUUUGAAAUCAUUGGAUAUCCUGACUGGUGGGAUACUCGAAAGAAGAACACCAAGCAUGGAUCAAAAACUGCAGUAGCUGAAUCCACAUCCACUACAGAUCUUAGAAAAGAAUCUUUAGUGCAAAUCGCCACCUCUGUCAGUCCAGGUAAGGCCCUUAAAACUCUUACACAUGUUAUUAAUAGUACAUGGAUAAUUGAUUCUAGGGCAACUGAUCAUAUGACUUUUGAUUCUCGACAAGUUUCUCAAUUAAAACCAUCUUCACACAAACAUAUUUCCAUUGCAAAUGGAACCACAACCUCAGUUAUUGGGGACGGAUCUUUACGACUCACAAAUGAAUUAAAUUUAGACUCUGUGUUAAUUGUUCCAUCUUUAGAUUAUAAUCUUUUAUUUGUGUCUCAAUUAACCACUUACUUAUCAUGUGUUGUAAUUUUUUGGCCUGAUCAUUGUGUGUUUAAGGACAUCCAAACGAAGCAAACAAUUGGUUAUGGUAUUAGACGAGGCAACUUGUACUACUUGGAGAUGUCAUCAACAAACACCAGAAAGCUAAGCCCCGCACUAGUCGCAGAUAGUUCCAUAAAAAAAGGGAAAUCAGAAAUUUGGUUAUGGCAUAGACGUUUAAGGUAUAUGUCAUUUGGUUACUUAAAAAAAUUAUUUCCUAGUUUGUUUAUGAAAUUUGAUGUUUGUAACUUUAAAUGUGAUGUUUGUGAACUUUCAAAAAGCCAUCGAACUACUUUUCCAUUGUCCUUAAAUAAAAAUACAGUUCCUUUCAUGGUAGUACAUUCUGAUGUAUGGGGGCCAUCUAAAGUUUCUACAAUUGGAGGUGCUCGUUGGUUUGUUACAUUUAUUGAUGAUUGUAGCAUAAUGACAUGGAUUUUUCUGAUGAAAUCAAAAGACGAAGUAAACUCUUUAUUUCAAAGAUUUCAUAAGAUGGUGACAACUCAAUUUCAGACACAAAUUCGAGUUCUACAUACUGAUAAUGGAGGCGAGUAUAUAAGCACAGCAAUUCAACAGUUUCUGAAAUCACAAGGAUAUGUCCAUCAAACCACUUGUGUGGGGACACCCCAACAAAAUGGCGUUGCUGAACGAAAAAACAGACAUUUACUAGAAGUUGUUCGAGCAUCACUAAUCCAAGCCCACAUGCCACUAUCUUAUUGGGGAGAAGCACUGGCGUCCGCAGCAUACUUAAUCAAUCGAACACCUUCAAGCUCCCUUGGAUUCCAGACUCCUUUCCAAGUUUUGAAUGAUGCAAUUAUGUCACCAAAUGUGCCGAAUCUGCCCCCACAUGUGUUUGGCUGUGUUGCCUUCGUUCAUUUGCCGCAACAAGACAAAUUAUCUCUUCGAGCACUACGUUGUGUGUUUGUAGGGUAUGCCUUACAUCAAAAGGGAUACCGAUGCUAUCAUCCACCAUCAAGAAAAAUAUACAUCACCAUGGAUGUCGUUUUCAUGAAGAUAUCAUGUACUACUUGUCAGAGUCUGAAUUUCAGGGAGAGUAUAAUGAAGAGGAAAUUCAUACUCUUACAUAUCUUCCACCUGAAGAAAGUCAAUCUUCCAUUGAGAUAAUAAACCUUCAAGAUACUGGAAAAGCAAAUAGUGAUGAUUCUCAGGCUGAGAUAAGUGAAGACACAUUUGGGGAGCACAAUAACUCAGACACAACUGCAAUCGAGAAUGAGUCACAUGAAGAAAUACCUAACCAAUCGUCUGCAGAUGAUGUUCCUACCACAAGUCCAAUCAGAAGAAUUCUUCCCCAGCGCCAAAAUAGAGGUAUCCCUAAACCCACAUAUGAGCCUGACUUCUCUAGUAGAGUCAAAUACCCCAUGAGUUAUUUUGUGUCUAACCAUCGCUUGUCAGAAUCAAAUCAGUCAUUUGUGAAUCAAUUAUCUGCUGUAUCUAUUCCUAACAGUGUGCAUGAAGCUUUAAAAGACCCAAAGUGGAAAGCAGCUAUGAAUGAUGAAAUGAGAUCUCUUUAGAAAAAUCAAACAUGGGAACUAGUUGAUCUUCCACCGGGAAAGAAACCAGUGGGUUGUCGAUGGAUCUACACUAUAAAGUACAAAGCAGAUGGCUCUAUUGAACGAUACAAAGCAAGACUCGUAGCUAAGGGUUACACCCAAACCUACGGGAUUGAUUAUACUGAUACGUUUGCACCGGUAGCAAAAAUUAAUACUAUUCGUAUCUUAUUAUCAUUAGCAGUCAACUUGGAUUGGCCAGUGCAACGGUUCGAUGUAAAGAAUGCUUUCCUCCAUGGAGACCUGUUUGAAGAAAUUUAUAUGGAUCUGCCACCAAGAUGCAGUGGAACAGAACGACUCAAUCAGAAAGUAUGCAAAUUGAAGAAAUCAUUGUAUGGGUUGAAGCAAUCCCCAAGAGCAUGGUUCGGGAAAUUCACAAAGGCUAUGAUUCGUUUUGGGUAUAACCAAAGCAAUUCAGAUCAUACCUUAUUCAUUAAAAAACGACAAGGUAAAAUCACUGCCCUUAUUGUCUAUGUGGAUAAUAUGGUAGUUACAGGCAACGACGAGGAAGAAACAGAGGUUCUUCAGAAGUACUUGUCAAGAGAGUUUGAGAUGAAGGAUUUAGGUGCUUUAAAAUACUUUCUUGGAAUUGAGGUUUCUCGAUCUAAGGGAGGAAUCUUUCUGUCUCAAAGGAAAUAUGCCUUAGAUCUAUUGCACGAAAUGGGAAUGACAGCUUGUCAGCCUAUUGACACCCCAAUAAAAGAAGGAUUGAAGUUUUGUAUUACCUCAGACCAAGUUCCAGUAGACAAAAGAAGAUAUCAAAGGCUGAUUGGAAGAUUGAUGUACUUGUCCCACACAAGGCCAGAUCUUGCUUAUGCAUUGAGUGUUGUAAGUCAGUUUAUGCAUAAUCCCGGAGAACAACACAUGAAAGCAGUAAUGCGGAUCCUGAGGUACCUGAAGACAAAUCCAGGAAAAGGAAUCAUAUUUGCCAAAAAUGAAGAUUAUAGCAACAUAGAAGUUUAUACUGAUGCAGAUUGGGCCGAGUCAGUUAGUGAUAGACGCUCUACUUCAGGAUACUUUACCUUUGUGGGAGGCAACCUUGUCACAUGGAGAAGCAAGAAACAACAUGUCGUUGCCCGUUCGAGCGCUGAAGCAGAAUAUCGAGGCAUGGCCCUUGGGGUAUGUGAAGGGCUAUGGAUAAGUUUUAUCUUAAACGAUUUGGGCUAUCCAUCACAACAACCAAUACAACUAUACUGUGACAACAAAACUGCACGAGAUAUUGCUCAUAACCCAGUUCAACACGAUCGAACAAAACAUGUCGAGGUAGAUAGAUUUUUCAUCAAGGAGAAAUUAGAUGAAAAAAUCUUAGAACUGCCGAAAAUUCGAUCAGAAGAUCAACUUGCAAAUAUUUUAACGAAGGCCAUUUCAAGCAGGGCAUUUGCAAAAUUCCUAGACAAGUUGGGUAUGCAAGACAUCUAUGCACCAACUUGAGGGGGAGUGUUGAGAAUCAAAUAAAACGGCAUUGAAUGAAGCUUUCAAAGACAGAAUCCACACUUGUCAAAGGGAUAAUCUGCACUUGUCAAAGACAAGAUCCACGCCGAACGGAUUGACAUAUUUCCUUCCGUAUUCACAUAUGUAAUCUUUGAAAAAAUGUAGCCUCUGCAUUUAUAAAUAACUCUCAGUGUAUGAUGUUUUAUUUAAGAAAUGAAAAACACGUUUCUUCACUAGUUCCCUACACACGGGCUACUGCCAAACCAUCUCCCUUUUCUAUCAAUUUAUGCCACCACCAUAUCCCGAGUGACUGGCGACCAUAAACCCAGCCAUCCGUCGCCGUAAAACCGCCUUAAAUUGAAAGUCAUAUCUCCAUAAGCCGCCGCCAAUUCGACCAAACCGCCGCGAAUUUGGCCAAUCCACAACCACCAUUAUACUCAUCGACCUUAAUCCACCCAUCCUUACCUGAUUUUCAACUACCGUCACCAGAAACCUGAACUUUUGUUUAAUUACUGUUUCACCUGGUAAUUUUAUUCAAUUUUAAGUUUAGCCCUUAACUCUUUUAAAACCACCAUCUCUUACCAUCUUCACUCUGAAUCACGACCACACCCAACCUAAGAGUUGAGUAUUAUUUACAGUUUUGCCAUUGUGUGGAAACUUGACAAUAAAUGGUAAAGUGCCAUCUUUGCCCUUCUAUUUAUCAUGUGCCGAAAUUAUUUGUAUAUACUCGUCCAAACAAAUUUCUUGAUUGGCUGGAUAAGAUUGAGCAUUGGUUUCUAUUUUGGCACACUCCUAAAGAAGAGCAAGUAUCAUUUGCUGCUAGUAGAUUAAGCAUAAGUGUUUCAGAAUGGUGGCAUGAAUUACAAAUUUCUCAACUUGAGCAAGGCAAAUGCAAAAUUCAGUCAUGGAACCGUAUGAAGCAUAUUAUGCGAUAUGAGUUUAUCCCUCUUAAUUAUUGUUUAGUAUAACAAGGUAAGAUAUUAGUUUCUGAUUAUGCUACUGAGUUCGAAAUUUUAUGGAUGUAAAUAUUAUUAUGAACUUGAAGAGGAUACAAUUACAAGAUUUUUCAAGGGACUCAGUUUUAUAUUAAAGACAAGAUGCCUACAUACAUUAUAUACACGUUGCAGUAUGUAAUUCUGGUAGCGAAGCAAAUUGAUCACAAAUUUUAUCACAAAUCAGAAGAGAAAGAAGCCAAUCAUUGAAGCAAUUAAGACAACUUCAUCCUCAACACCAAUUUGAGAUCCGCAAUCUUAUCACAAGUUAGUAGCCUAAAGUGAAGGACAUAUAGAUAAAAGAAGUUUGUGCCUCUCUACAUGUUGAAGAUGUGCCUAAUAUUGUAGAAGAAAAUGUACAAUUUAUUAUUGAUUUAAAGUUUCAAUCUGACAAAUUGUCUGAGAAUGUGCAUGAUGUUUACUUGGAAGAGAAGACAAGUGUUGAAGAUGAUGAGAUUAUUGAUCUAUCUGAAUUUUUUAAAGAAGACGAACAACCUCAUCUUGAUUUGAGCAUUAAGCCUAAUAAUACAACUAAAGUUGUGCAUCAAAAUCAAGUUGAAGAAACUAAAAUGAUUGAAAUGGUUCUAUAUAUUCUCAUUGAAGACAAGAAGAUUAUGCUUGAAGAAGAUUUAAUUGCAAAGGUGAAUCUUAUGGGAGAUGCAUUGAGCCACAAUUAGGGAAGGGGAAAAAUUAUUUGAUCGUUGUUCAUUCUUGGAAGACAUCAUCACCUUGAAGAAUGUACAAGCGAAAGAAGUUGAUGAAGUAUGGAUUUUUUAAAGUUUCGAGAACAAUUGAUGAGAAAGACAAUAAGUUCGAAUUACAAGAUGAUUUGGUCUUACACUACAAGUGUCAUCCUCUAAAUUGUAUUCAAACUCAUGGACGUAUUUCUUUUAAGAGGAGAAGAAUGAUGUAGGACGUUAAUUUUGGUUAAUUUAGUAUUUUAGAAUUUUUAUUAUUCUAAGGCUUUCUAUUUUAAUUGGAGUCUAUUAUGAUAUGUAAUUUAAUAUUUUAUUUUCAUUAUAAUUCUGAUUUAGUUUCAUUUGUGUUGCUCUUAAUAAUAAUUUUUUAUUUACUUAAUUAAAAUUAAAAUUAAUAAAAAAAUUAUUUACAUAAUUAAGAAUAUUAAUAAUUAUUAUUAAUUUACAAAUAUCAUAAAAUAAAUAUUUUAUUUUUCAAAUCUAUUUUUUUAUUAAUUUUGUAAUUAAAAACUAUAAUUCUUUAAAUAAGGAUAAAACUGUAAUUUAAAAUCAUUUACUCCCAAUUUCAUGCUCUCAUUACAAUGUAAAUAAAUAACCUACUCCAACUCUCACUCCACACUCAUAAUCUUAGAAUUUUCACUUCUCAAAAUUCUCAUUUCAAUCCAAAAUGUAAACGCAGCAUUAAUCCCAUCGGAAAAUCCCCAGACACAUAAGAUUUUCAAGAGAAAGAAAAGUAUGAAUGGAUACAAGAGUGCACACUGCACAAGAAAAUAAAGUGAGAAAGUCCCAGUAGGAUGGCAGAUUGCUGGUCUAGAACAAGAUUUUUUACGCCCAGGCCAAAAUUUAUGUUGUUGGUAAUAGACCGAACCCCUAUACUAGCCCAUCCAAGUUCUUGGGCUUUCAUUAAUUUUUAAAUAAAUUUUUAAUAUAGCCAAAAGUUAAAAAAAAAAACCUAAAUUAAAAAUAAAUAUUUAACACAUAAUAGACUAAAAAUUCAAUACAUAAAAUACUUACAACACAAUAUAAUAAACUAUAAAUAAUAAUUAAAAAUUAUAAUUAUAUAAAUAAUAAAUUAAUUUUUAAUUUAUAAAUUAUAAAGCCUGAAAUUCCAUAAGCCUGUAACUGUACCCUUUCACAGUAAACUUUAAAAUUUUUGAUUCAUGUCUAUGCCCUCAUGUGACUUUUUGGUCCACCCCAGUCCUAAGGGCUCGCUAUUGGUUGUUAUUGUUAUAAGUCAACUGAAGCCGAUGAAUGGAAAUAAUUAGGGACAAUUUCAGACGUAACAUGAUAUUAUGAUGCUGGGUGACAAUAAAUAAUAAUCAGUUUUAAGAGGCACAUUAAUUGGCGUGUCGUCGUUUUCAUUAUUAACAAAUUGACGACCUAAAUAGUAUGUGGUAUUGAUAGGAGUGUUCAAAAUUUAAUCUGAUCGGCUCAAUUCGUUUGAUCCGCUCAAUCUGAUCUGUAUAAAUUCGAUCGUGGAUUGGUGGAUUAGAUAUGGAUUGAAAAUUUAAAAAUCCGCAGUCGAUGAAUUGGAUAUGAAUUUACUUUUGUAAAUCCACAGAAAUCCAUGAAUCCGUCAAUAUUAUAUAUAUAUAUAAUUAAAAAAUUAUUAUAAAUUUAAUUAAAAAAAUUAUAAAUGUGACAUUACAUAGUUACAUAAGCACUAUAACAUAUCUUAGCCAUUACUUAAUAAUAAUAUAAAAUGAAAAAUAAUUAAAUAAUCAAAUAUACAAAUAAAACUUGUAAAAAUUGUAAAACAAAAUAAAAACAAAGUCACACGCACUAGCAAAAGCAAAGUAACAUAACGCUAAGUCACCAACAAUUUGCAAAGUCACCCAAAAACAAAGUAACAUGACGCCAAGUCACUAACAAUUUACAAAGUCACUCAAAAACAAAGUAACAUGACGCCAAGUCACCAACAAUUUGCAAACAAAAAACCCUAAGCUUCCCCGCCGUCACACACACUAGCAACACUCAAUACUGGUUGGAUACACUCUCGACACGGAUUUGAAGGACAUCGGCCGCGCGAUUCUGGCAAGAGCAAACCAUCUUCUUUCCCAAGUCUAUCGAGCCACUUCACAUUCACUGGUUCCAGCUAAACAAUUGUACUAUCACAACCUUCAAGAUCGCCACCCGUACGGCUUCUCCUAGUUCCCAUCGUGGACGGCUCCGUAAUCACCACUUUUCGAUAGGCGCAACAACCCUGGUGAAGGAUUAGAUUGUGUUUGGUUUCCAAAACUUCGUCAUUUCAAUUAAUUGUGGCUUUAUUUGAACAAUUAAUUUUGGUAUUAUAUUAACGUAUUAUUGUAACUUUAUUUGAACAAUUAAGCUUGGUGUGUUAUAUUUUAAAACUUUGAACGUAUUAUUGUAGCUUUAUUUGACUAAUUAGUCUCGAUGUGUUAUAUUUUGAAACUUUAAAUGUAUUAUUUUAGCUUUAUUUAAACAAUUAAUUUAUUUAAAUUUUAUUCAAUUUUAAAUUUAAUUGGUAGCAAAAUUAUUUUUAUAUUAGAUUUUUUUUUAUUUCAUUAGUUGGAGAGAACUAAAAAUUUUUAAUUUGAAAACUAAUGCGCAAAAUGAUGGAUUGAAUAUGGAUUGAGUCAAAUCCGCAUCCGAUCCGCAGACGUAUGGAUUGAAUAUGAAUUGAGUCAAAUCUGCAUCCGAUCCGCAGAUGUAUAGAUUGGAUUUGAAUUGAAUUUUAUCAAUCCGUGGAUUGGAUUGGAUUGAAAAAUUAUAAUCCGCAAAAUGAUGGAUCGGAUAUGGAUUGAUGUCCAAUCCGUAAAAUCCGAUCCGCGAACACCCCUAGGUAUUGGGACCAUUUAAAAUAUGAGUAAUGAUAUAUGAAUAAAUUCUUGUAUAAAUUUAUUUUGUAUAAAUUGGUGUAGCAUGAUAAAAUUAGUUGAAUUAAAUUUCACUUGGCCUGCAUGAUUUAUUUAUAUUAUUUUAUAUUUUCAUUCAAUUAAUGAAUUAAUGCCACACCAAUUUGUACAAGAUAAAUUUAUACAAGAGUUUGUGACUGUAUCAUCACUCUUAAAAUAUUAAUUACGUGAUGUGAAGAUGAGAUUUGAAUCAUUUGAUUGCUCUGAAUUUAUCAAUAAAAAUUUUUUUAAGCCACUUCUUUAUUUUUUUUCCAAUUUUUUUAACUCGCUUAUUUAUUCUUUUGAGUUCUAAAAAUGUUCUCAUUCAUAAACAUGAGAUCUACAUUAUAUUGAAAAACAUUUGUGUGGGAGAAAUAAAUUACCUCAGCAUCAAUUGUCAUUUGAACAUAAUAUUCAAUUGAUUUCAUAAUAAAACUCAUAAAUUUUUUAUUAUUUAAUUUAUGAGUCCCACUAAUAAGAUCCUUUAAACCUACUGACUAAUAGGUCGUUUUAAGAGGCACAAUUAAUCUGCAUAUUGUAAUUUUCACACAUAAUAGAUUGACUAACUAGAUAUCAUGAUGUUGAGACCAUUUAUAAUAUUAAUUACUUGAUGUGAAGAAUAUGUUUGAUUGCUCUAAAGUUAUCAAUGAAAAAUAUUUGUUUAAGGCACUUUCUUUCUUCUUUUCCAAUUUUUUUUUCUAGUCACUAUUUUUCAUUUUUUAAAAAAUAUAUCCAUUCAUAAAUUUGAGAUAUACAAUAUAUCAAGAAAAAUUUAUGUAGAACAAGUAUACUUCCUCAACAUUAAAAGCCUAUCAUUUAGCUUAAUGUUAGAUGAAUUUCAUGAUAAGACUCAUAAUUUUUUAUUAUUUAAUUUAUGGAUUUCUCUAUCAGAAUCAAUCAAACCUACCUAAUAAUAGGUUAUUUUAGUGCAUAUUUUUCACCUAAUGUGAUAUGAUAUGUCUCUCGCUCAAUCUACUAACUUCAAAUUCAAGUUAGCUCAAAUAGUAAGUAGUUUUAUUCAACUAGGCAGUCUCUUAAAGAGAGAUUUUGAUAAAACUAAUUUCCUUUUGAUACUUCAGACUCAUAACGUCAUAUCAUAACCAAACAUAAUAAAAGAUAAACAAUAUAAUCAAACAUUUGUAAUUGAUUUUUCACUUUUACAAAUAUAAGGUUAAGAUUUUUUUAAUAGUGUAUGACGCAAUCGUUCUAGUUCUUGCUAUAUGCAUAGCUGCCACAUAUAUACAUCACAUACAAUCUUGAUUCUUGAAAUCGGAUUUGGAUAUGUUUGAACAGAUCAGAAGAAUCUGGAGCACCUACAAGUUGCAACACAAAUUUGAAAUCACACAAAUAAAAGAAAAACACAGCAAGCCAGCAAAUGGAGAAAAGAAAGACAACAAAUUGAAAGUGUUUUCAUUUUAACAUCAAUUAUUUUGUUAAUGUCUUUGGUAACAAUUGCAUCCCAAAAUCAGGAAACCUAAAUCAAGCAGUCAACCUUACAAUCACCAAAAAACAAGGAGAAUUAUCUACAGGGAAAAAAAAAAUCAGAAGCAAUUCAAAAUACCCAAAACUCUACAAGCUUUUCAAAGUCAAGGAACCUAUCCACAUAAGUUAUAACCUUUGCACCUUACAAGUUUUGAUGGAUCCGACUCCAUUAGAAACCCUUGCAAUAAGCAAAUAAAUGCAGCGGCUAGGUUUAAGAUUCUUGCAGGCUUCGGCUGGUAGCGUGGCAACGGUACAAUUCACGGGCUCAACGCCUGUCGACUGGGAUGCCGUCGGCAUGCAGCUGGGGCAUCGACGACAACUGCCGAUUUUUUUUUUUUUUUUCUCAAAGUGAUUGGUUGUGUUCGUGGGUGAUGCGGCUGUUGGUUGUGUUCGUGGGUGAUGCAUCGAUUCUUUUCUCUUUUGAUUUGGGAAUUUAAGGGAUUUAGGAAUGUUUUUCAAUUUUUAUUUCUUAUUUAUGUUUAAGUUAUAUAUUCUUUUUAAUUUUAAGUGCAAUCCGAUCGGAUUGAUCCGGAUCCGAUCCGAAUCAAAUUCGAUCGGAUUGCAAAGUUUCUAUCCGAUCGGAUUGAGAGGUCAAUUCGAAACUUAUCUGAACAUAUUCAGAUAAGUUCGGAUCGGAUCGAAUUGACCCGAAUCCAAUCCGAUGCCCACCCCUAAUUUAUGGUGCUUCAUUAGGAGAAAUUGAUCAAUAAUUUGUUUCAGCACGCGCAAAACGCAAUAUCAAAAUAAAGAGUUGAAGGUAAGCCAAACAAGCAAGGAUUAUUCAACCUAAGAUUUUAUUAAGUUACUUUUGCACGCAAGCAUUAAGAAGAAUCACUUAAACAUGACAAGAAAUAGGAUGCUGGCAAAAUAAUUAGGACUGGCGUCGGCAUUUUAUUUUAUUUAAUUAAAUUAGAACCUUGAAAUGACCUGUACGCUUGUCAAAGCUCGGAUCAUUUGUAGAGUUCAACAAGCCACCAGCUGUAAGCACGACAGACAAGUUUAACUGCUGUAAAUCCAGCUUUUGUCGCCAGAGCCUUCAACUCCUCUGCUGUCCUCUCCUUUGCCCCAGGAAAUACAGUGUACAUUUGUAUGUCAAGCAUAUAAACAAACCUGCUGAAAAUAUCAGUCUCAAGGUGCUCUGGUAUUAAAGAGUCUACCACAAUGACCUUCCCAAAUUCUGGAAGAGCAUCGUAGCAAUUCUUCAGUAUCUUCACACAUUGGUCAUCACUCAAGUCAUGAAGUAUCAACUGAAGAUUUAUAUGAAAAUUAAUUUCCUAUAUUAGUUUCCAGAAUUUAUGCAGAGUUAACAUAUAUGUUGGCAAGUGGAAAAAUUAAUUGGAGAACUAACCUUCAGAAAAAUAGCUUCUCCUUUAGGCACUUCAACAAACAUAUCUCCUCCAACAUGCUCCACACCUAGAAGCAAAAUUAAGAAAAAGGAAAAAGCAAAUUAUAUAUAAUGUUUUAACUGUUAAUUAAGCAAAAUAUAUAACUCGAAAUAGCACGAUUUAAAAAAAAAUUUCAAUAUGUGAAGAAAAAUAUAUAUCAUGUUAUUUUAUAUUUAAAUUGAGGGGAAACGACUGUGACACUCGAAAGUUUGGUGAAAUGAUCAUAGAAAUCUCAUCUUUUUUAAAUUAUAAAAAUAAAUUUUUUUAGGAUAAUUCUUUCUUUUUUUUUCUAUAAUAACCUAACUAUUUUUUUACUUUAAUAACCUAACUAUCUUUCAUUUCGGCAUAAAUAUAAAAAAAGUGGAUCUAUAUGACCAUCUCUAAUAAAAAUAAAAAGUUUUUAUUGUUAUUUCACCAAACUAUCGAAGCGCCACUAAUUUUUUCUUUUAAAUUAAUGGAUACCUUGAUAAGAAGGUGCAUCUUUAAUGACAUGAGGCGAGUCAAAGUUAAUACCCCGAAUUUGUGGGUAUUUAGAAACUAGUAAGCUGAGAUUAGCACCUAAACCACCGGCAACAUCUACCAAUUGGUUUAUCUCUUCAAAUCCUUUGUAGAUUUCAGGAAUUUUCUUCAUAACUAAAGCCGUAUGAUUGCUCAUUGAUUGAUUGAAGAGGUUCCGUCUUCUAGCAUCUUUCAUAGCAUACUCAAAUGGAUUUUUUGCAUUAUGUGCCUUCAUAAAAGGUAGGGUCCCUUCCAAUAAACAAUCUUUCAAGUGGUACCUAUUCAAUUUGGCAUAAGGAAUAUUUACCAUUUCAGCCCCUUUCUUUAUCUGUUUUAGGGUAUUGCUGAUUUGAUAGUAUGAAGUGAGAUGCCAAUGGUUUUAUGACAGAUUUACAGUGUUGCAUCCCAAAGGUGCUAAGCACUUAUUGUAAAUAUUUCUCUUGUGAGAGAAAAAUUGUUCCCUCUCUUCUGUUUCUCAUUAUCUUCGUACCUAAGAUCUUCUUCACAUGUCCUAAGUUUUUCAUAUCAAACUCUGAAUUGAGCAGCAGCUUUAAGGCUUCAAUUUCACUUCUCUGUUUACAAGCUAUCAAUAUAUCAUCCACAUACAGCAGCAAGUAUAUAUAAAGAUUAGUUUUCGAUGACUUGUAGUAAACAUAACAAUUAAAACAGCAUCUAACGAAUCUAUGAGAAAUCAUGAACUCAUCAUACCUGAGAUACUACUGCCUAGGGAAUUGUUUUGACCCAUACAAUGAUUUGUUCAACAAACAUGCAUAAUUAGUCCUCUUUAGAUCCACAUACCCCCCUGGUUGAAUCAUCAAAAUCUCUUUUUAUAGCCUUCCAUGCAAGAAAGCAGUUUUAAUAUCAAGUUGAUCAAGCUCCAUGUCAUGAAUUGUUGUCAAAGCUAACAACACCCUUACUGAAGCAUGUCUGACUACAAGUGGGAAACCUUUCUUAAAAUUAACCAUUUCCUUUUGAGCAUAUCCUUUAGCUAAUAGCUAGCCUUAAAUAUUCUAGGUUCAAUAGUGGUUAGACCAUCAAUUAGAAGUUUACUAAACUUCAUUAUUCAUCACAACUAAUGGAGAAAGGAACAUAAAGCUCACAACAAAUAAAUAUACAUAGUGACAGCACCAAUUGAACGUCACCAUAAACCAAUCAUAGAGACAUUUCCAUCAACCCAUACCUAGUGACAGCACCAAUUGAACGGCACCAUAAACCAAUCAUAGACACAUUUCCAUCAACCCACAAGUAAUCAAUCACAGCCUUCAGAUCAUCUUUCUGAAAAACAAGCAAUCAACUUCAGAUGGACCUUAAUUACAAGAAUAAAGGUCAACAAGAUAGAUAAUUGAUCUCAUAAAUGAUUUUUUCCCUUUAAAAAUUAAAAUUUUAAAAAAAAUUCCUAGAUGUGUAAUUUUUUCCCACUAGUUAACCAACCACUUACUUUAUUCCAUCCUAGAGUAACAUACUCUCCUGCACAGAGCCCAGAUCCUGAAAAAAUCAAAAGUGAAAAUGGUAAUAUUUUAAGGCGGUAAUAUUAUUGGAGCUUCACUAGCAUCAGCCUUGUAGAUACUGCCAAAGAUCAAGAUAUACUGCUAAUUACUAUUCUGUAACUAGUGCUCAAGUGCAUCAUUUGUAGAUAAAAAGCAAUGAAGCCUGUUGAAUUCUUGAAAUUACAAUAAAGUUUACAAUUCAUCUUCAAAGCACAAAGUUCCAAAUUGUAUCUUGGAAGAAAUAUGUGUAAGCCUUUGACAUAAUUUUACUCCAUCUAUCUUUUAAAAUCACAAAAGUAAAUUUCAUUAUUCAUUGAUUAUUCAAUUGGAAUAAUUGCAAUAAGCCAAAUUCAUAUAAAAUAUAAAAUAUAGAUUUAGAUUCUCACAAUCCUUGAAUCUCCUGUAAGUUUACGCAACCCAGUCCUUCAAAAAGCAAAGCAACAUUAUGUCAACAUAAAUUGAACAAUAUGUGACAGAUGAAUUGUACACCUAGACUAAGCAUAAGCAAGAUUAAAUACAACACCUCAUUAAGCUUUGCUUUCCGAAUGAAUAUAAUAAGCUUCAUAUUCCUUGGCUCCUCAUACGUAGAAAUGGCCUGCAAUAAUUAAAGCGCCAAGAUUGAUUCAGGCUUUUUAUCAAACACUUGGAGUGAAUACAAAAAUAAUAACUAUAUCCCCAAUUCGAAGAUGGUGAACAUACGGCUACAUGCAUGUGAUUUGCCCCACUCAAGAAUAAAGCCUAUGUCAUUUUGUAGUUCUAAGAUUCGGUAAUGUCAAUCAAAAAGUAAAUUUAACCAAUGAAAUUAAAAAAAAAAAUUUCCAUCACAGUGAACGAAUUGAGAACUACACCUCUAGGGUUUCUAACUUCUCUUCUAGGGUUCGAACAAUAAUUACCUGUAUCAGUCGGACAAUCAGGUUCUAACGUGCUCAAUUGAUGGUGGGUUCCCAGUUUAGGUUUUGAAUUUGAGGGUGGCAACACGUGUUCGGUGGGUUCUCCAUAUUAAAGGGUUUGGGUUAUCAAAAUCGACGGUGUUUUAAAGGUGGUGCAAGGAUUUCAAGCGAUGGGUUUGCUGUGAGAGUGAGAGAAGAGUGUGUUUGGAUUUCGCUUCAACACUUGUAAAAAGUAAAAAUAUCGAUAUGAAAUGAAUAGGGUUUGUGUCUUUCAUUUGUUUAAUUUAUUUUUCCCUAAACGCUGUCGUUUGAAUAAUCUAAGAAAUGACAACAUUCCCCUUUAUUUUUUGUAAUAAAAUAUUUUUCAAAACAAAGUUAAACCCGCGCAAUUGAAGUCAAAAUAAAAGAAUCAGUUAUACAUUUUUGAUAGUUAAAUAAUUUACUAUAAGUUUAUAGUAGGUUUUUGAUAGACGAUUUUCUAUCACAAUUAUAUCAUAAAUGCUUGACAAAAAAAAAAAAAAAAUCUAUUAUGUGUUUAUCCUUGUAGGUCUCUAAAUUAAAAAUCAUCGCACAUGGGACAAUCAUGGUAGGUGUUUUUCCUUAUAAUACAAGGGCUACCUCAAGUAUAUUCAUUUAUACCCCAAGACUUAUUUUAAAUCAUGAGACAAACUGCUUAACACUUUAGCUCUCUCUCUCUCUCUCCCCUUCAACUCUCUCACUCUCUCUUCUUCAUGUUCUUCUACUCUCUUACUUUUGCUUUCGUUCUUUUCCCUCUAUCUCUUUUUCUUUCUUUCUUUUUAAUUUGGUCUGUUCCCUUAAAUCCUUCACAUCUCUAUUGUUAACUAAAUUAAGUAAUGUAAAUUAUAUAAGCAAAGAAGAUUAAAAAUAAAACAUGAACUAUGUUGGGCUUAAAGAUGAAAACAAAAACAUGACGGUUAUGGGUCUUAAAUUUAGAUUAUUCCAAUUGGGCUCAUGGGCUUUUAUAUGAAAUGUGAAAACACUCGGUAUAUGAAUCGAACUCUAGUACUGUCAAUGCGACUUGAAAGCCUAUAGUUUAAAUAAGAGAACAAAACUUAACAAAGAUAAAUAAUCAAAUGUAAUAUUUUUUAUUUUUCAUAAUAGAUUGAUAUAAUGGUCCUUAUAAUUUUCAUAUUUAUAUGAGAUAAUGCUCUUGAUCAUUUUUAUAUGUACAUCUCAUAAUAAUCUUAAUCAUUUUUGUAUAUGUAUCAUAUAAUGCUGUUGAUUCCUGUCAUAUUUACAUGUCACAAUGACACAAUGACACAAUGAAUUUAAUUUUGAAUGGUUAUCUUUACGUGAUUCCUAUCAAUAACCAUCAUGUCAUUUGUCUUAGCAUACAUGUGGACUUAUGUCUUCGAUAAUUUAUGGUAGGGUGGGCAAAAUCGGAUUUGGAUCAAUCCGAUCGAAUUUUAGAUUGUUUGGAUUAAUGAAAAAGUCAUCUGAAUGUAAUUAGAAUAAAAAUCCAAUCCGAAUAAAAAUUUCGGAUCGGAUUCGGAUUGGAUUUUUAUUCGGAUUCGGUUCGGAUCGGUAACAUCAUAUUGAAAUCGGAUUUGGAUAUGUUUGAACAGAUCAGAAGAAUCUGGAGCACCUACAAGUUGCAACACAAAUUUGAAAUCACACAAAUAAAAGAAAAACAUAGCAAGCCAGCAAAUGGAGAAAAGAAAGACAACAAAUUGAAAGUGUUUUCAUUUUAACAUCAAUUAUUUUGUUAAUGUCUUUGGUAACAAUUGCAUCCCAAAAUCAGGAAACCUAAAUCAAGCAGUCAACCUUACAAUCACCAAAAAAUAAGGAGAAUUAUCUACAGGAAAAAACAAAAUCAGAAGCAAUUCAAAAGACCCAAAACUCUACAAGCUUUUCAAAGUCAAGGAACCUAUCCACAUAAGUUAUAACCUCUGCACCUUACAAGUUUUGAUGGAUCCGACUCCAUUAGAAACCCUUGCAAUAAGCAAAUAAAUGCAGCGGCUAGGUUUAAGACUCUUGCAGGCUUCGGUUGGUAGCGUGGCAACGGUGCAAUUCACGGGCUCAACGCCUGUCGAUUGGGAUGCCGUCGGCAUGCAGCUGAGGCAUCGACGACAGCUGCCGAUUUUUUUUUCUCAAAGUGAUUGGUUGUGUUCGUGGGUGAUGCGGCUGUUGGUUGUGUUCGUGGGUGAUGCAUCGAUUCUUUUCUCUUUUGAUUUGGGAAUUUAAGGGAUUUAGGACUGUUUUUCAAUUUUUAUUUCUUAUUUAUGUUUAAGUUAUAUAUUCUUUUUAAUUUUAAGUGCAAUCCGAUCGGAUUGAUCCGGAUCCGAUCCGAUCCGAAUCAAAUCCGAUCAGAUUGCAAAGUUUUUAUCCGAUCGGAUUGAGAGGUCAAUUCGAAUCCGAUCUGAACAUAUUCGAAUAAGUUCGGAUCGGAUCAAAUUGACCCGAAUCCAAUCCGAUGCCCACCCCUAAUUUAUGGUGCUUCAUUAGGAGAAAUUGAUCAAUAAUUUGUUUCAGCACGCGCAAAACGCAAUAUCAAAAUAAAGAGUUGAAGGUAAGCCAAACAAGCAAGGAUUAUCCAACCUAAGAUUUUUAAGUUACUUUUGCACGCAAGCAUUAAGAAGAAUCACUUAAACAUGACAAGAAAUAGAAGCCGAUGCUGGCAAAAUAAUUAGGACUGGCGUCGGCAUUUUAUUUUAUUUAAUUAAAUUAGAACCUUGAAAUGACCUGUACGCUUGUCAAAGCUCGGAUCAUUUGUAGAGUUCAACAAGCCACCAGCUGUAAGCACGACAGACAAGUUUAACUGCUGUAAAUCCAGCUUUUGUCGCCAGAGCCUUCAACUCCUCUGCUGUCCUCUCCUUUGCCCCAGGAAAUACAGUGUACAUUUGUAUGUCAAGCAGAUAAACAAACCUGCUGAAAAUAUCAGUCUCAAGGGGCUCUGGUAUUAAAGAGUCUACCACAAUGACCUUCCCGAAUUCUGGAAGAGCAUCGUAGCAAUUCUUCAGUAUCUUCACACAUUGGUCAUCACUCCAGUCAUGAAGUAUCAACUGAAGAUUUAUAUGAAAAUUAAUUUCCUAUAUUAGUUUCCAGAAUUUAUGCAGAGUUAACAUAUCUGUUGGCAAGUGGAAAAAUUAAUUGGAGAACUAACCUUCAGAAAAAUAGCUUCUCCUUUAGGCACUUCAACAAACAUAUCUCCUCCAACAUGCUCCACACCUAGAAGCGAAUUAAGAAAAAGGAAAAAGCAAAUUAUAUAUAAUGUUUUAACUGUUAAUUAAGCGAAAUAUAUAACUCGAAAUAGCACGGUUUAAAAAAAAAUUACAAUUUGUGAAGAAAAAUAUAUAUCAUGUUAUUUUAUAUUUAAAUUGAGGGGAAACGACUGUGACACUCGAAAGUUUGGUGAAAUGAUCAUAGAAAUCUCAUCUUUUUUAAAUUAUAAAAUAAUUUUUUUAGGAUAAUUCUUUCUUUUUUUUCUAUAAUAACCUAACUAUUUUUUUACUUUAAUAACCUAACUACCUUUCAUUUCGGCAUAAAUAUAAAAAAAGUGGAUUUAUAUGACCAUCUUUAAUAAAAAUAAAAAAGUUUUUAUUAUAAUUUCACCAAACUAUCGAAGUGCCACUAAUUUUUUCUUUUAAAUUAAUGGAUACCUUGAUAAGAAGGUGCAUCUUUAAUGACAUGAGGCGAGUCAAAGUUAAUACCCCGAAUUUGUGGGUAUUUAGAAACUAGUAAGCUGAGAUUAGCACCUAAACCACCGGCAACAUCUACCAAUUGGUUUAUCUCUUCAAAUCCUUUGUAGAUUUCAAGAAUUUUCUUCAUAACUAAAGCCGUAUGAUUGCUCAUUGAUUGAUUGAAGAGGUUCCGUCUUCUAGCAUCUUUCAUAGCAUACUCAAAUGGAUUUUUUGCAUUAUGUGCCUUCAUAAAAGGUAGGGUCCCUUCCAAUAAACAAUCUUUCAAGUGGUACCUAUUCAAUUCGGGGAUAUAAAAUUUCUUUCACAGAUACUGAAAUUUAAAAAAAAAGAAAGAAAAUGAAUGGAAAUAAUGUAUAUGAAAGAUUGAAAAUACUCAUAUGUGAACGUCAGCACAAAUUUCGUGCGGAAAGAUACCCUUUUACAACAAUGUAAAGAGUGCUUCACAAUGUUAUAAAGGAAUUUUCAUGACUCAUGAAAGAUGUCGCAGAGAAAUUAGAAAACAAACCAAGGAUGUACAGAAACUUUCUCCUGAGCUAAGAGGAAAAUGGGAGCAAGAGAAACUCCGUCUUCAUUUGGAAGCAAAUAUCUGCAAACGGACGCUAAACCAUAUACUCCGCAAACAUUUCCAUCUUUAUUUGUGACAAGAUUAUAUGUUAGGAAAGAGUAACUAGCAAGGAGUCGUAACAUUCGAUCAAGUACUGUUGAGGCUUCUUGGUUAUUUGUGGGCAGCUGAGAUGCAAUCUCAGAAGAAGAAAGCUGAGAUGGACUAGCUUUAGCUAAAAUCUCUAACACACCAAGCUCGAUGAUAGCUUUCAUGGUCAUCGGAAGUAAUGAGCUGUGGGCAAGCUCCAUGAUGAGCAUGAAAUCUUCCUCAUCGUUUGGUGGUUUCAUGAGUUGGUCAUGGAAUGAACUCAUCUUAUUUCUCGGAGUAGGAUAUGCUGAAAUUAACAAAAUGGCAAUGGAUGAUGUUGAUGAGCGCUCAGUAUAUAACUAUAUAUAUACACGUAUAGAUAUAUUAGUUAUAAAUGUAGGUUUUGGUAGCUUUGCCGCUUUUAUAUAUGUAAAUAGCCCCACUCAUCACAAUCAUAGUUAUGUCAUCAACCAAUUUAAAACAAACGCAUCAGUGUUAACAAGGGAAUCAUUCACCACUUGUCUUCUAAGUCUUCAAUUUAAAUGUUUCAUCCGACUUUUCAAUUCUGCAAUGACAUUUUCUGUCCCACUCUCGACAGUGAUCACAAAGAUGGGAAACCUGGGUACCUACUUUUUUUUACUCUGAAAUAUUAUUGCAAUUUGCACCAGCUUUGGCCCAUGGGGGGCAUUGGCUGCGUGUCAGUUUCCAAAUUACCUCACGAUUCUUUCAUAUCUGCUUCGAAAAAAGAAAGAAGAGCUUUCAACAUCAGUAUUUAAAAUAUAUCGUUUUUCUAUACUUAUCAACAGUUGUAGCCCAUAUCCGCGGGCAGUAGAUUUCAAACAAAUUCAUCAACUAACCAUCGAUUGUUUUCGCGUUGAAUGAGUAUUUAUUUCCAUUUGAAAAUAUAACCUAUUUUCAAAGUAAUUGAUUAUGGUCGUGAUUCGUUUAAUUUUUCUUUCUUACUUACCGAUAGCUUUGGCCCUUGUUGAGGACGCGUUAGGUUCCAAAUAAUCCAUCAACCAUGUUCUGAUAGCUACAGGGAAAACAAAGUAUUUGUUACCUUAUUAAAAUAUACCAUAUUUCAUAAUAAUUGAAUGUGAUCGUCAUUUGAAAAUAAUUUGUUACCAUUAUAAGAUUAUUUGAUUUCAUAAAAAUCAAGCAGAAGCAUAGGAACUUACCUCCAACCAUAGUUAUCAGUUUGUCAUGUGAUAAAGACAAAGCACAAAUAUAAACCUCAAUAGGGUGAUAAGGGAAUAUUCUCACAUCCAUUAAGAAUGAUCUUAGACUAAUAAUAUAAAAUUAAGACAACCGCUAACUCUUGAGUUAGUUUUUGAGUAUAAGUUAGAUACAAACUUACUAGUUUAAAGUCAAUUUUUAACUGAUGUGAGAUUUUUAUAUUUGUUUUUAGUGGGCUUGUAUGUACUUUAGGAUUUGGUUAUAUUAUACAUAGUAUUCGAAAAAAAAACGUUAUGAUUAAUGAUGUAUCAAUUGCACAACUGAAGACUUUGCUUGAUUCCUUGGACUAUAAAGUCUAUAUGUAACCGCCUGCUAAAUCAAGUGGAAAAGAAAUUUGUAUAGAUGGUCGAGUCCAAAAAAAAACUCACAGGACCAAGCCUCCAACUAUGACCAACCCUUCAACUAAGUUUGAUUUAUGAAUGAAUUGCAAAGUUCUUUUAAUACGGUUAAAAUUUUGAAUCGAUCGAGCAGUUAAAUAUGACAUCAGAAUUCAGAUGUAACUUUGCUACAAUGUCUCGUUUCAUAUUUACUAUCUGACAAAAUCGAUUAAGGGUUGUAUUUAAUAAUAAUAAUAAUAUUAGUAUUAUUAUUAUAUUUUAAAUAAUUUCAAUGGCGUACGUUUCGGGUUUGUUUAAGCUUUUGGUCAACACAAAUGCUUUGCCUAUUGGCACCAAAUUUUGAUUAAUUGCUCCCAAGCGAUCCAAUACCUGCCCGCAGCUGACCGUUGAAAACUUGAUCUCGUCUAUUAAAUUAUAUAGUUCUGUAGUUAAUUGAACACCUCUUUUAUAUUUUUGUCCCCUCACAAACGCUUUGUAUCAAUCCUAAACUUUUUUCCUAUUAUUUUCUUGCUUAUGGUUUUUUAUUUAAAAAAUUACAUAAUAAUUAUUUGAGGCUCCUUUUAAUUCUACUUAAUAUAUAUAAAUAUAUAAUUUUUGGAUUUAAAUAUAUGAUUUAAUCAUUCAUAAAUUUUUUAAAAAUUAAAGUUAAGUGGAACGAACCGAUUUUUUUAUAAUCAGAAAGAAAUUAAAAAAUUUAAAAAAUAUUUUAAGAAUUACAAGUAGAUUUAGGGAUGGCAAUGGGGAGGGGAGGGGAGGGGACCAAUCUCCCCGUACCCAUCCCCGAUAUUUUGCGUAUGUCCCCGUCCCCUCCCCAUCUCCGUCAAAAUUAUUUAAGAGAAUCCUCAUCCCCUCCCCGAAUAAUUACAGGGGAUCUCCGAGGGUCCCCGAUCCCCGAAUAACUAAUAUAUUUUUUCUAUUUUCGAUUUUGAGUUAAUCAUAUUAAAAUAAAAAAUUCAAAUAAAAGUAAAGUUUGAAAUAUAUCUUACAUUAAAAUCCAUUACAAAAGUCACAUACACUAAAUUAGUAAGUAAUGCAGCAUGCAAGGGAUACAAACUAUCAUGAACAAAUUAAUAGGCUAAUAUAAAGUUGUUACAAAUAAAAUCAAAUUUAGAUUCAAAAUUAACUUUUCAAUGGUGGCGUGGGCACUUUAUAAAUGUGGACUAUUCACUUUACAACACAAUAGUUAAGUCGAAGCAAAUUAAGAGCAAAUAUUAGAUUAAAUUAGAUAUUAAAAUUGUGAUUUGCUAUGGGCAAUUAUAACAUCUAAAAAUAAAUAAAAAAUAGAUUUAAGUUUAAAAUAUUUAAUGAAUAUUAAAAUUAAAAACAAAAGUUUUGGGCUAAUAGAAUCUGUCCGGUCUUUUUAAUGUCCUAAAUAAAAAUUUAGGACUUUAAUUAGUUAAUUAGGCCUAAAAGUUUAAUAAUAUAAAUAUUUUGAUUUUUUUUUAUUUUUACCAAUACUUAUAAUUUUAUAAUUCAAUUUUUAUUAUUUAUUUACUAGUAAUUUUAAAAAAUAAAAAAUAGAUUAAAAAUUAAAAUGGGGAAAUGGGUAGGGGAUGAGGAUUCCACCUCAUCCCCGUCCCCUCCCCGAAUAAGAAAUUGGGUAAAAAAAUUUUCCCAUCCCUUUCCCGAAUAAGAAAUUGGGUAUGAAAUUAUCCCCAUAUCCUCUCCGAAUAGGAAAAAUACCCGAGGGUACCCGUCCCGUGGAGAUUUUUGUCAUCCCUAAGUAGAUUGUGAUAGAAAAAAGAGUGUUAAUUUUAUCAAUUCUAGGCUUCUAGCUAUGGUCCACAGAAAAAUAUAAAGAAUGCAAGUAAAAUAUACAAGAAGACUUUUACUUCUCUUCAAAAGGAGGACCAUACCUCUCCGAAAGAAAAAUGAUUCAUCGUUUUUAAAUGUUCUUAGACCAUGUAUCGAGGAAAUUUAAAUGAUGGAAUUAGUAAACAAAAUGAUGCAUCGCUAAUUUAGGAUAAUUAAAAAAAGUCAAUAUCCAUCCAUAAACAAUAUUAAAUUUUGUAGGCAAUGUUCAAUAUUAAGGAAAAGCUACUAACCGAAAGUUGAUUUAGAUGGAUAAUUAUUUUAAUGAAAUUUAUUGAAUGUGAGCCUUAAAUAAAAUAUAUUUUAAAAUAGGAAAUGUUAAUUUUGUAAAUAUUGAUUUUUUUUUUUUUAACUACAAAAGUGUUAAUAAAUAAUCUUGAGGGGUUUUAUUUCUAAAGUGACGGCCUUAGGCAAUUGCCUAACUUGCCUAUCUCUGGAGCCGGCCCGAUAAAAAAAUUAAUAUCUUUUUAGUCGUAUCCUUCGCUAAGUUCGCUUUGGAUUUUUCGUUUUUGGUUCUUUCAUAAUUAGUUGUACUUUAUUUACAAUAGGAGUACAUAAUAAAUUCCUUGUUCACUCGGUCUCUUUGUUCUUUUACAUAUUAUGUAUGAAAAACCAGAGUUUCAUAUUUAUUUGUUUAAAGACGGAAGUAGCCUUUUCUUUGCACUUAAAUUGUAAGUGAGUUGCCAAUUGGGCUUGUAGCCCACUGGUGAACCAUUGCCCUUAAAGUUAAGCAUGAUUAUGAGGGUAAUGGUUCGAGUUUCUACGGACUCAAUGUCGCUCAAUUAAACAUAAUUGUGUGGAGACUACUUAUAACGUCUUUCUUCCCUUGCGAAACACGAGUGGAGUAGAGACAUCCCUCCUCCGUGAGGGGUAUUUGGCUGGUCAUGUACUUUAUAGAAUAAAAAUGUAAGAAUAUAAGUCUCAUGUAUAUAUCUGAUUGUAAAUAUCAGUGUAAUGACCUACUGUUAUAGCAGUUGUAUAUAUCUCUGUGUAAUACAGUAACUUGAUGCUUAAUCAGUUCAAAAAAAAAAAAUUGUAAGUGAGUUAUCAUUUGUAAUGUAUCAAUUACAAAACUUGAGACUUGCAUGCCUCCUUUGACUGAACUCCUCAAGAAUACAAAUUUGGUCGUAAAAUCUUCUGGCAAAGUGCAGUUAAGUCAAUAGACAACUUCUGAAGCCUAAAUCAAGUACGCAAGCAACUCAAUAUGUCAAUGUGGAAUUCCAAGUUGCGUCGAAUUAAAUGAAAAUUUCUAAUAGGAAGAAAGUCUUCAACUACAUUUGAAUUAUGAUUUUUUUUUUUUUUUGAAAUCGUGGAGAUUUAUUACCAAAGCCUUUAACUAUCUUUGAUUUAUGACUAAGUUUUUUUUUUUUUAAAUAGCGGAGAUUUAUUUUUAAUAUUAUUGUUAGACUUUCACUAACCUGUUUAAAUUUUUCGAUCGUGUAGCUUUUUUUUUUUCUCUCUAAGUAAUAUUAGGCACUCUCGUAUUUAAUUAUUUUCACAUACAAAGUCUAUUUUCAAUUAUUUUAAUUUUUUAGUUCGUAUUUUGGAAUUUAUUUAGAUUUAUUUUUAAUAUUAUUUGAAAUUAAUUUGACGUGAGAUGGAUGUUGAGAUAUUUUUGGGCACUUGCAAAGCGUUUGGUCACGCCAACACAAAUGAUGGCCAAUUGGGCAUCAAAUUUUCAUUAAUUGCUCCAGCGCGAUUGAAUCAAUUGCGGCAGCUGACAGCCUGAUGCUUGCUGUGGUCAACUCUUCACUUCGUGUUGACUUUUGAACAUAUAACUUGUAAGACAAAAUGCGAAAUUCUUGUAUUCAUGAAGGUCAUAAAUUUGACGUUUAAGGUUAGAUUUUAUGCUAACUUUAUGCGCUCGGUAAAAGGAAGUCACAAAUACCUCUCAACAUCUCGUUGUAUCAUAUGAAUUUCUUUUAAAAUUAAAUUUGUCAAUAUGGAAAUGAUUAUUAAUUAAUUCAAUAAAUUGAAAAGCAAGUUGAGUAUACUACCCAAAUUAUUGGUACCAAUUUGUAAGCAUUUAUUUUGGCUUUGUGCUUAGCUAUCAUCACUUUAGCAAAUGAAACUAUAAAUACGCACCCAAGCUACCUAGCUACAAAAAUCAAGCAACAUAGCAAGCAAACAAUUGAAACCUUUUACAAUUUGUUUUCAACUUUUAUAGCCAUGUUUGAUUCAUUAGCCUUUCCUCAAUACUUUAUUUUCCCAGUAAUUUUCUUUCUCUUUCUCCAUCAUUUCAGAAAGAUCAACUCAACCCCAUGGAAUUUGCCUCUUCUUGGCAUGUUAGCCUCUGUGAUUCUCAACAUCAACCAGCUUCAUGACAAAGUUGCCCAAAUUCUUGAAAAAACAAAGGGCUCAUUCAUGAUCAAAGGCUCAUGGGUAGCUCAAUAUGAUAUGUUUCUCACAAGUGAUCCAGCAAUGUUCAGCACAGAAUGAGUACAAAUUUUUCAAAAUAUCACAAAGGGUCCGAGGGGAGGAAGAGGUUUGAUAUUUUCGGAGAGACGGGCUUUUCAAUUCUGAUUUUGAUGAAUGGAAACACCAAAGAAAGCUUGCUCGUGCGUUUAUUAAUCACCAGAGUUUCAGCAACUGAUGGCCAAGAUCGUUCCGGAGAUGAUCGAAAGAGGGCUAAUCCCAGUUCUUGAUCAUGUGAGUGAAGAAAAAAUGUUGGGGACUUUCAAGAUUUGUUGAAAAGGACCACGUUUGAUUUUGCAUGCUUGAUUGCCACUGGGCAUAACCCUAAUUCCCUUUCGGUGGGGUUUUCGGAUGCUGUUGAUGAUGCUUGUGAGGCUAUACUUAUCCGGCAUCUCGUGCCGGAAAGUUUAUGGAAGUUGCAAAGCUGGUUAGGGUUUGGGAAGGAGAAAAAAUUGGCUAAUGCUUGGAGAACCAUUGACCAAUUUUGGGAGAAGCAAAAGUCAAUGAAGCAAGAAGAAAUAGAGAAAGUAAUGGAAGCUAAAGAAGAUGAAGGUAUAUAUAGUCUUUGAAUUGUUACUUGAGUGGACAUGAAGUAACAGGACCAACACCAGCUGAAAAAGUUAUGAGAGACAACAUCACGGGCUUAAUUUUUGCAACUGAAGGGACCACAAGUAUAGCUCUCACUUGGUUCUUUUGGCUGGUCUCCAAGAACCCAUUUGCUGAAACCAAAAUCAGAGAAGAAUUGAAGAGAAAUUUUUCACAAGAAGGAUUCAAUAAGCCGCCGUUGGUUCGACUAAACGAGCUGAAAUAGCUUGUUUAUCUCCAUGCAGCUUUGUGUGAAACCUAAGGCUGUAUCCUCCUGUGCCUUUUGAAAUAGGAUCCUCUUCAGCUGAUGUUCUUCCAAGUGGGCACCAAGUGAAUCAAAACACACACGUUUUGAUUUCAGCGUAUUCGAUGGCGAGAAUGACUUCAGUCUGGGGAGAGGAUUGUCGAGAAUUCAAGCCGGAGAGAUGGAUCACUGAAGAUGGGAGGAAUCAGGCAUGAGCCACCACACAAGUUCUUUUCAUUCAAUGCAGGUCCAAGGAUCUGUAUUGGUAAGGAUAUUGCAUUUACUCUGAUGAAGGCCACAGCAGCAAGCAUUAUUCAUAAUUAUGAUGUUCAAGUAGUGAAAAUCAUCCGGUGACCUACAAUCUUAGUAUUGGUUUUCGGAUGAAGCAUGGAUUACGGCUAGGUUUUCUAAAAGAUCAGCUCAACCGCGGCAUAUUAAUUGAUUCAUGAUAACCUAAGGUCCUUCAAUAUGCAAGAAAUGUUUGGUUAAUUUAGAUUGGAGGAAGUCGCUGAUUUCGAAACAGCAAGAAAACAUAACGACAUGGUGUGGAUUUGUCUCCAUCCUUAGGAACAUUAUUCAGCUUCAGAAAACGAUUUGGUUACGACUACAAUGCAUUUGAUGCAUUGAUGGAUCGGUCUAAAUAAAUGUGAAUUUUUUAUAAUUAGUUGUGGAAGGAAAAGUAGUAGUAGUAGAUUAUUACGUUUAAUGGUGGUAUGAAGAAUGUGAAGAUUAUGUGUUUAAUGGUGGUAUGAAGAAUGUAAAACAAUAUAAACGAAACUAGUGAAUAAUAGUAUUUUCUUAUAUCCACAAAGUCGCAACUAGAGUUGGCAAAAUGAGUCACUGAGUCGUGUUCGUGUCAUCUCAGUUUCGUGUUGUUUUAAAUUUAGAUCGACCCAAACACGCCUAUUUAAUAAUCGUGUUAAAUUAUUGAGACUCGUACCUGACACGAAAAAUAAACGGACUAUCUAAUAACCGUUUAAUAUCUAUAUAUUUAACAAAUGUUACACAUCCAAACUAUUACACAUUUACACUAUUUAAAGUUUAAAUUAUACAUAUGUAAAUGAUAGUAUCUAUCGAUAUCAUAAAAAUAUAUAUGUGUAUCAAUAUUUUACACCCUUACGCUAUUAAAGUUCUAAAUUUGUUUUAAAUUUAUAAAAUAAAACACUGUGUAUAUGUCUGUCUUCUAAAAAAAAAUCAAAAAUAGAGAAUCAUGUCCAAUAUUUGAAUUUUAAUGAUAAGAAUUUAAAAGUUAAUUUAAAGUAAAAAAAUAUAAUCGUGUUGUUAUUCGGGUAGAUGGUCAAGAAUUUUAACCUUAACUCGAUAUGAAAAAAAAUGUGUCAACCCAAACUCAACCCAUUUAAUAAUCAUGUCAAAUUUGAUGACUCAUCCCCAUUUAUUAGUGUUGUGUNNNNNUUAAUUAAUUAANNNNNAAAAGCCAAAAGCUAUUGAUUUCCUUCCUUUAUUCUACUUUGACUUUCCAUUCAAAGGCUUAAUUAAAAGAUUUGUUUUAUGUGCUGCCCACUUUAGCUUUAACCUUCUUCUUUGUUUGCACGAGCAUGGAGAAUUCAAUUUAUUGGCUUUGUUUUCUUCGAACAGAAUUUCUUGCACAUCUCCUUAAUUACUUUCACAAAUUGAUUUGAUCUUUAAUGUUGUCCAUUUAUUAUUCUUUAUGUACUUUUCAUCCAUAAUCUCCAAUUAACUCCCUAUUUAAUAAAAUAAUUUAAUUAAUUAAAAAUAAUAAAUAAAAUUAACUAGCAAUUAUAUAAUAAAAGAUAAAAUAUGUAUAUAAAUUAUGCUCAUCAGUAACAAAGGCUCGUCAUCCCGAUAGAUUCUGCUCUCCAUCUCUGGCCAGUAGCAUAAUAAUCUUCACUAUACUUCUCCAUUUCGCAAAAUAGGGCGGUGUGCGCUGAGACAAGAAAUAUUUCAAAUUCCCAAUGGAAGUUGGUCACAUUGCAUGGUACAUUUCAUGAUCUGCUCUGACUGUGAAAUUCACCACAGAUGUGCCAUGAUGAACCUGAAUUUCCGAAGGAAAAAAAGUUCAUUUACCAAUUGUCCGUCAGGGGUGAUUUUUAUUACUCAACAUCAACGUCAAUAUUAAGAUGUUUUGAUCAUCAUUCCUCUGUCCAAUAGCAUAAAUUUCAAUUUAAAUCUAUCUCCUGUCCCACUGUUAUUCUCAUGAAGAUCAUCAAUGACUUUAACCCAAAUUUAACUUUAUACGGCUUUGAAAAUGAAAAGAAUGGUGAAAGAAUGGAGGAUCAUUUUAUACUUAUAAGAGGAGCCUAUAUGGUGGAUACGGUGGAAUUUUCCCUACAAUAAGCAGUUCAGAAUGCAGAGAUAUUAAAUUAUGGAAUUCCAAAGUUGAAGAGACAAAAAUGUAGGCAAUAAGCAAAACUCUCCUUCAGCUUUGACAGGAUCCUUGUGCUGAGAGCAUUAUUUUCAAACCUAAAAAAAAAAAAAAUUAAUGGUCUCAUAUAUAUAUAUAUUGGAUGAUUUCAAAUUUAUCCAAAUACCUUAUAUCAAAAAAUAUGUUGAUAUUCCCAAGAUAAAGCAAAGAGCCGAGGAUGAAAGCCAAAUCACAUAACCCAGAAACGUAACAGUUAAAAUUUUCUUAACUCAGAAAUGUAACAAUUAAAAACUUCUUCUCACCUCAAGCUGGUCACAUUGGACUAGGAUGUAUCUACAAACCACUACACCCACCCUGAGAAGCUGUCAGUCCUGUCAGAUUAAUUCAUGAUAAUUAGCAAGUAUACCUGAAAUGCGGACAAGCUGCCAGUCCAAUCUAAUAAGAUUAAUUCAUGAUAACGAGCAAGAAAAUUUGAACUGACACAAUACGAAUUGUCAUGAUAAAAAUAAUUAACAAGUUUCCCCACAACUUAUUACCCUGUUCAUAUCAACAUUAGACAUGAAUUUCUCAAGAAAACCAAGCCAUGCUUAUUGUGAUACUGGAUUUAAUUUUUUUUUUAAAAAAAAAAGGUUCCACCUGGGAUAAACUGUAAAAUGACUAAUUAAGUAUUACAGAAAUAUUUGGCCCCAAAGAUUUAACAUGUCACAUUCUUUUAUACACAACUUGAAUAUCACAUCAUAUCAACAAUUUUUCGAAACGCUAGUGCCCAGAAUAUACUGCACCAAGGACUAGUUUUCAUAACCAUGCUUCUAGGAGCAUUAAGGAAAAGCAAAAGAUAAUGUACAAUUGUUUCAUAAGAAGAUAAUAAUACUUCAAGAAACAGGAAGCAUACAAAAGCUUCAGCUUCAGUAUCUGUUACAAAAUUCUGCUGGAAGAAAAUAGAAGAUGCUAAAUUUCAACUGUACUGAAGAAAACAACAGCAAAAAAUUAAUAUGAAACUUGCAAAUGUUGAUGUUCAGUUAACACUGAAAAGCUUCAGCUUUGGUAUCUGUUUAAAAAUUCUAGCGGAAGAAAAUAAAAGAUGCUAAAUUUCAACUGUGUUGAAGAAAACAACAGAAGAAAAUUAUUAUUAAACUCAAAAGUGUUGAAGUUCAGUUAAUGCUGAAAGCUCCACCGGAUUUGACCACUGAUUGAAAUUGUUGUUAGUAUAACUGCAGUUAAAAAAACCCAAAUUAAGCAUGACUUGCCACCAGCCUAAAGUACAAACAAUACUCAUUGUGCAUUAAGGAUCCUUUAAGAAAAUAUCAGUUAAAGCUUUAAUCGACAAAAUGAAUAUUUGACACCAAAUCCGAACCACGAAACCCUAACCUAAAGCAGAUUUGCCCAUCUCAUUUGAUAUGAUGCCACUUAUAUUCUUCCACAUAAAAUCCCUGGAAGCAAAAUAGAUAUUAAGGAGAAACAAUAAACAAUCUCAGUGAUGGAAAUGGUUGAAGAAUAUUUUCAUUGUACAACAAUUUGUUUUCUACAAUGAUAUACUGACAAUAUGGUCAUAAGAGAGAGCUGCCCAAGUUUCGGAGCCAACUUAAUUUCCAGAAUGUUCUAUAUUUAGCAACCACCUGAAUCAUGGAAAAACAAAAAUACAUUGAAAAAGCCAAAACAGUUAACUAACAUUUGAAAACAUGCAUAAACUUUAACAGAACUCAAAUAACAAGGAACUCUGUCAUAGAAGCAUGCGGUUUAUCCAUUAGUACAGAAUGAAACUAAUUAAACUUAUUGCUGAAAUCUUUGGGGCUAAUCUUUCUCUAUAUUAUUGGAAAAUCAUAAAACUGAAUACAGAUAGAAUUGGUGCAAAAGAUCUUAUCUUCAGUAUUUGGUAGCAAAACUAAAAUAGUUACUGCUUAAGUAAUUAGAAAGCACUGUUGCAUAUUCUUGACAAAAUAAAAUAUAUGAUACAGAAUUUGAUAACAAAAAUGACGCAAGAGAAGAGAGUACCUGCAAAAGCAUUUUGCUUAUGAAGACUAUCUUUUUAACACUUGGAUACUUCUGCUCGUACCUACAAAAGUGUUACAAUGACAGUAAAGUAGAACUUCAAAUUUGGAUCUUGAAGAUGAAGUACUCUGUAAGUUUUCAACUCUUUUAUAGCCAUGAUGAAAAUUGAACACAAAACCCUACACGAAUGAAAAUUGAACCCAAAACAUGCAACUAGGCUAGGACUUCGAUAGCGUAAACUCUUUCACUUCACCGAACAAUAGUAUACUAAAAAAUGAACGAUAAUAUACCAAACUAACUAACAUUGUUGUAAGGUAUUUGUUGUGAACACCAACAAUUAAUAUUAAUGCAAAUAGUUACACAUCGUCAAGAUCAAGAUAGAAAUAAUUGGAUAAAAGCAGAGAUUCAAACAAUUAAAAUAAAAACUGCAGCUGCUUCGAGAGUCCAGAAUAUGUCAAGUGACAGAAAUUGAUUCAGAAUUCGCUAUUUUAAGUUUUUCAAUUACAAAUAACUAACAUAUUAAAGAAGAAAGAGAAGAAAAUACCUGUGGUUCUGUUAUCAAAUCCAAAUCCUUGCACAUAUUCAUGAUCAAUUUGAAUGUCGCAAAUGUGAGAUAUCUUUGACCAGUCCUCUCCUGUGCCCUUUUUGAAACGUUCUCUCAAAAUAGGAGCACGAAUAAUCCUUAAUUUCUCUAGUGUUGAGCUCUGAAGAAGUUGGUCUGGCAGCGACUUCAGUUUUCUACAAUGUCUGAUAUCCAAAUAACAUAGUUGCGGCGUGACUGUAACGUCCUCUUUUCCAAAGUCCCACUCUUCACACCCAUCCAAAUGGAAAAGGGUGAGUUCUUUUAAUUUAGGAAAGGCAGUAAGUGAUAAAGAUGAAGAUGUGGCAUAAUUAUGAAAACUUUCUAUUCCCAAAAAUUCAACACCAACUCUUUUCACACUCUCCAUCUGCCGUAUUUGGAGGAUUUCAAGAGAUGGUAAUUCUCCCAAAGGAGGCAUAAUCUCACACUUACUACAAGAAGAGAGUUUUAAUUUCUUCAGCUUGUUGAAGGACACCAUCCAACUGGGGAACGCAGUCUUGCCUUUAUAGUGCAUUAUUUCUAAUGCCUCAAGAUCUGAAGGUGGUCGUAAGGCUUCACUGAUUGCUUGAUGGUUUAUCCCAUUUUCCUCAUUUAUCCCCUCCGUCACUGCUUCUUCUUCCUUAUCAAACCUUAAUUCCAAACCAACAAUAUUCUUCUUUUUCUCAAGAUCUGCUUUUUCAGCCUCUUCAACAUCUGUGACAUUCCCCAACCCUCGAAUUCUAAGAGUUCCAUGGAGGUGAUUCAACUGUCUCAGACCCUCAACCUUACAUGCUUUAGUACCAUAUUUGCCACCCGUACUACUCACAACAAACUCCCUUAAUAUCCUAAGACUAGUUAACCUUUCUACUCCUUUUGGCAGGUAAUCUAAGUCACCAUUAAGAGAUACCACCAAAAGCCUCAGAUUGACUAAGCUUCCUACUCCUUGAGGUAAUCUCUUCAACCUGUGACAUUCGUUGAUGUCCAAUGUUUGCAAAUUAAACAACUUACAACAUGUCUCAGGCAAUUCUUCUAUCUUUAGCCCAGCCAGUCUAACGUAUCUUAAAUGUAUUAGUUUUUCUAUCUCUUUUGGNNNNNUUAAUUAAUUAANNNNNAUAUAAAAUAUAGAUUUAGAUUCUCACAAUCCUUGAAUCUCCUGUAAGUUUACGCAACCCAGUCCUUCAAAAAGCAAAGCAACAUUAUGUCAACAUAAAUUGAACAAUAUGUGACAGAUGAAUUGUACACCUAGACUAAGCAUAAGCAAGAUUAAAUACAACACCUCAUUAAGCUUUGCUUUCCGAAUGAAUAUAAUAAGCUUCAUAUUCCUUGGCUCCUCAUACGUAGAAAUGGCCUGCAAUAAUUAAAGCGCCAAGAUUGAUUCAGGCUUUUUAUCAAACACUUGGAGUGAAUACAAAAAUAAUAACUAUAUCCCCAAUUCGAAGAUGGUGAACAUACGGCUACAUGCAUGUGAUUUUCCCCCACUCAAGAAUAAAGCCUAUGUCAUUUUGUAGUUCUAAGAUUCGGUAAUGUCAAUCAAAAAGUAAAUUUAACCAAUGAAAUUAAAAAAAAAAAUUUCCAUCACAGUGAACGAAUUGAGAACUACACCUCUAGGGUUUCUAACUUCUCUUCUAGGGUUCGAACAAUAAUUACCUGUAUCAGUCGGACAAUCAGGUUCUAACGUGCUCAAUUGAUGGUGGGUUCCCAGUUUAGGUUUUGAAUUUGAGGGUGGCAACACGUGUUCGGUGGGUUCUCCAUAUUAAAGGGUUUGGGUUAUCAAAAUCGACGGUGUUUUAAAGGUGGUGCAAGGAUUUCAAGCGAUGGGUUUGCUGUGAGAGUGAGAGAAGAGUGUGUUUGGAUUUCGCUUCAACACUUGUAAAAAGUAAAAAUAUCGAUAUGAAAUGAAUAGGGUUUGUGUCUUUCAUUUGUUUAAUUUAUUUUCCCUAAACGCUGUCGUUUGAAUAAUCUAAGAAAUGACAACAUUCCCCUUUAUUUUUUGUAAUAAAAUAUUUUUCAAAACAAAGUUAAACCCGCGCAAUUGAAGUCAAAAUAAAAGAAUCAGUUAUACAUUUUUGAUAGUUAAAUAAUUUACUAUAAGUUUAUAGUAGGUUUUUGAUAGACGAUUUUCUAUCACAAUUAUAUCAUAAAUGCAUGACAAAAAAAAAAAAAAAUCUAUUAUGUGUUUAUCCUUGUAGGUCUCUAAAUUAAAAAUCAUCACACAUGGGACAAUCAUGGUAGGUGUUUUUCCUUAUAAUACAAGGGCUACCUCAAGUAUAUUCAUUUAUACCCCAAGACUUAUUUUAAAUCAUGAGACAAACUGCUUAACACUUUAGCUCUCUCUCUCUCUCUCCCCUUCAACUCUCUCACUCUCUCUUCUUCAUGUUCUUCUACUCUCUUACUUUUGCUUUCGUUCUUUUCCCUCUAUCUCUUUUUCUUUCUUUCUUUUUAAUUUGGUCUGUUCCCUUAAAUCCUUCACAUCUCUAUUGUUAACUAAAUUAAGUAAUGUAAAUUAUAUAAGCAAAGAAGAUUAAAAAUAAAACAUGAACUAUGUUGGGCUUAAAGAUGAAAACAAAAACAUGACGGUUAUGGGUCUUAAAUUUAGAUUAUUCCAAUUGGGCUCAUGGGCUUUUAUAUGAAAUGUGAAAACACUCGGUAUAUGAAUCGAACUCUAGUACUGUCAAUGCGACUUGAAAGCCUAUAGUUUAAAUAAGAGAACAAAACUUAACAAAGAUAAAUAAUCAAAUGUAAUAUUUUUUAUUUUUCAUAAUAGAUUGAUAUAAUGGUCCUUAUAAUUUUCAUAUUUAUAUGAGAUAAUGCUCUUGAUCAUUUUUAUAUGUACAUCUCAUAAUAAUCUUAAUCAUUUUUGUAUAUGUAUCAUAUAAUGCUGUUGAUUCCUGUCAUAUUUACAUGUCACAAUGACACAAUGACACAAUGAUUUAAUUUUGAAUGGUUAUCUUUACGUGAUUCCUAUCAAUAACCAUCAUGUCAUUUGUCUUAGCAUACAUGUGGACUUAUGUCUUCGAUAAUUUAUGGUAGGGUGGGCAAAAUCGGAUUUGGAUCAAUCCGAUCGAAUUUCAGAUUGUUUGGAUUAAUGAAAAAGUCAUCUGAAUGUAAUUAGAAUAAAAAUCCAAUCCGAAUAAAAAUUUCGGAUCGGAUUCGGAUUGGAUUUUUAUUCGGAUUCGGUUCGGAUCGGUAACAUCAUAUUGAAAUCGGAUUUGGAUAUGUUUGAACAGAUCAGAAGAAUCUGGAGCACCUACAAGUUGCAACACAAAUUUGAAAUCACACAAAUAAAAGAAAAACAUAGCAAGCCAGCAAAUGGAGAAAAGAAAGACAACAAAUUGAAAGUGUUUUCAUUUUAACAUCAAUUAUUUUGUUAAUGUCUUUGGUAACAAUUGCAUCCAAGAUCAGGAAAUCACCUAAAUCAAGCAGUCAACCUUACAAUCACCAAAAAAUAAGGAGAAUUAUCUACAGGAAAAAAACAAAAUCAGAAGCAAUUCAAAAGACCCAAAACUCUACAAGCUUUUCAAAGUCAAGGAACCUAUCCACAUAAGUUAUAACCUCUGCACCUUACAAGUUUUGAUGGAUCCGACUCCGUUAGAAACCCUUGCAAUAAGCAAAUAAAUGCAGCGGCUAGGUUUAAGACUCUUGCAGGCUUCGGCUGGUAGCGUGGCAAUGGUGCAAUUCACGGGCUCAACGCCUGUCGAUUGGGAUGCCGUCGGCAUGCAGCUGAGGCAUCGACGACAGCUGCCGAUUUUUUUUUUCUCAAAGUGAUUGGUUGUGUUCGUGGUGAUGCGGCUGUUGGUUGUGUUCAUGGGUGAUGCAUCGAUUCUUUUCUCUUUUGAUUUGGGAAUUUAAGGGAUUUAGGACUGUUUUUCAAUUUUUAUUUCUUAUUUAUGUUUAAGUUAUAUAUUCUUUUUAAUUUUAAGUGCAAUCCGAUCGGAUUGAUCCGGAUCCGAUCCGAUCCGAUCCGAUCGAUCGAAUCAAAUCCGAUCAGAUUGCAAAGUUUUUAUCCGAUCGGAUUGAGAGGUCAAUUCGAAUCCGAUCUGAACAUAUUCGAAUAAGUUCGGAUCGGAUCAAAUUGACCCGAAUCCAAUCCGAUGCCCACCCUAAUUUAUGGUGCUUCAUUAGGAGAAAUUGAUCAAUAAUUUGUUUCAGCACGCGCAAAACGCAAUAUCAAAAUAAAGAGUUGAAGGUAAGCCAAACAAGCAAGGAUUAUCCAACCUAAGAUUUUUUAAGUUACUUUUGCACGCAAGCAUUAAGAAGAAUCACUUAAACAUGACAAGAAAUAGAAGCCGAUGCUGGCAAAAUAAUUAGGACUGGCGUCGGCAUUUUAUUUUAUUUAAUUAAAUUAGAACCUUGAAAUGACCUGUACGCUUGUCAAAGCUCGGAUCAUUUGUAGAGUUCAACAAGCCACCAGCUGUAAGCACGACAGACAAGUUUAACUGCUGUAAAUCCAGCUUUUGUCGCCAGAGCCUUCAACUCCUCUGCUGUCCUCUCCUUUGCCCCAGGAAAUACAGUGUACAUUUGUAUGUCAAGCAGAUAAACAAACCUGCUGAAAUAUCAGUCUCAAGGGGCUCUGGUAUUAAAGAGUCUACCACAAUGACCUUCCCGAAUUCUGGAAGAGCAUCGUAGCAAUUCUUCAGUAUCUUCACACAUUGGUCAUCACUCCAGUCAUGAAGUAUCAACUGAAGAUUUAUAUGAAAAUUAAUUUCCUAUAUUAGUUUCCAGAAUUUAUGCAGAGUUAACAUAUCUGUUGGCAAGUGGAAAAAUUAAUUGGAGAACUAACCUUCAGAAAAAUAGCUUCUCCUUUAGGCACUUCAACAAACAUAUCUCCUCCAACAUGCUCCACACCUAGAAGCGAAUUAAGAAAAAGGAAAAAGCAAAAUUAUAUAUAAUGUUUUAACUGUUAAUUAAGCGAAAUAUAUAACUCGAAAUAGCACGAUUUAAAAAAAAAUUACAAUUUGUGAAGAAAAAUAUAUAUCAUGUUAUUUUAUAUUUAAAUUGAGGGGAAACGACUGUGACACUCGAAAGUUUGGUGAAAUGAUCAUAGAAAUCUCAUCUUUUUUAAAUUAUAAAAUAAUUUUUUAGGAUAAUUCUUUCUUUUUUUUCUAUAAUAACCUAACUAUUUUUUUACUUUAAUAACCUAACUACCUUUCAUUUCGGCAUAAAUAUAAAAAAAGUGGAUUUAUAUGACCAUCUUUAAUAAAAAUAAAAAAGUUUUUAUUAUAAUUUCACCAAACUAUCGAAGUGCCACUAAUUUUUUCUUUUAAAUUAAUGGAUACCUUGAUAAGAAGGUGCAUCUUUAAUGACAUGAGGCGAGUCAAAGUUAAUACCCCGAAUUUGUGGGUAUUUAGAAACUAGUAAGCUGAGAUUAGCACCUAAACCACCGGCAACAUCUACCAAUUGGUUUAUCUCUUCAAAUCCUUUGUAGAUUUCAAGAAUUUUCUUCAUAACUAAAGCCGUAUGAUUGCUCAUUGAUUGAUUGAAGAGGUUCCGUCUUCUAGCAUCUUUCAUAGCAUACUCAAAUGGAUUUUUUGCAUUAUGUGCCUUCAUAAAAGGUAGGGUCCCUUCCAAUAAACAAUCUUUCAAGUGGUACCUAUUCAAUUCGGGGAUAUAAAAUUUCUUUCACAGAUACUGAAAUUUAAAAAAAAAGAAAGAAAAUGAAUGGAAAUAAUGUAUAUGAAAGAUUGAAAAUACUCAUAUGUGAACGUCAGCACAAAUUUCGUGCGGAAAGAUACCCUUUUACAACAAUGUAAAGAGUGCUUCACAAUGUUAUAAAGGAAUUUUCAUGACUCAUGAAAGAUGUCGCAGAGAAAUUAGAAAACAAACCAAGGAUGUACAGAAACUUUCUCCUGAGCUAAGAGGAAAAUGGGAGCAAGAGAAACUCCGUCUUCAUUUGGAAGCAAAUAUCUGCAAACGGACGCUAAACCAUAUACUCCGCAAACAUUUCCAUCUUUAUUUGUGACAAGAUUAUAUGUUAGGAAAGAGUAACUAGCAAGGAGUCGUAACAUUCGAUCAAGUACUGUUGAGGCUUCUUGGUUAUUUGUGGGCAGCUGAGAUGCAAUCUCAGAAGAAGAAAGCUGAGAUGGACUAGCUUUAGCUAAAAUCUCUAACACACCAAGCUCGAUGAUAGCUUUCAUGGUCAUCGGAAGUAAUGAGCUGUGGGCAAGCUCCAUGAUGAGCAUGAAAUCUUCCUCAUCGUUUGGUGGUUUCAUGAGUUGGUCAUGGAAUGAACUCAUCUUAAUUCUCGGAGUAGGAUAUGCUGAAAUUAACAAAAUGGCAAUGGAUGAUGUUGAUGAGUGCUCAGUAUAUAACUAUAUAUAAACACGUAUAGAUAUAUUAGUUAUAAAUGUAGGUUUUGGUAGCUUUGCCGCUUUUAUAUAUGUAAAUAGCCCCACUCAUCACAAUCAUAGUUAUGUCAUCAACCAAUUUAAAACAAACGCAUCAGUGUUAACAAGGGAAUCAUUCACCACUUGUCUUCUAAGUCUUCAAUUUAAAUGUUUCAUCCGACUUUUCAAUUCUGCAAUGACAUUUUCUGUCCCACUCUCGACAGUGAUCACAAAGAUGGGAAACCUGGGUACCUACUUUUUUUUACUCUGAAAUAUUAUUGCAAUUUGCACCAGCUUUGGCCCAUGGGGGGCAUUGGCUGCGUGUCAGUUUCCAAAUUACCUCACGAUUCUUUCAUAUCUGCUUCGAAAAAAGAAAGAAGAGCUUUCAACAUCAGUAUUUAAAAUAUAUCGUUUUUCUAUACUUAUCAACAGUUGUAGCCCAUAUCCGCGGGCAGUAGAUUUCAAACAAAUUCAUCAACUAACCAUCGAUUGUUUUCGCGUUGAAUGAGUAUUUAUUUCCAUUUGAAAAUAUAACCUAUUUUCAAAGUAAUUGAUUAUGGUCGUGAUUCGUUUAAUUUUUCUUUCUUACUUACCGAUAGCUUUGGCCCUUGUUGAGGACGCGUUAGGUUCCAAAUAAUCCAUCAACCAUGUUCUGAUAGCUACAGGGAAAACAAAGUAUUUGUUACCUUAUUAAAAUAUACCAUAUUUCAUAAUAAUUGAAUGUGAUCGUCAUUUGAAAAUAAUUUGUUACCAUUAUAAGAUUAUUUGAUUUCAUAAAAAUCAAGCAGAAGCAUAGGAACUUACCUCCAACCAUAGUUAUCAGUUUGUCAUGUGAUAAAGACAAAGCACAAAUAUAAACCUCAAUAGGGUGAUAAGGGAAUAUUCUCACAUCCAUUAAGAAUGAUCUUAGACUAAUAAUAUAAAAUUAAGACAACCGCUAACUCUUGAGUUAGUUUUUGAGUAUAAGUUAGAUACAAACUUACUAGUUUAAAGUCAAUUUUUAACUGAUGUGAGAUUUUUAUAUUUGUUUUUAGUGGGCUUGUAUGUACUUUAGGAUUUGGUUAUAUUAUACAUAGUAUUCGAAAAAAAAACGUUAUGAUUAAUGAUGUAUCAAUUGCACAACUGAAGACUUUGCUUGAUUCCUUGGACUAUAAAGUCUAUAUGUAACCGCCUGCUAAAUCAAGUGGAAAAGAAAUUUGUAUAGAUGGUCGAGUCCAAAAAAAAACUCACAGGACCAAGCCUCCAACUAUGACCAACCCUUCAACUAAGUUUGAUUUAUGAAUGAAUUGCAAAGUUCUUUUAAUACGGUUAAAAUUUUGAAUCGAUCGAGCAGUUAAAUAUGACAUCAGAAUUCAGAUGUAACUUUGCUACAAUGUCUCGUUUCAUAUUUACUAUCUGACAAAAUCGAUUAAGGGUUGUAUUUAAUAAUAAUAAUAAUAUUAGUAUUAUUAUUAUAUUUUAAAUAAUUUCAAUGGCGUACGUUUCGGGUUUGUUUAAGCUUUUGGUCAACACAAAUGCUUUGCCUAUUGGCACCAAAUUUUGAUUAAUUGCUCCCAAGCGAUCCAAUACCUGCCCGCAGCUGACCGUUGAAAACUUGAUCUCGUCUAUUAAAUUAUAUAGUUCUGUAGUUAAUUGAACACCUCUUUUAUAUUUUUGUCCCCUCACAAACGCUUUGUAUCAAUCCUAAACUUUUUUUCCUAUUAUUUUCUUGCUUAUGGUUUUUUAUUUAAAAAAUUACAUAAUAAUUAUUUGAGGCUCCUUUUAAUUCUACUUAAUAUAUAUAAAUAUAUAAUUUUUGGAUUUAAAUAUAUGAUUUAAUCAUUCAUAAAUUUUUUAAAAAUUAAAGUUAAGUGGAACGAACCGAUUUUUUUAUAAUCAGAAAGAAAUUAAAAAAUUUAAAAAAUAUUUUAAGAAUUACAAGUAGAUUUAGGGAUGGCAAUGGGGAGGGGAGGGGAGGGGACCAAUCUCCCCGUACCCAUCCCCGAUAUUUUGCGUAUGUCCCCGUCCCCUCCCCAUCUCCGUCAAAAUUAUUUAAGAGAAUCCUCAUCCCCUCCCCGAAUAAUUACAGGGGAUCUCCGAGGGUCCCCGAUCCCCGAAUAACUAAUAUAUUUUUUCUAUUUUCGAUUUUGAGUUAAUCAUAUUAAAAUAAAAAAUUCAAAUAAAAGUAAAGUUUGAAAUAUAUCUUACAUUAAAAUCCAUUACAAAAGUCACAUACACUAAAUUAGUAAGUAAUGCAGCAUGCAAGGGAUACAAACUAUCAUGAACAAAUUAAUAGGCUAAUAUAAAGUUGUUACAAAUAAAAUCAAAUUUAGAUUCAAAAUUAACUUUUCAAUGGUGGCGUGGGCACUUUAUAAAUGUGGACUAUUCACUUUACAACACAAUAGUUAAGUCGAAGCAAAUUAAGAGCAAAUAUUAGAUUAAAUUAGAUAUUAAAAUUGUGAUUUGCUAUGGGCAAUUAUAACAUCUAAAAAUAAAUAAAAAAUAGAUUUAAGUUUAAAAUAUUUAAUGAAUAUUAAAAUUAAAACAAAAGUUUUGGGCUAAUAGAAUCUGUCCGGUCUUUUUAAUGUCCUAAAUAAAAAUUUAGGACUUUAAUUAGUUAAUUAGGCCUAAAAGUUUAAUAAUAUAAAUAUUUUGAUUUUUUUUAUUUUUACCAAUACUUAUAAUUUUAUAAUUCAAUUUUUAUUAUUUAUUUACUAGUAAUUUUAAAAAAUAAAAAAUAGAUUAAAAAUUAAAAUGGGGAAAUGGGUAGGGGAUGAGGAUUCCACCUCAUCCCCGUCCCCUCCCCGAAUAAGAAAUUGGGUAAAAAAAUUUUCCCAUCCCUUUCCCGAAUAAGAAAUUGGGUAUGAAAUUAUCCCCAUAUCCUCUCCGAAUAGGAAAAAUACCCGAGGGUACCCGUCCCGUGGAGAUUUUUGUCAUCCCUAAGUAGAUUGUGAUAGAAAAAGAGUGUUAAUUUUAUCAAUUCUAGGCUUCUAGCUAUGGUCCACGAAAAAUAUAAAGAAUGCAAGGUAAAAUUAUACAAGAAGACUUUUACUUCUCUUCAAAAGGAGGACCAUACCCUCUCCGAAAGCAAAAUGAUUCAUCGUUUUUAAAUGUUCUUAGACCAUGUAUCGAGGAAAUUUAAUGAUGGAAUUAGUAAACAAAAUGAUGCAUCGCUAAUUUAGGAUAAUUAAAAAAAGUCAAUAUCCAUCCAUAAACAAUAUUAAAUUUUGUAGGCAAUGUUCAAUAUUAAGGAAAAGCUACUAACCGAAAGUUGAUUUAGAUGGAUAAUUAUUUUAAUGAAAUUUAUUGAAUGUGAGCCUUAAAUAAAAUAUAUUUUAAAAUAGGAAAUGUAAUUUUGUAAAUAUUGAUUUUUUUUUUUAACUACAAAAGUGUUAAUAAAUAAUCUUGAGGGGUUUUAUUCUAAAGUGACGGCCUUAGGCAAUUGCCUAACUUGCCUAUCUCUGGAGCCGGCCUGAUAAAAAAUUAAUAUCUUUUUAGUCGUAUCCUUCGCUAAGUUCGCUUUGGAUUUUUCGUUUUUGGUUCUUUCAUAAUUAGUUGUACUUUAUUUACAAUAGGAGUACAUAAUAAAUUCCUUGUUCACUCGGUCUCUUUGUUCUUUUACAUAUUAUGUAUGAAAAACAGAGUUUCAUAUUUAUUUGUUUAAAGACGGAAGUAGCCUUUUCUUUGCACUUAAAUUGUAAGUGAGUUGCCAAUUGGGCUUGUAGCCCACUGGUGAACCAUUGCCCUUAAAGUUAAGCAUGAUUAUGAGGGUAAUGGUUCGAGUUUCUACGGACUCAAUGUCGCUCAAUUAAACAUAAUUGUGUGGAGACUACUUAUAACGUCUUUCUUCCUUGCGAAACACGAGUGGAGUAGAGACAUCCCUCCUCCGUGAGGGGUAUUUGGCUGGUCAUGUACUUUAUAGAAUAAAAAUGUAAGAAUAUAAGUCUCAUGUAUAUAUCUGAUUGUAAAUAUCAGUGUAAUGACCUACUGUUAUAGCAGUUGUAUAUAUCUCUGUGUAAUACAGUAACUUGAUGCUUAAUCAGUUCAAAAAAAAAAAAAUUGUAAGUGAGUUAUCAUUUGUAAUGUAUCAAUUACAAAACUUGAGACUUGCAUGCCUCCUUUGACUGAACUCCUCAAGAAUACAAAUUUGGUCGUAAAAUCUUCUGGCAAAGUGCAGUUAAGUCAAUAGACAACUUCUGAAGCCUAAAUCAAGUACGCAAGCAACUCAAUAUGUCAAUGUGGAAUUCCAAGUUGCGUCGAAUUAAAUGAAAAUUUCUAAUAGGAAGAAAGUCUUCAACUACAUUUGAAUUAUGAUUUUUUUUUUUUUUGAAAUCGUGGAGAUUUAUUACCAAAGCCUUUAACUAUCUUUGAUUUAUGACUAAGUUUUUUUUUUUUUAAAUAGCGGAGAUUUAUUUUUAAUAUUAUUGUUAGACUUUCACUAACCUGUUUAAAUUUUUCGAUCGUGUAGCUUUUUUUUUUUUCUCUCUAAGUAAUAUUAGGCACUCUCGUAUUUAAUUAUUUUCACAUACAAAGUCUAUUUUCAAUUAUUUUAAUUUUUUAGUUCGUAUUUUGGAAUUUAUUUAGAUUUAUUUUUAAUAUUAUUUGAAAUUAAUUUGACGUGAGAUGGAUGUUGAGAUAUUUUUGGGCACUUGCAAAGCGUUUGGUCACGCCAACACAAAUGAUGGCCAAUUGGGCAUCAAAUUUUCAUUAAUUGCUCCAGCGCGAUUGAAUCAAUUGCGGCAGCUGACAGCCUGAUGCUUGCUGUGGUCAACUCUUCACUUCGUGUUGACUUUUGAACAUAUAACUUGUAAGACAAAAUGCGAAAUUCUUGUAUUCAUGAAGGUCAUAAAUUUGACGUUUAAGGUUAGAUUUUAUGCUAACUUUAUGCGUUCGGUAAAAGGAAGUCACAAAUACCUCUCAACAUCUCGUUGUAUCAUAUGAAUUUCUUUUAAAAUUAAAUUUGUCAAUAUGGAAAUGAUUAUUAAUUAAUUCAAUAAAUUGAAAAGCAAGUUGAGUAUACUACCCAAAUUAUUGGUACCAAUUUGUAAGCAUUUAUUUUGGCUUUGUGCUUAGCUAUCAUCACUUUAGCAAAUGAAACUAUAAAUACGCACCCAAGCUACCUAGCUACAAAAAUCAAGCAACAUAGCAAGCAAACAAUUGAAACCUUUUACAAUUUGUUUUCAACUUUUAUAGCCAUGUUUGAUUCAUUAGCCUUUCCUCAAUACUUUAUUUUCCCAGUAAUUUUCUUUCUCUUUCUCCAUCAUUUCAGAAAGAUCAACUCAACCCCAUGGAAUUUGCCUCUUCUUGGCAUGUUAGCCUCUGUGAUUCUCAACAUCAACCAGCUUCAUGACAAAGUUGCCCAAAUUCUUGAAAAAACAAAGGGCUCAUUCAUGAUCAAAGGCUCAUGGGUAGCUCAAUAUGAUAUGUUUCUCACAAGUGAUCCAGCAAUGUUCAGCACAUAAUGAGUACAAAUUUUUCAAAAUAUCACAAAGGGUCCGAGGGGAGGAAGAGGUUUGAUAUUUUCGGAGAGACGGGGCUUUUCAAUUCUGAUUUUGAUGAAUGGAAACACCAAAGAAAGCUUGCUCGUGCGUUUAUUAAUCACCAGAAGUUUCAGCAACUGAUGGCCAAGAUCGUUCCGGAGAUGAUCGAAAGAGGGCUAAUCCCAGUUCUUGAUCAUGUGAGUGAAGAAAAAAUGUUGGUGGACUUUCAAGAUUUGUUGAAAAGGACCACGUUUGAUUUUGCAUGCUUGAUUGCCACUGGGCAUAACCCUAAUUCCCUUUCGGUGGGGUUUUCGGAUGCUGUUGAUGAUGCUUGUGAGGCUAUACUUAUCCGGCAUCUCGUGCCGGAAAGUUUAUGGAAGUUGCAAAGCUGGUUAGGGUUUGGGAAGGAGAAAAAAUUGGCUAAUGCUUGGAGAACCAUUGACCAAUUUUGGGAGAAGCAAAAGUCAAUGAAGCAAGAAGAAAUAGAGAAAGUAAUGGAAGCUAAAGAAGAUGAAGGUAUAUAUAGUCUUUUGAAUUGUUACUUGAGUGGACAUGAAGUAACAGGACCAACACCAGCUGAAAAAGUUAUGAGAGACAACAUCACGGGCUUAAUUUUUGCAACUGAAGGGACCACAAGUAUAGCUCUCACUUGGUUCUUUUGGCUGGUCUCCAAGAACCCAUUUGCUGAAACCAAAAUCAGAGAAGAAUUGAAGAGAAAUUUUUCACAAGAAGGAUUCAAUAAGCCGCCGUUGGUUCGACUAAACGAGCUGAAUAAGCUUGUUUAUCUCCAUGCAGCUUUGUGUGAAACCCUAAGGCUGUAUCCUCCUGUGCCUUUUGAAAUAAGGAUUCCUCUUCAGCCUGAUGUUCUUCCAAGUGGGCACCAAGUGAAUCAAAACACACACGUUUUGAUUUCAGCGUAUUCGAUGGCGAGAAUGACUUCAGUCUGGGGAGAGGAUUGUCGAGAAUUCAAGCCGGAGAGAUGGAUCACUGAAGAUGGGAGGAUCAGGCAUGAGCCACCACACAAGUUCUUUUCAUUCAAUGCAGGUCCAAGGAUCUCUAUUGGUAAGGAUAUUGCAUUUACUCUGAUGAAGGCCACAGCAGCAAGCAUUAUUCAUAAUUAUGAUGUUCAAGUAGUGAAAAAUCAUCCGGUGACCUACAAUCUUAGUAUUGGUUUUCGGAUGAAGCAUGGAUUACUGGCUAGGGUUUCUAAAAGAUCAGCUCAACCGCGGCAUAUUAAUUGAUUCAAUUGAUAACCUAAGGUCUCUUCAAUAUGCAAGAAAUGUUUGGUUAAUUUAGAUUGGAGGAAGUCGCUGAUUUCGAAACAGCAAGAAAACAUAACGACAUGGUGUGGAUUUGUCUCCAUCCUUAGGAACAUUAUUCAGCUUCAGAAAACGAUUUGGCUACGACUACAAUGCAUUUGAUGCAUUGAUGGAUCGGUCUAAAUAAAUGUGAAUUUUUUAUAAUUAGUUGUGGAAGGAAAAGUAGUAGUAGUAGAUUAUUACGUUUAAUGGUGGUAUGAAGAAUGUAAAGAUUAUUGUGUUUAAUGGUGGUAUGAAGAAUGUAAAAUAAUAUAAACGAAACUAGUGAAUAAUAGUAUUUUCUUAUAUCCACAAAGUCGCAACUAGAGUUGGCAAAAUGAGUCACUGAGUCGUGUUCGUGUCAUCUCAGUUUCGUGUUGUUUUAAAUUUAGAUCGACCCAAACACGGCCUAUUUAAUAAUCGUGUUAAAUUAUUGAGACUCGUACCUGACACGAAAAAUAAACGGACUAUCUAAUAACCCGUUUAAUAUCUAUAUAUUUAACAAAUGUUACACAUCCAAACUAUUACACAUUUACACUAUUUAAAGUUUAAAUUAUACAUAUGUAAAUGAUAGUAUCUAUCGAUAUCAUAAAAUAUAUAUGUGUAUCAAUAUUUUACACCCUUACGCUAUUAAAGUUCUAAAUUUGUUUUAAAUUUUAUAAAUAAAACACUGUGUAUAUGUCUGUCUUCUAAAAAAAAAAUCAAAAAUAGAGAAUCAUGUCCAAUAUUUGAAUUUUAAUGAUAAGAAUUUAAAAGUUAAUUUAAAGUAAAAAAAUAUAAUCGUGUUGUUAUUCGGGUAGAUGGGUCAAGAAUUUUAACCUUAACUCGAUAUGAAAAAAAAUGUGUCAACCCAAACUCAACCCAUUUAAUAAUCAUGUCAAAUUUGAUGACUCAUCCCCAUUUAUUAGUGUUGUGUGUUGAAAAUGUGAUUAAAAAAAAGGUCAGAGUGAUGGGUGGUUGAGCCACCAUCUUUGAAUUCAAAGACGGUGGGUGGUUGAUGACUCAUACCCAUUUAAUAUUCUUGUCAAAUUUGAUGACUCAUAUCCAUUUAUUAGUGUCGUGUGUUGAAAAUGUAAUUAAAAAAAGGUCAAAGUGAUGGGUGGUUGAGCCACCAUCAUUGAACAAGGAAAAAUGGGUGGGUGUUGCCCAUGCAAAGAAGAAAAAGAGGAAGAAAAUGGAAGCCAAAAUUUGGCUAUAAAUAGAGGAAUUCUCCUCCUCAUUUUUGUAUCUAAGAGAAGCAAUCUAAAUUGAGAGCAGAGAAAUAUUUUUUAAGCAUGUAAUUAUAUUGUAGGAGCAUUUGACUCCUCAAUAUGGGUAUUACGGGUUUGCUUUGCUAAGGAAUAUUUCUCGAGAUUAUAUAUUUGGAUCUUGGGUGUGAGAAAAUUAUUUAUGAGAGUGUAGUUGUAAUAAUUUUUCACAUAGUGAAUAUUUUUCUCUAGUUGUUUUGUGACAACGGCAGUGAUUUUUCUCCGGAUUUGGAGUUUUCCACAUAAAUCUUAUGUUGUGUGAUUGGUGUAUUCUCCAUUUAAUUUUUCUGUUAAUUUGUUGUUUGACAAAUUGCUUGCAGUGAUCUUGGGAAGAAGUUCAAUUUCCUAACAUUGUGUUCGUGUCAGGUAAUCAGAUCAUGUUAAAUUUUGCCAGUUGUAGUCGCAAUUAAUGUAUUACAUGAUAAAAUUAACAAUUCACCGAUGGAUCUGAUUUGUUAUAUGGUCUGCUCAAAGAUUUUAGUCCUAUUAUCAACAAAGUCUAGCUCUAUAUAUGUAAAUUCUGAAAGUUACACCAUAAGAGGUAUUUUAAAAAGAUUUUGAAGUCCAACUCUUUUUUAUUUGUAAUUUUAACUUACAAAAUAGAUUUUUGUUUUAUAAUUUGGCUCUUGGAUUUUAACUAUCAUAAGCUUACCCUUGAUUUAUAAGCUUACCAUAUGUGAUUUUCAGCCCCUAAAUUUCUAAUUUCGGCUCAACCCCUGCCCCUACUUCUUGUCUAAUGGCGAUGUGGAAUAUUAUUGCAAUCGAUAAAUAUCCGACCUCAUAAAUAUUUGAGACUUCAAAUACGACCAAGAGAGGACUGUUAUGUCAUUCAAAUGAAAAACCCACACGCAACAAAUAUGUAAUAGAUGGGCUGAUGGGGCGAAUCUGAUAGUGUAAAUUGAACAUUGAGAAAAUAAAUAUGUAAAACAACAUGAUUUAUAAAACCUUCAGUGACCAUCGAGCAAACCUCUUUUCCGAAAACUUGAUGUUUUGCAACUUUUUAAUAAUAUUUCUUAGUAUUCAAAAAAUUUUCUGUAAAGGUUCUUUGUUCUUUUUUUUUUAGAGGAAAGUAAAACUUUCAAUUAAACCACACUCAAAGUACAUGCAGGAUUUCAGGGGGGAAGUUUCCCCACCAAACAUCAGAGUGAGCUCUUCCUAAAGCCAUUUUAGCUAAGGAAUGAGCACAAGAGUUACAAGAAUGAGACACAUGUUUUGCUUUAAACAAGCUAAAAUCUUGCUUCAUAGCUUGAAUUUCCUGAACUCGCCAGAAAAUUUCAGUACUGCUGGCUUUUCUUUUGUUUAUCAAAUUUGCUACCUCUAGGGAGUCAGUUUCCAGAAUGACAGCCUUCAGCCCUGCUUCCUUUGCAAUGCAUAAACCCCACUCAGCAGCUUCUGCUUCCACAUAAGAAACAUCUCCCUUGAACUUGGAUUUCUUGAUAGCUGCAGCCAUGCACUUUCCUUGAUUAUCUCUGAUCACUACCCCAAGACCAGAACAUUUACCCUCUUGAUCAGUGGCUGCAUCCACAUUAAUCUUCAUCCAGCCCUGAGGAGGAGGAAUCCAACCAUUUUGCUUUUUCUUUUGCAAUUUUUCCCCAUGCAGCAAAUUUGGAGUUUUGGUUCUGCUAAAAGCCUCAUUUACAGCCUCAGCUUUGGCCAGCAGAAGGUUUGGAUCAAGUUUCAGACCUUCAAAAACAAACUUGUUUCGAGCAUACCAUAUCACCCAAAGUGUUGUCACCAGUAGCUUUAUGUCAGCUCUACUCAGAAUCUUCUGAUACCUCAUCAAUUCCCCCAACAUGUCUGAACUUCUCAUAUCUUGAAAAGCAGUUGCCAAAGCUGAACUAUGCCACACUUUCUUUGCUGCUUUGCAAGAGAUCAGAGCAUGCCAAGUGUUUUCCAUUCCCUCUCCACAACGUUUGCAAUGGGCCUCUUGAAUAAUUUUCCUUUUCCAUAAAUUCUCUGCUGUCGGAAGGAUAUUCUUUGCUGCUUUCCAAGCGAAAAUCUUAAUCUUCUCUGGAAUAUUGAGCUUCCAAAUAAUGCCCCAGUUGUUUCCCCUGCUAUCCGAGCAGCUGGGAGGAUCUGAAAAUUUCAAUUUGAGAGCCACCUGGUACCCGCUUUUUACAGAAUAUCUUCCCUAUUUAUCAUAAUGCCAGAUCACUUUGUCCUCCAUUUCUCUUCUUGGAAGCGGAAUGCUCAGAAUUUCUUCUGCAUUAUCUUUUAAGAAGUUCUGCUGGAUCACCUCUGUCUUCCAUCUAUUUUCUUUAUCUAUCAGCUCUGCUACCUUGGCUUCAAGAGACAUUUUUGGGGCAGAAAAUGGUUGGAAAGUAGAUGGCCUUUGGAUCCAAUUUUCUCUAUAAAUUAAAACACUCAUUCCGUUGCCAAUUCUCCAUCUGUAACCCUUUAGAAUGACUUGCCGACCCCAUAGCAAACUUCUCCAUAUGUAUGACGGAUUAGAGCCCGUUGAAGCAUUCAAAAAAUUUCCUUCUCUGAAAUAUCUGGCCUUCAUAAUUCUAGCUGCUAGAGAUUCUGGAUUUUGGAUCAAUCUCCAGCCUUGUUUUGCCACUAAAGCUUGGUUGAAACUUGAGAUGUCCCUAAACCCCAUUCCACCUCUAGUUUUUGCUUGGCUCAUGCUCUCCCAUUUUGUCCAGAAGAUACCUCUCUUCUCCUUCCUUUUGCUCCACCAGAAACCAGCUAUAGAUUGUUGAAUCUCGUUACAAAGCCCCAUAGGUAUCUUGAAGACACUCAUGGCAUAAGUUGGAACAGCUUGAGCCACUGCUUUUAUUAGCACUUCUUUCCCCCCACUUGAGAACAACUUCUGCUUCCAGCUAGAAAUCUUGCUUUGGACUUUUAAUUUGAUCUCAUUAAAAAAGUCCUUUUUCUUUCUUCCAAUCAUUGAGGGUAGCCCCAAGUAUUUCUCAUGCUUAGUCACCACAUUAAGCUGAAAAAUUCUUUUAAUUGCUGAAAUAUGGUUUUCAUGAAUCUUGCCGCUAAAAAACAUACAAGACUUCUCAAAGUUGAAGAUUUGUCCAGAUGCCUUAGCAUACCUCUCAAAAAUAUCCUUGAGGUGAUGGCAGUCUUUGAUUGAGGCUUUAGAGAAUAUCAAGCUGUCGUCCGCAAAAAAGAGAUGUGAAACGGAGAUGUGCUUGCCAAAUUUCAGCCCCUGGAUGUGGUUUUUUUUCUCUGCUUGCCUCAACAAGUUUGACAAAGCUUCUGCACAAAUUAUGAAUAAGUAGGGAGAUAAAGGGCAGCCUUGCCUCAGCCCCCUUUGGGGGGUGAUCAAUCCCUUUGGAGAUCCAUUGAUGAGAAUAGAAAAGGAUGAGGUAGUGAUGCAAUCCAUGAUUAGUCUAACCCAUUUAUCCUCAAAGCCUAAUCUCAUCAUAACUUGUUUUAGGAAAUUCCAUUCCACCUUAUCAUAAGCUUUAGAUAUGUCUAACUUCAAAGCCACCCGCCCCUUUUUUUUGCCUUUGCUAUGCCUAAUUUUAUGGAGGCAUUCAUACCCAACGAUGAUGUUAUCAGUUAUUAAUCUGUUGGGAAUGAAUGCGCUCUGAGAUAAAUCAAUUACAUCAUGUAAAACAGAUUUCAAACGAUUAGCAAUAGUCUUCGCAAUAAUUCUAUAGAUUACAUUGCACAAGCUUAUUGGUCUAAAUUCGUUUACUUUCCUAGGCUUUUCUACUUUCGGAAUUAGAGCAAUAAAAGUGUGGUUUAGGGGGGCAAUUGUACCUGCUCCAUUGAGGACGUGAAGGCAUGUAUUGAUGACUCCUUUGCUGACCGAUCUCCAAUGCUUUUGGUAGAAACCAGCCGGAAGACCAUCAGGCCCUGGUGCCUUGGUUGGGCACAUUUGGCCUAAAGCUUCUGUAAUAUCUUCCUUAGUAAAUGGUUGACUAAGAUGGUCAUUCAUUUCUGCUGACACUUUAGGAACCAUCCCUUCCAAGGCCUUCUCCAUUUGCUCGUGGGUUGGGUUGGAUGUUGAGAAAAGCUCUGUGAAAUAUCCACAGAAUUCUGUCUCUAUUUCUUCAGCUUUUGUCCUCCAUUGGCCUUGUGUAUCUUCAACACCCCAGAUUUUAUUCUUUCUUUUUCGGGAUGAAGCUUUUGAAUGGAAGUACCUUGUAUUUUUAUCUCCCUCCGCAAGCCAGUCAGCCCUAGACCUCUGCUUCCAGUAUAUCUCCUCAUUCAGCAAAAGGUGAUGAAUCUUCCGCUCGAUACUUUUCACUUCUUCCCCCUUCACAUACUGCCUAUUGUGAGCCUGGAGCUCCUCAAGUCUGUUUCGCAACUUUUCCAGCUUCUUCUUACUGUCCCCGAAAGCUCUCUUACUCCAGUGCAUAAGUUUCGCUAAUGAAUUUUUGCUAGUCUUUUUGAAUAGCUGGACGGCAUUGCUCCCUGACCAGCUCCCCCUUUCUACCCAAUUUCUCUGAAUUAUGUCUCGGCAUUCAUCAUAUAUGCUCCAAAAAUCCUCGUAGUGGACCCUGGAAAGAGUUCUCCUAUGGUUCUGCCCUCCAUUCCCCCUGCCUAUAACAUCCAGCAUAACUGGGCUAUGGUCCGAACACCAACUGGCCAGGUUUUUUACAGCGUCAUCUUGGAAGCGUUGAGUCCAUUCUAUGCUACCUAAGAAUCUAUCCAGCCGCUCCUCAAUAAAUUGAGGGCCAUAUCUCCUAUUAGACCAUGUGAAUGGAUACCCUGAGCAGCCUAAAUCUUUCAAAUCACACUCCUGAAUAGCUUUUCUAAACUCACUAAUCAUGUCAGCCUCUCUUUCGUUUCCUCCCAUUUUUUCUUCUAAGUUUAGAAUUUCGUUAAAAUCACCAAAGCACAGCCAUGGAGAUAAAGACAAACCUGCCAAUCUUCUGAGUAAAGUCCACGUAUGUUUUUUCUGACUCGUCUCUGGGUGUCCAUAAACCCCAGUGCAUCUCAUAUGAUUUCCAUUUUCAUUGUCUACUUCAGCAUCAAUGUGAUGGUUGCUGAAGGAGGAAAUGCUUACCCUUAUGUCAGAAUCCCAGAGCAUAGCUAAUCCACCACUCUUUCCGUUGCUGCUAACGGCAAAGCAAUUAUUAUAAUUCAACUUCAUUCCCACAUUAUUCAUAUGUAUAGUCUUCAGCCUUGUUUCGCACAAAAACACCAGUUGAGGUCUAUACAGCUGGAGGAACUUUUUAAGAGCUAAGAACGUCCGGUCGUUCCCCAACCCCCGGACAUUCCAGCUUAAAAUUCUCAUGGCUGUCGGCGGGGCUGGUCCUCAGCCUCCGCCGCUUGAAAUUUGUUGUGAGUGAGAUUUGUUUCCUCCUCCACCUCCGUGCCAUCCCAGUUCAGUGUGUAUCUUGAAGAAAGCAGAUUACAAGAGCUGGUUUUAGCUGAAUGAAUUUUUUGGGGACUUUGAAUCCGUGUUCGUUUGUGGCUUGGGCUUUGUUUUAUUGAGUCACAAGCCGGCCUUUUGCCCACAAUAAGCCUCUCUUUACCAUUCCCUUUGUUACGAGCACUUCUGGCCUGUAGCUUCCACUUCCGUCUUUUGGGCCGCAAUGCUUUUAAACUUGGCCCAUUAUCGAUUACCCCUUCCAAGUUUAAGUCUCCACUCUCCUGACUCAAGCUAGCAUCUAAAGUUUGUUUUGGCUCUAAGUUUGGCGCCAAUUUGUUGCUUGUGUCCUCCCAAAGCUCUUUUCCCCCUUUGUUGUAAACCUCUGUGCUGUCAGCUGAGUUUUCGGCGGUCAUUAAACUAGGUUGCUUCUGACGAGUAUCCUGUUGCUUUCUCGGUUCAAGAGUCAUCUGCAUUAAAUGCUUAUCAGCCCUAGUUGCCUGAUCUUCGGUUUCUCCUGACCCCGGUUGGUUCGUCUCUAGUUCGUUUGUACUUGGGUUCGAGUCAUCUUGUUGUGGUUGGUUUCUUCCUUGAAAAUCUGCUCCUCUGGAUUUUGUGAAAGGAUGUUCAGCCCUUCUAUUCCAUCUAUCCCUCCCUCGAUUUAAUUUUGUUUUCUCCGCUUUGGACAAUGCCCUCAUGUAAACUCCAUACGGCAAUUUCUCUUUUGGUUGCCCAUUGUAAGCUGAGCACUCCUUGAAUUGGUGCCCAAUAAUUCCACAGCAAAAGCAAAAAUCAGGGAGCCGUUCAUACAACACUGGCAACUCCACUUCAUCAUCCUCAUCCUCCAGCUCUAGGAAGACCAUUUUCUGCAGCGAUUUCGUAAUAUCUAUGGAUACUCUUACUCUUGCAUAGAGGCCAAUACAUUCCCCCUCAUCAUCAGUUUCUACUUCUAGCACCUCUCCUAAUAAUCCCCCUAGCUUCUGGACAUUAUCCCUCUCCAUACAUGCUAACGGAACAUUGUGAAUUUGAAUCCAAAAUGCUACAUGUGUGAAUGCUUGCUUUCUCAUGUUUCCAAUCCCACUCGGUUCUUUAAGAACAAUCAGGGCUCUGUCAAAAUGCCAUGGCCCCCCGGCCAAUACCUUUCUCUUAUCAACUUCCAGCCCAAAUUUGAAAAUAAAAAUAUUGUUACCUAAACUUUCAAUUUUAACUUCCUUGGUUGUUCUCCAUGCCUGCACCAGUGCGCUUCUAAUGCUUUCCGUGUGCACACUUCUUGACAGUAAGAGUUUCCCGAUCAUAGAGUUUGCCAUAAUGCGGCCUCCCUUUUCUUCAAUUCCACUUCUGAGAGUUAAUUUGCGUUCAGCUCCUUCGCGGAUGGAUAUUGCUUUGCACUUACGAAUUAACUCCUCUGUGUCCAUGAGUGAAGGGUACAGCUUGAGCUCCUUAAUCUGCUAUCUACCAGAGAUUGUACCUCCAGCUUUAAAGAUGCUCAUUUACUCUCGCCCACUCUCUGAUUCCCUCUCCCAGGAUAGCUACAAAAGAAAAGAUAAUAAAACCACUCAGAUUAAACGAGUGAAUUAUGAAGCCAUUAAAGCUUCAGUUCUAACUCCAUUCUUUUGUCCUCUUUCGUAGAGAGAGAGCACCCUAGAAGGAGAGGAUUGCAAAUCAAAUCUUUUUAAACAAUGUCUUCAAAGGUUCUUUGUUCUUGAAGAUUGCAUAAGAGAAAAAAAAUAAUAAUAAAAUUAGGAGCAUAUUAACCCUCCAUUAAAUGUGGGAGCUCGCGAUGCAAGACUUUAUUUUACUUUCCUGAUAGUUGACAGACAAUUGGCUCAUGACAGCCAGAGUUUUCUCUUUCUACAUGGCAGCCUUUCCAUAUUUUUUUUAAAAUUCGAGAUCGAGAGGUCACCCAACAAAUUAAGAGAAGAGUAGUGCGGGGAGAAGCACGAUAGAAAGAUGAGAGUUUUUUUUUUUUUUUUUUCUCUCAACUCACUUAUUUUCUUUCUAUCUUUUUCUUUUAUUAUUUUUCUCGUUUUUUUUUUUGUGUUUCUCGACACCAAGUAUUUUUCUUCAGAGAAAUGAUAUGGGGACUCAAUGGCUACAAAAGUCUGACAAGACCACUCACAUGGUGUUUAAAGUUUUUUUUAUCAUUUUUAUUUUCACGGCCGUUGGGGAUGUCGGCAGGGGCACGCAAGGCAUCUUAAAAAAUACUUUUCUCCUUCUUUGUGAUAAGCUGCGAGCAUUGAGACAAUCAAAUAUGUUUAGCGUUUUGGACCACAAUUUGAAGCUGUUGAAUUUGGUUUUGUUGAUUUGAUACCCAAAUUAAAUUACCGGUUGAUGCGAGAUCUUGGAAUUGGUAAUUUUAUAUAAAUAAUGAGGAUAAGAUUGUCAUUUUCUUGUCCAGUAUAUAAGACGAUAACGAGCAAUCAUGCUGGCCAGAUAAGGAAAGGAUUAUCACAAAAAGGAGAGAAUAAAAUAUGUAAAAAAAGAAAUAUUAUAAUUAGGUAAAGCAUCUAAAUGAUUGGAGAAAAAACACAAGACAAAGCAUUACAUAAUGUCUAACGUUUUUUUUUUCUUUUUAAUUAAUACGAAGAUGAACGUGAUGGGAUGCUUUGUUCAUUUCUAAAGAAAUUAUCAGGAUCCACCAUAGUUUUGACAUCCACCAACUUGUUGAAAUUAUUCAUAAAAUACUUGUUGCCCCAAAUGCUGGCUUUUUUUAUGCUUGUGUGAGUGUCACCUUUGUUAUUUCUUCCGAUUUCUAGAUCUUUGUCAUUAAGAUAUGCCGCUCGAGGAUUUUUGGAAGCAUAGGGAGUCAUGUAAUUGUACAUCUUUGUGACCAAUUUGAGUGCAUUUUGAGAUUCUUCUUCUUUUUCCCAUACUGCAAAGUACAACAAGUAGUAAAUGUUGCCAGCUCUAUGUGGGAAUGGGAUUGCUGACUCUGAAAUCUCACUCAUUUUCCCACCGUAAGGAAAAAUCACCACUUGAAUGUUGUGUCCUCCUUUUUCAUAAAGCAAAUCAUACAUCCCUUCAAAACCUUUUACAGGAAUAGGCUCCCUCACGUAAUCAGAUUUUUCUUUGAAAAAGGAUUUGGAAUAAUUCCUAUCAAGUAAUGCUUCCAAUUUGUACGGCUCACUUGCUUGCAAUCCACUGAGAUAUAUGGCAGAUUCAAUCCAGCUCAUUUCUUUGCAAUCUUCUUUUGUCAAACCAAGAUCAGGGAACCUUUCCUGCAUUAAUGGAAGAAGCCUAUCAACCCCACCAAGAAACAAGGAUGAGAAUGAGCACGUGAUCGUUCCCUUUUUCUUCGUAGUACUUAAACUCACUGCCCUAAAGGUAGCACUGAUGACUAAGUCUUCAGGAAGCUUAUCAGCAACGUACUGAUAUUUGUCAAGGAUCUUUGUCGCAUUAUUUUCCAAGGUUCUUGUGACUGUGAAUGCAGUCACAGUUGAUGGAACUGUGACUAAAUUUACUUUCCAAGCAACAAUGAUUCCAAAGCUAGCUGCUCCACCUCCCCUUAUGGCCCAAAAUAAAUCCUCUCCCAUUGAUUUUCUAUCAAGAAUUCUACCCCUAACAUCAAUCAAGUGAGCGUCAACUACUUGAUCAGCAGAAAGACCAAAUUUACGCAUAACGUAACCAUAGCCUCCCCCACUAAAAUGUCCACCAACACCAACAGUCGGGCAAACUCCAGCUGGAAAGCCAAGAAUUUUACUUUUCUUGGCAAUUCUAUAAUAAAGUUGGCCAAGGGUAGCACCAGCUUGAACCCAAGCUGUUUUCUUUUCUGCAUCAACGUUGAUUGAGCUAAGAUUUAUUAAAUCUAUCAUCACAAAUGGAACUUCAGAAGUAUAAGAAAGACCCUCAGAAUCGUGACCUCCACUUCGAACUCUAAUUUGGAGGCCAUGUUUUUGGGAACAUUUUAGGACUGUUUGAAUUUGGGAUACAUGAAAUGGCUUGAUAAUGACUUGAGGUUUCGGGUAUUUUGGUGCUCUGAAGAGAAGAUUUUGUUUUGAAAAAUCCAAUAUUGAUGAAUAUAAAGGGUUAUCUUGAGUGUAAAUUACUUCAGAAAUGGAGGUGUCCUCAGAGUGUACAGAAAGGCAUUGAAGAAAAUUUUCAUUAGUGAGUAAAACUAUCCCAUGAAAGGAUAGCAAAAGAGCUAAAGUAAUUGAAAGAAUAAUUGUAGUACUUUUCAUUUUGCUGAUGUGCAAAAGAGAUUAAACCCUUAUGUAUCAGUAUACAAUCAUACCAACUACUCUGAUAAAUUAAUUUUAAAUGUGUGGUGUGCGGCAUAAUAAAAAAGUACUGCAUUAUUGAUAAGAAUGGCAUCGUUUGACAUUGAAAUUUUAACUCAGAUAGAUUCGUAUCAAACAAAAAGCGUUUAUCAUACCAUAAACAAGCUACAUUAUUUGAUGAAAAAUAUGGUUUUGUUUAAAAAAUUAAAAUUUUUAUUCCAUUUAUAUUUUAUUUUCCUAUUUUACUCAUGAAAAGUGUUGGAUUCACUUCAUUUAGGUGGUCCAAGCCCAAAGCUUCCAAUAGUUUGGAUGUUUAAGUAAUUAAAGAAAAUAAGUUGGGGUUAAAACAAAAUUGCCAAAUAACUUAAGUUAAAAAAUCACGUGGAUAUAAAAGCAAGUGAAGCGGCCCCUUAGGAUGGGGUAAGGAUAUUUGAACUAUCCGGAAUACUUUACAAACCCAUACUUUUAUAAAAAUAUUUAUUACUGUUAUGUCCACGAAUGAACUUACUAUUAAGAAUAAAAUUAUGUAAUUAAAUGAAAUAAUUUAUUCUCUACACCUAUUCAAAUCUCUUUUUUCUUUGUCCAUCCCUUAAACCUUAGUAUUCAAUGGGCUUCUCUAAUAUUAUUUUUACACAUGUCUCUCCAAAUUGCAAAUAAAGCUAGGAGUGUGCAUCGGUUCGAUACAUUAUAUAAUUAGAAUCCAUUUUAACCUUGGUUUCUGUCGCUCCUUUGGUUUUUAGGGCUUCUAAAUCCGUUCAUGAUGUCGGUGUCGGUGUUCGAUUUCUUGUUAAUCUUGAAAUGAUCAAAAUAUCCCCAAAAUAUAUAAAAUACUCAAAUUAUAACAAAACACGCACGAUCAAAGUUUAAAGGACUUAAUUACAUAAAAAAUAGAGAUGUUUGUGAGACUUGAAAUGUAAAAUGAUUAUUUUUUUCCUUUAUAAACAUACACUCUCCAGUACUUAACAAUAAAUAAAUGUCUUUUGUAUCUUUUUACAAGCAAACCUUGAUUAUUAGUUGAUGAUUAUUCUUGGAAAAGGCAAGACCCUUCAUUUAUGCAAUAAGUAUAAAAUGAUAUUUUAAAAUUUUUCAUUUUUCUUUAGAUAUAAGAAACGAGUUGUUUCACUUAGUUGUAGACUUUUGAGUAGCUCGAUCUGGGCAAAAUGCAUUUGUUAAUGAAUUUCACUUGAAUUAAAAAAAAUUACUGUUUACUUAGAUUUUAAAAGUGCCACCCCAUACAUAAAUUUUAGUUAUCAUCCAAUAACUAUUGCUUUUAGAAAAAAAUUUGGGUGGUCCUAAAAUAUACUCCUUUUCCAUUCAUUCAUUAUCAUAUGUAUAUUUCAACUAAUUAUAUUAAUAUGCAUACAAAUAUAAGCAUCCAAGACCUUCUCUUUAAAGGACAGUUUAAAAAAUAAAAUUUGAAUAUUCAGAGGAUUCUUUGACGAUAUCAGUAUCUAGUUCUUCAAAGAGAGUCAUAAUGCCUAGUAAUAGCCCCAAUUCCAUUCAUGAUUGGUUGAGCUUAAUUUACUACUAUAAUUAUUGACUAAUAAUAUUUUUAAAACUGAAAUGAUGAAUAAAUUUUAAUUGUUUAAUUUAUUUAAUUUUACUAAUAAAGUACUUGACUUCCAGUGGCGGAUUUAGAAAAAUAAUUUAUCGGGGACUAAAUUAAAUAACAGUAAAAUGUAAAAAUUGAAACUUAAAUAUAUAAAAAUUUUGGUAACCCACUUACAAUUGUUCUUUACGCGAUUUCAUAUUCUAAAAAUAUUGUGCAAUAGACUCAUUAUCAAUACUAUUAAAUUCAUCUUUUUCUACACAAAUAAUCAAAUUAUCAUUCAGCCAUUCAUCUCCUAUCUGAUUCCAAAGUUCAUUCUUCACAAAUUUCAUUGCUCAAAAUUAUAUAUAUGAGUACUUAUGUAAAAAUAAAUUAAUUACAAUUGAAAAAAUUAAUUUACUAAUAGUUAUAAACAAAAUCACUAAAAAAAGAAAUUGUAAAGACUAGAAUUAGUCACUUGAACAAUUACAAUUUAUAUAGAGAUGUGUUGACAUGUGAACAAAAAAUAAAAUACGAAAUUCUUAACUUAAUUUGAAAAAAAAAACGAAACGAACAUGUUUAUUCUCACUGCAAUUAUGAGAAUAAAACUGAUGCCUGCAACUUCCUCUUUUCUUCAAGACAAUCCCUAAUUACAAGUUUGGCACUCACGGUUUAGUUUUGGGAUUAUAAAUAUUUUGGGCUGUGGGCUUUAUUUUUUUAAGUAAAAUUAUUACUUUAUAAUUAUUAAAAUAAUAGUUUAAAUGUUAAAGAAUGAGAUUAUCUAAUAAUUUUUACAGGGGUUAUUUUAAAUUUUCUUUUAAACAAAAAAUAUAUUUUUUUUUUUCAGUGGGGGCUUGAGCCCCCAUUGGUCCUGCACUGCAUCCGCCCCUGUUGACUUCAAACAUAAAAGUUCUCUAUUGAAUUUUUAAUUGAUUGUAAUUAUAUGUAUUAAUCUUGUUAUAGCUUACAAUUCAUAACUUAUUUAUUAAUUCUUGCGAUUCUCAGUUGAUUUAUUAAUUCCUAGAGAAUUACAUGUUUUAUAAGUUAUAAUGUAAAAUUUCAUCUUAUAAAAAAAAGUGUAAAAUUUCAUAAUGAACGAGUUCUACUGUUUCAAGUUGUGAAAAGUACAAUUUCAGUAUUUUUUUUUAUUUGACUUGCACUUUUAUUUUCUUCUUUUUUUAUAUAUAAUUAUUUUGUUAGAGUUGAUAUUUAUAAGGGCAAGCUCUUGAUACCAAUAGAGAAGCCGCAAAUUGUCAGAAAACUUUUGUUUAAAUUUGAACUAAAUAUUUUAUUUGUCCCCAAUAAAAAAACAAUACCAAACAACUGUUAGUUUAAACUUGAUUUCAAUCAUAUGAGCAACAUCUUUUUUUUUUGUUAGUUAUUAGGUACUAAUUUAGAAAUAGAGAGAUUAAAUGAUUAAUUGGCGAAGGCAACACUUAUAUAUAUAGGACAGUGAUCCAAUCCAAGGUACCAAAUUGGAUCACUUUUCGGGAAUCCACCAGGAGCCAUUGGAUUGAAAUCCAAUUGCCCCGAUGGUUUUUUUUUUAUUUUUUAUUUGUUGGCUGCACAUGGUGGGUGGCCUUUGGAUUUAUAUUCAAAGGCCACCGACCUUUGUCUCGAAAACUAUUCCAAUUCGAGAGUUCACAUAUAUAUAUAUAGCUAAUGCUAAGUUACAUUCAUGUAACUUACACCCACUCACAUGAAUAGUGAGUUGGUCCCACACCACUCACUAUUCAUGUGAGAGGGUUGUAAGUUAAAUGAAUGUAACAUAGAGGGAUCCUAUAUAUAUAUACCUCAAGUAGAGGCCUGUCAAGUCUAAGUUAAUUUUUUAGUCAUUCAUCUCAAGACUUGAACGCAAAUAACUAUUUAAAAGAAAUAUAUUUAAAACUAGCACACCAUUGUGACAGAUGCAUUUCUAUGGAUGAAUUCAUUCUUUCCAAGGAAUUUGUUGUUGGCACACCAUUUCAAAAUUUCAAUCUUUGAAAUUAUUUUGGUUCUCAGUCAAUAAGUACUUAAGAGGUCAUCUGAUUAAGCAAUCUCGAAUUUUGAUAUUGUUAGUUGUGGCCGGUCCGAAUUUCUCAAAUUACAUAUAAACUAUUAAUAAAUAGUAAACUUAAUAAAGUUGCAAUAGCAUUAGUCUGCAAAUUUAAGUCAUUAGUAGUGUUUGUUAACACAUUUAUUUUUAAUUGUACCUCAAUUAUUUUCUUGCACGUUUAUAUUUUGAAUUGUUUAUGAUGUUCUACAUCUAUAUGACUAUAUUUGUAAUAUAAUUCAAAUGUCUAUUGAGACUAUGUCAAAAAUUUUCUCCCACUAUUAAACAGAUAUCCACGUUUAGAUACCCAUAUUUGUGGGAAGAUAAAUAUUUUUUUUUAAUAGAAAAGCUUAGCUUUCAUUAAAACGAACUUGAGAAUAAAUACAAAAGUUGAGUUGGACACUUCUUAGUCCACACUUUUGAUUAUGCAUUGUUUAGAGCCAGCUUGGCUAUUGAGUAGGCAGUAUCAUUACAAAGUCUUGAAAUGUGCUGAAUUGUGGUGUCGUUCAUCCUUUUAAGUCUUUCUUGAAUAUCUAAAAUAGUCCAAUCGACUUAAGCUUUACUGUAUUUUCUCCCUAACACUAGGUCUGCAGCUUAUUGGCAAUCAAAUUCAAUUAUCAAAGGCCUGCAUCCAGCAGCUUCUGCAACUUCAAAACCCAACUGAAUUGCUUUUGCUUCUGCUGCAAGAACAUCUCCAAUGACUAGAUUAUUUUGGAAGUGCUUAUCUUAUAUAUUUGCAUAUUAGAAAUGUAAAAAAUAUUGUGGAGAGUUUAUCAAAUUUUAGGCAAAUCUAUAUUGUUAAAUUUAUCACAUUAUAUAAAACUAGAUAAACUUACCCUUAAAGUUUGGGGCGGAUUGUUUCAAUUUAAGAGUUGAGUCUUAGCUCUAAGUUAUAUUCUUAAUUUAGAAACUAUACUAAAUCAAUAUAGAAUAUUCUCCUCAACACUUCCAUCACAUGCAGGAUAAUAUUUUUAGUUGGUCCUUGUCAUAUGGUAAAAUAGUGUGGGUCCAUCCAUAUUUUUCUAUUAUAAUAACAUACAAAUGUCUAUAGGUCUAACCAUACUCAAAAGCUAGCUAAAAGGUUGAGGCCCAAGUUUUUUACACUUAUCAAAGUCUUUCAUUCCUAGUCCAUGUAAGAUAAUGUCCAUAACAUGCCUAUCACGUGCAAGCCGAUCUUUUUGUCUACUCUUUUUCAUGUGGUAAGGUAAUGUGAGCUCACUUAUAUGUGAAUUUAGUUUUGAUAUAUUAAAUCCCAUGAGCUUAAUUAGACCUUAUUACGGAUUGUGGUUGAAAUACUAUAAAUAAUUUAUUUCACAAGUUUUGAUAAAAGUGGUGUUUGAUGAACUUUUAAAAGUUGUUUAUUCCAUAAGUUUCUCUAUUUUAACAGUAGUAAAGCCAGUAGAGAGCACUUUUUUUAAAAAAAUUCUUAUUAUAACUUUAAUAUUUUAGUAAAAUAACAAUCGUGUUUUACUUUCCAUAAUAAUAUAGAAAGAAAAGAUAAUUUAAACUUAUAUAUACUUUAGUCAUUAUAUAAUAAUUAAGAGAGUAUUUUCGUAAUAAAAUUUACUAAAUAUAUAUAAUGUACUUCUGAAAUUGAGUGAUGAUAUAGUCACAAACUCUUGUACAAACUUAUUUUGUAUAAAUUGAUUUAGUAUUAACUUAUUGAUUGAAUGAAAAUACAAAAUAAUAAAAACAAAUUAUGUUGACCAAAAGACAUCUAAUCCAACUAAUUAAAUCAUACCACAUCAAUUUAUGUAAAAAAAAUUAUACAAGAAUUUGUAACUAUAUUAUUACUAUUUAAAAUUCAUAAACAUUAAGCUACAUUUUGAAUUAACAGUUUAUUUUAUCCGUAUACCAAAAGCAACACACUUUAGCAACUUAUUUCUUUACACUUCAAAGAAUUAGGAAAAAGACCCGAUACGUCAUGGAAAUGUUGGUCACAAUAUCCCACAUUUCCCGCCAUUCCGCUCUUUAAUUUUAACUCUUUUAUUCUAAUCGUUAAUAUUUCUUUUUCAGGCUUCCUGUGGGAGCAAAAUUUUGGUGCUCGGCAAAUCAUUUUCAGGCAAUAAUAAAUCUCUUUAGUUUGGAAUCUUGUUUCAUUCGUGGCUUGGAACUACGAUAGCAAGAAAAUUUAAUGUCGGCAUUUCACAGGGAAUUAAUAGUAGUUUGUGAUCAAUCAAUUUGCAAGAAAAGGACCGAUAUAAUGCUGCCAAUUUUCAAUCAAUCGGAGUGACUAUAAGACAAAGAAAGCACAGCUAGCAUUAUCAAUAAUUCAGAUAAAUCUAAACCAAUCAGUGGAAAAGCUGAAUAGACAGAUAAUGAACCUAAUCUCUUAAAUAUGAGACAGAAUAGCUAUGUCUUCGUGGCAAACACUACCUUGGUACAUCCCUCACUCAUAAACAGUGAUUCAGUCACUGUUUAUGAGCGAGGGAUGUACCAUACAUUGAUUGUAAGAUAGUGAAAUCCAUGUCUUCGUGGGUCCUUUUCACGUGGAAAGCUAGACCCUAAUUCAAACAUAAAAAUCACCAUCAAUAAUAUAUCUUCCUUGGCAUCUUGCUCCAUUCGACCAUUAAAUUUAGAUAAUAAGUUAGCUAGUGACAAUGCCAAAAAAGGCUUAUCACCAUCAACAAGAGUGGCGGCAAUACGAAGAAACGCUAGGUGUAAAUAAGUGGAUUAAUGUCUACAUUUCACUUAUAAUAAAAAAUAAAUUUAAUUUUUCCAGUCAAUAAUUUUUGUUACUUUGAGUUUCAGACUUUCAGUCUGCGAAAUCUGAAAAAUGAAACCCCCAAAUAACUAAUUCGGAAGCUCAAGAUUGAAAUCAAUAAUUUAAAAAUGAUAAUUAUAUGCAUGCUUAUACCACGUAAUACAUAAUGUUUCUAAUUCAUUUAUUGAUAUUUUAAAUAAUCUCUUAGGUAAAUUUUCGAUUAUUCCGAAUUUAUUAUCUUUAAAUUAUUCCAUUACUAUUAAAAACUUUAAGUUAUUUUAAUUUUUAUUUAAAAAAUGAGAGGAGAGAGCUAAUUUAUAUUUGUUAAAUUAUUUUAAUUAUUAACAAUAUUUUAAUAUGAUUAUUCUACUAAACAAAUUAAACUGUUUAUAUUACAUUUGUAUUUAUUAAAAUUUUUGAUGUUCAAUUGUUUUUUUGAACUCUUUAGAUAAGAAACCCUCCCUAAAUUCUCUCUCUCCGUCACCAAUCAAUCUCCCGAAGUCUGUUAUUGAUCGGCUUUAUAAAGUUAAGGUUUGUAAUGCAAAACUGAAAAUCGUUUUUUCGUCCAUUCGUUGCCCUCUCUUGCUCUUUCUAAGCGUUUUAACCAGCCAUCAACUUGGUCAAAUUAGUUUACUCAAGUGCCCACGCGAGGACUUAAAUGAUGAAACUAAUGAAUUGGGCACUUGAAAACUCUGCGUUUUGCUUUGGCUUUGAUUAAUGGCCAACAUUUUCCUGGCCUCAAUCUCAUCAACACUCCUAGUUCUCAAGAUUACAACAAAUAUAAAGAUUAUCUCUUUUGCACUCACAUCGCUUGGAAGUCAAUCUUUUUUUUCUGAUUUUUAUCAUGCGGAAAGGUAAUUUACUCUCCACGUGUGUGUGAAUCAUAUCAAGUACCACUCAAAAGCCCAUAAAUCUAUCUCAUACUAAAAAUUAUAAAAUUUAUUUAACACAAAAAUUAUUUCAAUUUUUCAUAAUAAAUAUAAAUAUACUAUUAAAAUAAAUAUAAUAAUUUACAUUUUAAAAAUUAUUUUGUAUAUUAAAAAUAUUCUAAUAUCAUUAGUCUACCAGAUAAAUUAAAUUAUUUAAAUGAUAUUUAUACUUAUAAAAAAUUAAAAUAAUUACUAUCUUUUGAGGUUGUUACAAUCAACAGGGAAUUUUUAGUAUUUUAUAUAGGUUUACAUAAUUAUUUUUCUAAAUUUUUAGAGUGUAGAUGUCUUUUUUUUUUUAAUCAUGAAUUUAUCUGAAACCCUUUUUUAUUUUUAUCUAAUCCCAUUUAGUUUUUGGUCUUUAUCUUUUUUUUUCCUCUCUCCCUAAUAGUAGAAGCAAACUUCCGUGGUGGCAUAGCAACUGAAAGAUCACAGUGACCAUCUUACUUCCAUCAUACCGAUGAAAGUAAGACAAAAAGUCAGUGGAUCGAUAACCCCGAAAAUGGCUCAUCAUCACCGUCAACAAACCAAGAAAAUUCCCGGUCCCAUUUUUCCUUUUUAACACCACAGCGGGGGAAAAAAAAUUGAGGUAAAUUCUCAAUCCUUGAGAUAAAUUUUUAAAUAUGAGUUAAAUCAGCAGAUUUUUAUAUACUAUCAUAGUCGACUCACUCAUGAUACUGCACAUCAACUAGUCUCUAUGUAAUGGUGUGAGUGGACCUGCUCCACAUCGAGUGACAAUAAGUUCUAGACUGACAAAAAUAAGUUUUUGGCAAUCUCUUGAGCUAGUUUUUAGUUAUUUAUUUAUUUAUUAUUAUUAUUAGCAACUAGGCCCAUGUGCUUCUAUAAAUUGAUAUCCUAUAUAAAUAACUUCCCAUUUUAUAUUCUUGGGUGUUAAUGCUUAAAUGCACAUUUCCUGUAAAUUUAUUAUUACAUCAUAUGACGUUGUAAUUAACUGAACAGAAAUAUUAAUAGUGAAUCUACAUGAAAUCUGCAUUUAGAUAUUUGCACUUAAAAAAUUUUAUAUACACAUUUUCUCCAGUAAAGACAUUAUCAUUUUAUUAAAAUGAAGAUGCUCAUUAAAAUAUAAAAAAAAUAUAAAUAUUAAUAGAUUGAAAAUUAUAAUUUUUGUUUGUUAAUGUAUUGAAAUAUGUAUUUUUUAUUAAUCGGUAAAUCUUGAUUUUAUCAAAGUGAGGAUAUUCUUAAUAGAGAAUGAAUAUAUAUGUGUGUGUGUGAAGUUUGAAAAGGCUUAUAGAAUGAGACUUACCCUUCCAAACAUAUCACAUGGCUUUAAUUUGGCUUUUGGACAUCUUCUUGGCAAUCGUUUGCUUCUUGAUUCUUCGAUGUUGUUUCAGCAAUAACAAUGGAAUCCCAAAGAACUUCCCAGUCGUAGGUAUGCUGCCACACCUUCUUCUUAACGUUCAUCGUAUCCAUGAUUAUAGCUAGCACAGAAAUUCUAGAGAAAACGCAAUGCACAUUUUUAUUCAAAGGUCCUUGGUUCGCAAACAUGGACAUAUUGGCCACAGUUGAUCCAGCCAACGUACAUCACAUAAUGAGCUCAAACUUCUCGAAUUUCCCGAAAGGGCCAGGGUUCAAGCGAAUCUUUGAUAUUUUAGGAGAUGGGAUUUUCAACUCCGACUCAGAUUUGUGGAAAAACCAAAGAAGGUUUGCUCAAGCUUUGAUGAAUCGUCAUAGCUUCUACAAGUUUUUGGUGAAAUCCAAUCAAGCUAAACUGGAGAAAGGGCUGAUUCCAAUUCUUGAUCACAUGUCCAAACAAGGCACAACAGUUGAUCUGCAGGAUUUGUUCCAGAGGUUUACGUUUGAUUCUACGAGCUUAUUUGUUACAGGCUAUGAUCCUGGUUGUUUGUCAAUUGAAUUUCCAAAAGUUCGAUUCCUAAUGGCAUUGGAAGAUGCCGAGGAAUCAAUAUUUUAUCGGCAUGUUGUUCCGGAAAGCUUGUGGAAGCUACAAAGAUGGCUUGGAAUUGGAGAAGAAAAGAAACUGAAAAAAGCUAAGGAAACGUUAGAUAGUGUCAUAUUCGAACUCAUACAAAGGAAAAGAAGAGAGAUUAACGAAGAAAUUUUAUCGAAAGAAAUAGAUGGGGUGGAUUUGUUAGCAUCAUACAUGCACGAAAACAAAACCAUUAUGGGAGAAUUGAAAUGUGCUGACGACAAUUUCUUGAGAGAUACAGUCUUGAAUUUCAUGAUUGCGGGGAGAGACACAACUAGUUCAGCUCUCACUUGGUUCUUUUGGCUUAUUUCAAAGAACCCAAAAGCAGAAACCAAGAUUAGAGAAGAGCUUAGUUCGAUAGUACCAGCUGAGAAACUCGCAAAAUGGUGGGAUUUUGACACGCAAAAGCUAAAUCAAUUGGUUUAUUUACAUGGCACUUUGUGUGAAGCAUUAAGGCUUUACCCACCAGUUCCUUUUCAGCAUAAAGUUCCUUUAGUGCCAGACACUCUUCCAAGUGGACACCGCGCCGUUCCGAGAACAAAGAUCUUGUUUUCUCUGUAUGCAAUGGGGAGAAUGAAGUCAAUAUGGG